CACGCUAUUUCCUAAUCGAAUGCUUCCCACGGACUGACUAAAGCACCACCAUCGGCAACUUUUUGAUGAAACAAGAAAAAUAAGAGCCGUCCCAUCGGUUAUUCCUUCAACGGCGAAUUCAAUACCAGCUUCACCACGACUCGAGCUAACAGCAGUGGCUUGUAUGCGCGGCCCAAGAGCUGCAACUGAAGCAUUCGUGAAUUGACUAAGCUAACCAUUUGUUCAGAGUCGAGAAGAGUUCAAAUCUGAUCUUUCAAAGACAGCAGGCUGGUCGUAGAUCAGGGAUUCGUUCAAAUAGAAGAGCGGAUUCUCUACUUUACUUCAAGCUUAGACUAUGCCUUUUAUUCAACUAUAGGCAUUCUUCUUUGAAUAAAAGCUUCACCCAUUCCUACAUAUGCUACAGACUUGGCUUCCAAGCUAAAAGCAGCCUUUCUAAACUAUACGAGACUGCCGAACCAAAGGCUGUUUAAGAAGCCAGGGUAAUCACAGCAUUCCUCCUAUCGGGUGACUUCACUCGCUUAAGCCGAAUCGCUUUCCUUAUGGCAUCUGCUUUCAAUGUCAGUUGGAUUGCCUAGUUGAUUGUUAGUUCAAUUUUAACUAGUUUCAAAGGCUUUCUGCCCCGGCUUGGGACUCACUCUUCCUUCUCACCUCAUCGCGAAUUGCAAGAGAGAAUCUAGAGUUACCAAGACAGAUAUUCUUACCACAGCUUCACGCUCUACUUACUGCUUUCCCUAAGGCAAGGAAGGUAAGAAAAGCAAGGUAAGUGCAAGCUAACUAAUGGCAAGGGCCGGAGAUAGAGAGGGAUGAAGGGGGAAUUGCAGUCAUUUUUCUCUAAUGAAGAAAGACAGAAUUCCUAGAUUCAUAUAUAGAUUAUAGAUACCACUUCUUCUGUGAUCAAUGAAUGCAUCAAAAUAAGGGAUUGAUCUAAUAGAUAUUCAAAGCUUGACUUCCAGUGCUCUUCAUUAAAGAAAAAAUAGUGGAAAGUUAUUCUAUCCAUUUGAAUAAUUUGAUUGAUUUGAUGAGAAUCUAGGUCGUUUUGGGUCAUCCUAGGAGCGAAAGACUAAUUGAAGAAGAAGAGAAGACGCAAAGAUGGUAGAUUUGGGCACUGCUCUGAACCGAAAGAUUCUUCAUGACAUCGCCUUUCAUUCAAAGUAGCUCUCUAAUUGAGUUCUUCUUAAAAAGCCACUUGAGUUCAUGUGUCCCAUGCUCAGUGAUGAUGUUCUCGGCAUCUAUCUCCUUUUGUUCCAAGUGCUUUUCAUCAUUGGUCCGAUGUUUUGGCUUCACCAAAGGAAAGAAGAUGAACAGAAGCUAAGCCUUUCUCAAUGGCUGGUUGAGUUCUUAAAGAACUGGCUUUGGUCUUUGGCGCUCGUCCUACGAAUCAACCUACCUAGACUCUAAAAAAGAGCCUUUGGGUACCAGAUCAGCUUCAAAAGGUAGUGCAUUAGGAUCUAGUUCCCUCCCUAGUUUAAGAUAUUGGAGUCGAAGCAAAUCUCAAUGCUACUUGCCUUUUCUUUUAGUAAAUCGUGGAGGUAAGCCUCUAGCUUAUUACGUAAUUAGUUCAACCUUUAUCCGGUUAAGCCUGACCCGAAUAGGAAGAGAUUUUAUCACAAAUUCACUUAUAUAUAGGCUAGGCCGAAUCGAAUAAGCAUAAGCGAAUGCGGCUAUUUCAUCCGCAUCUAUUGUUGUUGAAGGAAUAUGGGCAACAAGAAUAACUAUUUUCGCUCUUGGAGAAAGACUAUUUUGAAUGUACGAGCAGAGGUUGUUUCGGAAUAAUCGAUGUUAGCAAGAAGGGGAAGUCAAGGCAUUGACAUAGUUGAUGCAGAGAAUCCAUGGUUGUUGUUCCAGGUUGAGAGUCAGGGGUAGCAUAGCUUCUUCCACCACAAUUCUAUUUGCUGCCACCUUAUGCAGUAGAUUGUAGCUGCCAGAACGCUUUUCGGCUCGAUCCAAUCUUUAAUAAGAAGUAGCUUCAAAUCCAAUUCGUGAGACCAGAAGAAAGGUAAGUGUAAAAAAGCGUGGUCAGUGAUAGUCUUCCCCCGAGCGUAUGAUGGCUACGCAAUCUUCCUUCUUAUAUUAAAAGUUUCGUUCCUAAUGAAACUACUUGUCACGCCCCGAAUUGAGGCAUAACACGGUCGUAUUACCUUGAAGUAAAACCCUAAAGCAAUACGAAGCUUAAUCCAUAACCAUUGAACAACUCUCAAAUAUAAAAGAUUCUCAUUAAGUAACAUAGCUAGAUAACAAGUCUUCAAAGAUUCAAAGUAAAGUAUUACAACUAAAAUAAACAAUACUUCAUAAAAUCUUAUAUUUCUAAGUAGUUCUCCAAUGCUCGAUUCUUCUAGCUUUUCUCAAGCUAAUCAUACUUAUCAUUCAUAACAUCUGUAAAAGAAAAGAAAAUUGGGAAUGAGCAAACCACAGCUCAGUAAAUAAAGGCUCACACACCUUACCGGAUCAAACAUCAUUUUCAUACAUGUCAUAUAGAUCAUUCAAAACAUUUAUCAAAUCAUAAUGUCAAAACAUCUCAAUAUCAUCGUUCUGUCAAACAUUUCAUAAAUUCAUAAAUCAUUGUAAAAUAUGUUAUCAUUCAAAUAUCAUAGGCAAACCAAAUCAUGGAUCAAUCAUUAAAAAUCAUCGUAAAUCAUCAUCAUCAUUCAAAUCGUUAGCUACGAUCACUGCUAUAACCCGUGACAUUGGCCGCAUCGAUAAUUUUAUUCUUAUGAUCAUUGCUAACUAUUACAACCCGUUAGCCAGGGCUUACGCUAACUACUAUUACCCGUUAGCCAGGGUCGUAUGACAUGUCUUUGCUAACUAUUAUUACCCGUUAGCCAGGGUCGUAGAACUAGUUCUGGUGUCGAUGAUCUCACUUCCUAGGAAUAUAAAAACGUAGCUAUCAUAAAAUCAUUCUUUAAACAUAAAGCAUUUUCUCAUUUCAUUCAUAAGCAUGAUUCAUCAUUUUUAUAGAGAAACGCAAAAUAAAAAUAUGUUUGAUCCUAUUUUCAUACAUCGAAAAUAAUGAAAUAAAAUAUUCAUUCAUUUAGAAACAUACAUAUAUAUAUGGAUUCGAAAACAAGCAAAGUGUGUGAGAUUAUACUUACCUUCCUCUGAUUUCACCACCUAAUUUUUCUGCCUCAAAAUUUAGUGGCCUAUUCAAGAUAAUUCCAACAUAACAAUAAUCAAUCAACCCAUUUAAGGUCACUUAUACCAAAACAAUUAAGUUAAACAAGUAAUAACUCGAGUAAUUAAUUCUGGUAGUCUAUGCUACUUUCACUAAAACGACUAUAACACAAGAUAUCCAAUUCAGAAUUAAAAUCUUAUUAAUGUGUUAGAAACUAGACUUGACAAGCUUUCUAACCAUAUAUGGCUCAUCUCGUGAUUCUUUGUAAAUUAAUUAUAACAAUUUUUGUAAUCCACGUCAUAUGCUGCUGCCAGACAGGCUGCAUACCUUUUCAUAAAAAUUACGUAUUUAUUCAUAGGUAACUCCAAAUUCAAUUUCGUUUAUUUCAUUGGAAAGUAGACUCGAUAAGUUUUCCAAAGAUAUAUGGCUUAAACUGUAAAUCCUUAUAUAAAAAUUUAGGAAAAUUUCGUAAUUCCUCUUUACUGCUACUACUAGGCAGCCUGCACAUCCUUAGGUAAAAAUUAGAUAACUCUUCAUAGAGAACUCGAAUUCGACUCUCGUUUGUUUCAUUAGAAAGUAGAUUCAACAUGCUUUCCAACCAUAUAUAGUAAUCAUAGUAGUAUUUAACCUUUUAAUACAGAAUAUAACCUUAAUUCAUCACUACAAACACAUGAUUCAUAUCAGGAUUUAUACGAAACAAAGAUUUGCCUUUCUAUUCCCAUCAAAUUUCUGUUUCAGCAAUAAAUUCACAUUACCAACUUUCUUAACACUUAAUUUGACUCUAAUUAAAGUCUAAAUCAUCUGCCCAAAGAGCGAUAAUGGAAACCCUAAAAUUUUAGGGUUUCUCGAUUAUAAAUUACACCUUAAGACUUAACCAUCAAUACUCCAAAAUUGAAAAAGAUUAUUUACUCACCUCUAACAGAUAAUUUCUCCUUGUAGAUUUGUUCUUCCCUUCACUUGGAAUCCUUCAAUUGAUCUUUUCUGUAUAAGAAACAUAUGAGAAAUAAGUUUCUAUUUUUAUUACGGCUAAUCGUCGACUGAAAACUGAAAAGUUAACUCUAUUAAUAAAAAAAAUUAGGUUAUUUAUCAAUAAGUCCUCUGCACUUCUCAUUCUUUAUUAAAGAGUUCCUUCACUUAUAAAAAUACUUAAAAUAGUCCCUUUUUUUUGGGUAUUACAAUCCCCUCAACUUAUAAAAUAUUUCAUCCUCGAAACUUGAUUUACCUUCAUUUUCGAAUAACUGAGGAUGUCGUUUCUUCAUAUCAUCUUCCAUUUCCCAAGUAGCUUCUCUUGAUGUAUGAUUGCUCCAUUGGACUUUUAUAAAGGAAAUAGUUCUAUGCCUUAAGACUUGCUUUUUUCGAUCAAUUAUUCGAAUAGGAUAUUCCAAGUAUGUUAAAUCUUCUUGAACUUUUAAAGGUUCAUACUUUAUCACGUGGCUUGGGUUAGAGACAUACUUUCUCAACAUGGACACAUGAAAACAUUGUGCACACUAGAUAGCUGAGGUGGCAAGGCUAUCCUAUAUGCAACUUCUCCCACUUUAUCAAGAAUUUCAAAUGGACCUAUAUAACGUGGGCUUAGCUUUCCUUGCUUCCCAAACCGCAUAACACAUUUUGUGGGUGACACCUUUAAAAAAAUAAAAUUCCCUUGUUGAAAUUCUAUCUCCCUUUUCUUUUUAUCUGCCCAACUUUUCUGACGAUCUUGUGCUGCUUUAAGUCUCUCCUUAAUCACCUUGAUCUUUUCUACAGUCAAUUGUACCAUUUUUGGCCCUAGGAGUUUUUUUUCCCCAACAUCAUCCCAACAUAAAGGGGAUCUACACUUUUUACCAUACAAGGCCUCAAAAGGAGCCAUCCCAAUACUAGAUUGGUAACUGUUAUUAUAAGCGAACUCCGUUAAAGGUAAGUAAUCAUCCCAACUACCUUUUAGAUCAAUCACACAUGCUCGAAGCAUAUCUUCUAAAAUUUGAUUUGUUCUCUCUGUUUGCCCAUCUGUCUGAGGUUGGAAAGCUGUAAUCAAUUUCAAAUUUACCCCCAUAGCUCGCUGUAAGCUUACCCAAAACUUAGAAACAAAUCUAGAAUCUCUAUCUGACACAAUACUCAUUGGAACUCCAUGCAAUCGGAUAAUUUCACCCAUGUACAAUUGCGCUAGUCUAUCAAGUGGAGUAGUCGACUUGAUAGGUAGAAAAUGAGCUGAUUUAGUGAGUCUAUCAACAAUUACCCACACUACAUUAUUCCCUUUAGAUGACCUAGGCAACCCCAUCACGAAAUCCAUAGAGAUGUGCUCCCACUUCCAUUCCGGUAUCUCCAAAGGUUGUAACAACCCUGAUGGUCUUUGGUGUUCAGCCUUAACUUGCUGACACACUAGACAUUGGGACACAAACUGAGCUAUGUCAUGUUUCAUAUUAUUUCACUAAAAACUUCCUUUCAAAUAUUUAUACAUCUUAGUACCUCCAUGAUGUAUAGUGAAUCGAGACCCAUGUGCUUCCUCCAAGAUCUCUCGUUUUAGAUCAAGAUCAUUUGGGGCACAAUCUAUUUUUAAAACGUAAUGUGCCAUCCUCAUGAAGAUUAAACUCUGACCGUAAACCAUUAUGCACUUUUGUCUUAAUUCUGUCUAACUCACUAUCUUCUUCUUGUGUAAAUUUUAUCUUUUCGAUCAAAGUUGGUUGAACCAUCAAACUAGCCAUAACAACACAUUUUCCCUGUAUAAUCACCUCGAUUGCUGCGUAUCAAGUUCCUCCAACAAUUUUGGUUGCAAAGUAAGCAAAGCAGCUAUACUUCUAAUGAACUUUCUACUAAAAGCAUCAGUAACUACAUUAGCUUUGCCCGGAUGAUAAUUGACGGUCAAAUCAUAAUCUUUGAUUAAUUCCAACCAUCUUCUCUGUCUCAUGUUCAACUAUUUUUGUGUAAACAGAUACUUUAAACUCUUUGAUCCGUAUAAAUUGCACAAGGCUCUCCAUACAAAUAAUGUCUCCAUAUUUUCAAAGCAAACACAAUGGCAGCUAACUCUAAGUCAUGAGUCGGAUAAUUCUGCUCGUAGGUUUUUAAUUACCUAGAAGCAUAAGCAAUUAUCUUAUCAUUCUGCAUUAACACACAACCCAACCCCUUCUUGGAAGCAUCACUAUAAAUGGUAAAACUACCAAUAUCAGAAGGUAAAGUAAGGAUAGGUGCUAACACCAAUCGUUGCUUUAGCUCUUGAAAACUCUAUUCACAUUCUUUAGUCCAUUCAAAUUUUGCUCGCUUUUGAGUUAAACAAGUCAAUGGCACAGCAAUUUGAGAAAACCCCUCAACAAAUCUUCUAUAAUAACCUGCCAAGCCUACAAAACUUCUUAUUUCUGUCACAUUUGUCGGGCAAGGCCAAUUCACCACUGCCUCAAUCUUUUUCGAAUCAACUGAAAUCCCAUCUUCAGAAAUAACAUGACCAAGAAAACUAAUACUUGUCAACCAAAAUUCACAUUUGCUAAACUUUACGAAGAGUUGUUUAUCUCGCAAGAUCUGAAAUACAAUCUUCAAAUGUUUCUCAUGUUUCCCAUCACUCUUAGAAUAAAUAAGAAUGUCAUCAAUAAAAAUAACAACAAAUUGAUCCAAAUACUGUUUAAAAAUUCUAUUCAUCAAGUUCAUGAAUGUAACAGGUGCAUUUGUUAAUCCAAAAGGCAUAACCAAAAAUUCAUAAUGGCCAUACCUAGUUCGAAAAGCAGUCUUGGAUAUAUCACCUGCCUUAAUCUUCAACUGAUGAUAUCCAGACCGUAAAUCAAUCUUUGAAAAGACCUUUGCUCCUUAUAACUGAUCAAACAAGUCAUCAAUUCGAGGAAGAGGAUAUUUAUUCUUCAUAGUCACUUUAUUUAACUCCCUCUAAUCAAUGCAUAAGCGCAAACUCCCAUCUUUCUUUUUAACAAACAAUACAGAAGCUUCUCAAGGUGACACACUAGGACGAAUAAACUUUUUCUCUAAUAGUUCUUGGAGUUGCACAUUUAAUUCACGUAACUCAGAUGGAGCCAUGCGAUGAGGAGACUUAGAUAUUGAUCCAGUUUCAGGGAUAAGAUCGAUUUCAAAUUCAAUUUCUCGAUUAAGAGGUAAGCCAGGCAAAUCCUCAGAAAAAAUAUUAAAAAAAUCUCUAACAAUCGAAAUAUCUUAUAAUCGUGAGCCUACAUUCAUUUGAGUGUCUUUCAUAUAGGCGAGGUAGCCUAGACACCCUUUCUUUAGAGAUUGCAUGGCACUUGAGAUUGACACAAUCUGACACGAAAUGCUUAAAUGAUGACCUUCAUAUACAAGUUCUUAUUGUCCUGGACACUGAAACACUACUCUCUUUCUGUAGCAAUCAAUAACUGCAUGAUGUAUAGAUAACCAAUUCAUCACUUCUCCUGUCAAUUCUUUUCCUUCGACCCACAAGGUCUGCCAAUGUCUCAUUUUUACCACUCAUUCUUACCUAAUUUAAUACCAAUAAAAAAAUCGUAAGCGAUCAAAAUAAAAUAAUUGAAUCUUAUCAGUGUAAAUGCUAAGAAUACUUAAGUUUUACACUAACUAUAACUCAAUUUUUUCAUUUCUUGGAUCUUAAAUCUUCGCUCUGAUACCAAUUUUGUCACGUCCCGAAUCGAGGCAUAAUACGAUCGUAUUACCUUGAAGUAAAACCCUAAAGCAAUACGAAGCCUAAUCCAUAACCAUUGAACAACUCUAAAAUAUAAAAGGUUCUCAUUAAGUAACAUAGCUAGAUAACAAGUCUCCAAAGAUUCAAAGUAGAGUAUUACAACUAAAAUAAAUAAUACUUCAUAAAAUCUUAUAUUUCUAAGUAGUUCUCCAAUGCUCGAUUCUUCUAGCUUUUCUCAAGCUAAUCAUACUUAUCAUUCGAUCAGAAGAAGGUAAGUAUAAUCUCACACACUUUGCUUGUUUUCGAAUCCAUAUAUAUAUAUAUAUGUAUGUUUCUAAAUGAAUGAAUAUUUUAUUUCAUUAUUUUUGAUGUAUGAAAAUAGGAUCAAGCAUAUGAUUAUUUUACGUUUCUCUAUAGAAAUGAUGGAUCAUGCUUAUGAAUGAAAUGAGAAAAUGAUUUAUGUUUAAAGAAUGAUUUUAUGAUAGCUACGUUUUUAUAUUCCUGGAAAGUGAGAUCAUCGACACCAGAACUAGUUCUACGACCCUGGCUAACAGAUAAUAGUAGUUAGCAAAGACAUGAUCAUACGACCCUGGCUAACGGGUAAUAGUAGUUAGCGUAAGCCCUGACUAACGGGUUAUAAUAGUUAGCAAUGAUUAUGAGAAUGAAAUUAUCGAUACGACCAAUGUCACGGGUUAUAGUAGUGACCGUAGCUAACGAUUUGAAUGAUGAUGAUGAUUUACGAUGAUUUUUAAUGAUUGAUCCAUGAUUUGGUUUGCCUAUGAUAUUUGAAUGAUAACAUAUUUUACAAUGAUUUAUGAAUUUAUGAAAUGUUUGACAAAAUGAUGAUAUUGAGAUGUUUUGACAUUAUGAUUUGAUAAAUGUUUUGAAUGAUCUAUAUGACAUGUAUGUAAAUAAUGUUUGAUCCGAUAAGGUGUGUGAGCCUUUACUUACUGAGCUGUGAUUUGUUCAUUCCCUAUUUACUUUUCUUUUACAGAUGUUAUGAAUGAUAAGUAUGAUUAGCUUGAGAAAAGCUAGAAGAAUCGAGCAUUGGAGAACUACUUAGAAAUAUAAGAUUUUAUGAAGUAUUAUUUAUUUUAGUUGUAAUACUCUACUUUGAAUCUUUGGAGACUUGUUAUCUAGCUAUGUUACUUAAUGAGAACCUUUUAUAUUUUAGAGUUGUUCAAUGGUUAUGGAUUAGGCUUCGUAUUGCUUUAGGGUUUUACUUCAAGAUAAUACGGUCGUGUUAUGCCUUGAUUCGGGGCGUGACACUACUCUAACUAAGAAUUUAGUUCCAUCCGUAUAGGUUUUGCAUAAUUAUCAUCUAAGCAUGGGCAAGGGCAUUAUUGGGUACAGUGAGCAUCCAAGUGAGAUUUCCACCAUUUAAUUGAUACUGUAGCUAUUGAAUCAAUAGUGAAGGAGAAGAAAGAAGAAUCUAAGGCUGAUUUACUAGUUUUUUAUUAAAAAAGGCUCUCUCUUAAACAAGAGAUACAAGAAUAAAGUACCCCCAGACCUACGAUGCAAGAGUUUAAUCACAAGGAUUCAACCACCUGGUCGACCCAGAAAGAAAGGAACAUUGAUUACCGACUUUGGCACCUUAACUAUCUGUAGAUUGACAUCUCUCCUUGUGGGGCAUACAUCAGAAAAAGAACAAAUUUAGAAAAGAGAUAGAUCCCAACCCACUGAGCGAAGUAAAUUGUCUCACUUGUAUGUCGAUUAAGCUUUUUAUGGCAGGAUUGAAAGAUCUUCCACCACCCUGUUUCGCUUAGCCUCAUAGGAUUUUUUUGAUAAUUUCGUUCACUUUCUCUUUCCAUUAGAUUGUUAGGCUUUUUAAAUCCUUAAUGAACCAUUGGAUUUAAACGAAGAGAAAGGUCGUCUUAGUGAAAGAGCUAGCUCUAACUACAAAUAUCUUUGUAUUCAUAGUCUCCUAUCUUGGUCUCCUUCAAAAAGCUAAUAAACUUCAUGCACAAAUCCAAUACCUGGCUAAGGUAGGAUCAUGUUUGCUUUACGCAAUUCAAGUAUUAUUAUAUUGGUUAAAAUAAAACAAUCGGGGCAGAGCCUGGUAACUGCUUUCUUCUUUAAAGGACAUCCAAUGCCCACAUCCAUUGAAUAGGUCCUUCACAAUUUGAAUUUUGCUUUCUGUUAUUGCUCAUAUCGAAGUUGUUUAAUCAUUUAUGCAGUAUCAAUAAGAUGCAUAGCUCGUUUCAAUAAUUGACCAAAAGACAUGUAUGUAGAAUGUUAGCUACAAGAAGCUGUUGGUGGGAUCCACUAAGAUCAGAUUAGCUGAACAAAUAAAUGGGGUAGAAGCUAUUCAAAAAGUCUCAUGUAAGGACGUGAUAGAUCCGUUAUAUCCGUCAGAGCAUAUGCACAAGAAGUGUUAAGGCGAUGAUUGGCCCAAAAGUCAAAUAAAGUUUUGAUAAGAAUUAGUAAGACCUGCCUUACGAAUUGUCUCACCUGAGGCGAGAACUUGAAUCUAGUAGGAUGGGUACUUUCUUUUAUACUAAUCGGCUCAUGACGAGUUACUUUCGAGUUAUCCAUCUAUUUAUUACAACGAUUAGAUGACAAUCUUCCCUUCCUCUUUUUAAGGAGGCAAAAAACCUCUCAACCUCACUCCUAGAAUGAAGUAGUAAGAACCGGGGGCGAAAGAUGAAAGUUUGAUAAACCAAGAAUACUAUGACGGUGAAGAGCCUGAAUUAUAUAUAUCACUUCCUUCUUCUGAAAAAAGAAUUGCUCAAAAGCUUGAUGAAGAAACAAAAAGAGUGUUUUUUCUUAACCGCAUAAGCAAAAUGGAAACAAAAAUGCCUAUAAAACAAACUAACCUCUGGUCGAGACUAAGUCUUCGAUAGAAAAGCUCUGUUACACACCAACCCCUUAUCUUUACCUUUAUCGUCUUUUACCUCCUACCUCAGUCCUUUGCUGGCAUGGCUUGAAUGAGAGAAAAUGGAUGGCCAACGAUGUCUAUUACAGGAAUUCAAUUCUUCCAAAGAAACUAAAACCAAUACUUUCUCUAAUCCAACAGAGAAAAAAAAAAAAAAGAGUUGUGCUGCUGCAUCAUUCUUCAAUUGAUCGAUGGCAUUUCCCAAAGGAGAGGAUGGAGUGCUAUAUACAAAAGGACAGGUGCCCUUAUUGAUGUUCCCAAUAGUGGUGGACACUCUUUUUGCAUAGAAGCUUUGAAACCUCACGAUGGCUAUCAAGAAGGUCAGGUGAUGCGGUAAUGAGGUUGACUAGAUAGGGGAGGCUUGCGUCUAAAUAAGGCUCGACAGAGACCUAUUCUUAUUCUUAUUAUUCUAUAUUAUACUAGAAUAAAAUAAAGUGAGCUCAAUCAGAGUAGUAUUUUUGUCAUGGCCCAAGAUCAAGACGUAACACGGCCAUAUUACUUUGAAGAAAAUCUCAAAGUAAUACGAAGCCUUCUUUCUUAAACAUUCUAAAAUUCUUCAAUAAAAUAAUCUACUAAGUAAAAUUCAUAUCUUUAAUCCAACUGAUGAUAUAUCUUUAUAUAUCCAAAUACAAAUCAUAUAAAAUAUAAAACUGCCUCUUAAAAUCUUAUUGACCAACAUAUUCUUCGAAGAUUAAGUAAUCGUACCCAAUUCAUCUUCUAGCUUUACAUAAGACUAAUCAAACUUAUCACUUAGUCAUCUGUAAAAAAAAAAGUAAAAGGAAAUGAGCAAACCACAGCUCAGUAAGUAUAGGCUCACACACUUUACCAGAUCAAGCAUCAUUUUCUUACACAUCAUAUAGAUCAUUCAAAAUAUUCAUCAAAUCAUAAUAUCAAAACAUUUCAAGAUUAUCGUUUUGUCAAAUAUUUCAUAAAUUCAUAAAUCAAUAUCAAAAUAUGUCACUUCAUAAAUCAUUGUAAAAUAUGAUAUCAUUCAAAUAUCAUAAUCAAACCAAAUCAUGGAUUAAUAAUUAAAAUCAUCAUAAAUCAUUAUUAUCAUUCAAAUCAUUAGCUACGGUUACUGUUAUAACCCGUGACAUUGACCGUAUCGACAAUUUCAUUCUCAUGAUCAUUGCUAACUAUUAUAACCCGUUAACCAGGGCUUACGUUAACUACUAUUACCCGUUAGCCAGGGUCGUAUGAUCAUGUCUUUGCUAACUACUAUUACCCGUUAGCCAGGGUCAUAGAACUAAUUCUGGUGUCGGUGAUCCCACUUCCCAGAGAUAUAAAAACGUAGCUAUCAUAAAAUCAUUCUUUAAACAUAAAUCAUUUUUUCAUUUCAUUCAUAAGCAUGAUCCAUCAUUUAUAUAGAGAAAUACAAAAUAAUCAUAUGCUUGAUCUUAUUUUCAUACACUGAAAAUAAUGAAAUAAAACAUUCUUUCAUUUAGAAACAUAUAUAUAUAUACAUAGAUUCGAAAACAAACAAAGUGUGUGAGAUCUACUUACCUCCAUUUGAUUCCACCACUUAGUUUUUCCCCUAAAAUAAUUAAUGGCCUAUCCAAGAUCAUUUCAACAGAUCAGAAUUUAAUCAACCCUUUUUUAGACCAUUUAUACAAAAAUCAACUAAGUUACACAAGAGUUAACUUAACUAAUUAAUACUGACAGCCUGACCUCUUUUCAUUAAAAUAGUCAUGUCUCAACAUAUCCAAAUCGAAAUUAUGAUCUCUUUAAUACGUUAGAAACUAGACUUGAUAAGCUUUCUAAUCAUAUAUGGCACACAUCGUAAUUUUUUGUAGAUUAAUUAUAACAAAUUUUGAAAUUCACGUCAUAUACUGUUGCCAAAUAGCCUGUAUACCUUUUAAUAAAAACUAUAUAUUUAUUUACAGGAAACUCCAAAUUCAAUUCCGCUUAUUUCAUUGGAAAGUAGACUCAAUAAGCUUUCCAAAAAUAUAUGGCUUAAUAUGUAAAUCUUUGUAUACAAAUUAAAAAGAAUUUCGUAAUUCAACCCUGAUGCUAUUGUCUUACAGCUUGCAUAUCUUUAAGUUAAAAUUAGACAACUUUUCAUAGAAAACUCGGAUUUAACUUUCAUAUGUUUCAUUAGAAACUAGAUUCAACAUGCUUUCCAAUGAUAUAUAAUAAUCACAGCAAUAAUCUAUCCAUUAAUGUAAAAUUCUAUUUUAAUUCAUUAUUACAGAUCACAACAUCUCAUCUAAAAAUAAAAUUUCUCCUUUAAUCUUUAAAAACUCAAAUUUUUACUUUCAGCCUUCAAACUCCAUUCAAUAAUCAUCAAUAAAUCUUAAGAACAUGAAAUAAACAAAGCUCAGUAAUUUAUCCAAAUAGAUCAUCAAAAUUAAUGAAGGAUUUUAUGAUUUUUUUUUGUUUUUCUUUCAAAACUUCAACUCCAAAUAAUAGCAAUCAAUUUGAUAUUUCUUCUUAAAUAAAAAUAGGGCAUGUCCUUACCUUUAAGGGAUUAACUUGAUUGUAGCCUCUGAUUGCGAAUCUCAAACUUGAUUUUUCAUAUUCUCUAACCUUAAGGAAGAUGAGAAAGAAGAACUCUAUUUUCUUUCUGUUUUAUAAUUAGAUUUUUUUUCAUCUAAUAUUUUAUUUUAUUUUUUUACUAAAUAAUGUUUUAAUAAAUUUAUGAACUUUAACAUUAAUUUAAUCUAAUUAUUAUUUGAGUUUGAAGUAUUACAAUUAUUUUUCAUUAUCUACUAAGCAAUCCGAGUACUAUUUGCUUUCCAAAACUGUACUAACUCAUAAGUGCAAACACCCACGAGGCUAUCUUUCUAGGGCGGCCCCCUUUUCGAUCCCUGUUCUCGCUAGAGGAGGAGCAGCAGGCCCUAAGCUGUGUGACGGGGUCAUGAAAAAGAAAAGAAUAUGCUUAGGCAGGCGCAUAAACGUAGAAUGCAGACACUGAAUCAAGAGACGCAAAUAAAGAAAAUCAAUUUAUUUUUAUUUAUCCUAUCUGCUCACUCAGGUCAUCGAUAAGGCAUCCAAACCAACGAGUUCGUGCACCAGCCGCCAAUGUGUUUUGAUGUUAUUCCUCAUUGCAAGUCAAAGGAAAGCGAUCGAGGAGAGGAUUCUUAGCUUGAAUGCGCCACGAGUGACGGAUGGUUGAAUCGCACCUACUACGAAAGUAGCCAUGGAUGUGAUGAGUGGAGGAAUGGCUAAACCGACCAACCAUUUAUAUAAAGAAUAUACUCUAAUUUACAAAUCAAAUAAGGGAUAUAGAAUUCUUCUCUAUCGUCUUUCAACCUUUGCUCUUGCCUUGGCUUCGCCUUCCACCUUAUUAAGCUUUGGACUUCCACCUUCAGUUAAGCACCUAACCCGUGGGACGGGACCUUUGGUCUAGCCUUUUUUCGGGUAUGGGAUCGACCUUCUCUUUUUCCCUGUCUCUCGCGCCGAUAUUGGUGGCUGAACCAUCUCCCCCCCCCCCCCCGUCAGAUUGGUUCUCUCUCUCCAAUUAGGAAAGGCUGAUAAGAAAUCGUAUCAAAUACUAUUCCCCGCUUAUCCAUCGGAGAGAGGAACUGUCCUAGCUGAGCUUUAACUCCUCGAUUCAAGAAGAGCUCGGGGAUAGGAGGAGAAUAAGAGGUUAGCAAAGUACGAACGUUUUCCAAGCGAGCCAUAGGAGUCUAGGUUUUGCGAGCUAGUCCGAAAAAGAGGCAAGCCUAUUUAAAUUAAAGGUUUAGGUCCAAUCAUUCUCCCCAUGUGCUAUCGGGCGUGGGGAUUAGGGCAUAACUACCGUUGUUUAAGGGUAUGAGGAAUGGGGUGGUUAAGAAAAAAAAGGUUAGCCGAGGUCUUACUAAGAAAAUGUCCUAUUAUUGACUUAUUGACUUAAAGCUUUGUCCUAUACCGAUAAGAUAGCGAGGUUAAUCGUUAAUAUCCACGUAGGUAGGAGAUUGCCCGUAUAUGCUCUUCGAGAAGUAGCGACUAUAUUAAUAAGCUGAGAAUGCUACCUUAACUUGUGUUCAUGCAAGCGCUACUCCGAAGGUUGUCAUCAUAGGAUUGAAGAGUUCAGCCAAUUGUCCGGUUUGGUUCAUUUGUCUUCCUAGUAUAUCUCAUACCGCCAUCCAUCCUUGGCCUAGUCCCAGAGCACUACUAAUAGCCACCACAUGAACUCGAGACGAUGGAGGGCUCGGGUGUCCUAAAAACGAGGGAUUUGAAAGAAAAAAGUCAGCUCUUAUCGGUUAGAGAACGAAUUAUUUGUUUGAAGCAUGUGACUUUGAGUGACUUGUAUCAGACGAGUUAGCCUUCCUUCAGAUAAACGAUUAGGCAGGAUGAAGCCCCGAGCUUUUACCAUGUCUUCUGAACACGAACUCUUAACUUAGAAAUUGCGAAAAGAAGGACAUAUAAUGGUGAGUCGAAUCAUGUGCAGUAGACUUUCCGUCAGACUUGACGUGCUUCACAAAUUCCUUUCGGUUGGUUCUUUCCGGGUGUAGAGACAGACAAUCCCAUGUGUUUGUGUACCAAGAAUUCUCAAAGCUUUUUCUAAGACAUGUUUUGGACAUCACUAGGACCAGAAGUCUUAAUUUUUGCUUGAGACGAAGGUAGGAAAGGGCUCAGGGUGCAGAAUAGGUAUUUGGCUUGGCUUGUUGUAGGGCAGUUUGGAAAGAAAAGACGGAGAAGCUACAGAAGGAGAAAAAGAAGCUAGGUUCGUUCGAACAGUAGUAGAAAGAGAAAGAAUACAACCAUAAGAGUUACAUCUCGCUCAUGUGGGAAAGCCGCUUAUUCCAUAAUUCAGUGGAGGAGUCCUUAGCUGCAUUCACCAUCCCCUUCGGACUCUCUCCCCUUUCGUCAUAAGGCGUGGUUCAGUCAUUGCCGUUCCAGGCUCCCGAUUAGGAUAAGCCCUUAUGCAUGGGGCAGGUGGUAGCAGUGCAACACUAUACAACUCUGAUCAUUUAUUAAGUUCAAUGAAUAAUAAAUAGUGCUUGCACAGCCAAUUCCUAAUCCUGCAGAGUCCGUUCGAGAACCAGUACCCGCGUAUCCAUGUAUUCUAAGCUAAGCUCUUUGCCCUGACAACAUAAGAUUGCUUUCGUGAAGCUCCAGCAACUUUCCACUCAAAUAAUCAGAGGAUUCGGUGACAAUGAGUUUUCCCAGUCCAGUCCGAAUCUCAUUCUCUUUGUUUUGUCUCUGUGGCUGCUAGAAAGAUAAGUGAAGCUUCUUUUUCGACAUUGACAUGAAGACCCCCAACUAAGCUAAGCGGCAAGCUUAUAAAGCAAGAUUCUCCGCAUCCUGAAUACUUGUUUUGUUUGAAGCCUAGUUUCCUUCUCUCGAGGGAAGAAACUGCGCCAUCCCCAUCUCCUACUGAAAGCGAAGGGGAGAAAAAAAAAGAAAAGCUUACUACUAGGUUGACUCUACGAAUGGGAAGAAAAAAUAGAAUAAGCUUAGAACUAGGAUUCCUCUCUCUAGGCAUUCUAGAACACCCCUCUUCGGGAUAACUUAUAGACUAUUAGUAACACAAGGAAUGUUUACAGACAGAAGAUCCAGUAACUGAUAGGAAAUCUAUAUAGGUUUUGCCAUAUACAGAAAGAAAGCAAACAAAGAAAGACAAGCUUGACUUCUGAUAUCACAAGCUUACGAAGCUGACUAUUUCAAUCAUUUAAUAUUUAUCUAAAGACAGACCAAUGACACCCAAGCUUACGGUUACUCUUUUAUUGUAAUCUUUUAUUGUAAAGUAAAGGCUUCUUGGCCGCUACACUAGGCUGCUUACUGUUCUCAUUAGUAUUCAUCCUAUAAUCGUGGGUCAAACCUUCCAGUUGAGCUUCUUCCUCUAGGUUACCCCUUCCAGAAUGUAAGGAUCAGUGGCAUCUUACUAUUUCAAGAAAAGACCAGCGACAUCCGAAGCUGGCUAUUCAGAUAGAAAGAAAGGGUAGAAAAACUCUUUUCUUUUCCGUUAAAAGAUAGGCUUCUCUCUAGGCUUAAGGGCCUUAAUCUUCUGGUUUUCACUAUUUUCAUUACUAUUCUUCCAGCUAGGUUGACCCUUCAGGUCUAGGAACGGGCGGCAAAGCCCCCAAAGAAAGGAACUCAAACCCAGUUUCCCCCGCCUUUCCUCUUAUGGAGGUAAUCUUCUAGCUACAAAAAGGAAGAAGCUUUUCUAAAACAGAAAGGGUUUUAAGGGAAGCUUUGGAGCUCAGUUUCCUCUCCCAGUAGUUUUAGGUAAGGCCCUCAAACAAAGACAAUAAAGAAAGACAAGGGAACAUCCAUACUGACUAGAAAUCUCUUGCGAAUCAUCCCCUUCAGGAUAGUGUCCCCGGGGUGCAUUCGUAAUCAAAGUCUCAAAAAAAGUUAGAUGUUAUAUUCCCUUUAGGCCUCCCAUUCUACGUUCCACUAGAAGUCUUAUAGCUAUCCCAGAACGGUAAAAUUUAAAGGCAAGCAAGAAAAAAAGGACUAAUUUCAGCUCUCACUGACUAUUCUACUCUAGGCUUCUUAAAAGGCUUAAUCUCAUCGUCAAUAGAGUUUCAAGUUGGUCAACAGGCCUCAACCGACAGAAUCUCUAGUUUAAAUUGGGCCCUCGUUUCUUUUAAAAGGCCUUUUUCGAAGUGAACGCCGGAGAAGGCAAAUCAAAAAAAAGAAAAAUUCCUCUCGAUUUCUUGCCUUGUUCAAGUUUCCCCAAAAGGAUGUACGCCAGUAAAUCGGCUCCCCAAAAGUAAAAUGUCAACGCUUCCAAAUGAAAUCAGCCUGAAAAAAAGAAGCGAAGUCUUCAACUAAACCGGUGGUGCCAUCUCUGCGCUUACUUCCGUUCCGAUUCGAGAGGCUUCUUCCGACUAUUCUAUUUUUGGGCGGCUUGCCGCUUACUCUCAGAGUGUAGAGUGACUCUUCUCCGGAAGCUUCUAGCCAGUCUGGUCUGACUAUUUAUUCUAAAUAGAUAGGGGUCAAACAAAUACCGGAACAGCGGGCAAAGCAGUCCUUUCUUCAACCACUAUUGUGGUAGGAACACAUUCUUCGAGCGGGAGAACAUUCUGACUUGAAAUAAAGUCUAGGCUAGCUGCAGUGCCAUCUUAAUCUUAUAGUUGUUUUCACUUUUCUAGUUGGAGUUGAUUCCUACUCUCGAACGGAAAGCAAGUAAGCCUUUAAAGCUUUGAAUAUUCGACUCGAAAUCUUGCUUCUAGCUUUGGGCACGUAAACAGAAAUAGCACAUAUAAAGGAAUUCAGGUACCUCAUACCUGUUUCACUAGUCGGUUAGACUAAAAUUCUCACCAAUUAAUAAGUACACUGAGGUAUCAUAGCUCCGUAACAUAACGUAUGUAGCAAUUGUUUAUCAAUUUCAUUUGCCUAUUCCCAUCAGAAGCUAAAACCAAUGGCAUGGGUCAUCUUCCUACGCAUCGAUCAAUCAGGCAUCACUACUAGUUUUGAGCUCCACGGAGACGGAGCGCGGUAAUCAUUCGAUUUCGUCCCGAGUUUUUUUUUUGCCUACUGUGUAGAUUCAGGUACGUAUUGUCUUGGUCUUUUUCUCCUCUUUAUCUUUUGACUGACUGGAUACUUUAAGUGUGGGGCGAUAGCAAGACAGAGGUGAUGGCUAUUCACAAGAUUAGCAAUUGAAAUAGGACUGAGGUCCACAAAAACAAAAAAGCCUCUCACUCGGAACCGCUUAGCAAACUCGGCUGAGCGGAGAUCAACGACUUUUGGGUCGAGAUCGUGACCCCCAAAUCUUGUAAAGCUAGCUUAUAGACUUUAGCUACAGACUCAUCAGCUAUGAGUAUAUCAUCACCGAGUACUGCAUACCUAAUAAAGUACCUGGGUACACCUAUUUGGCCAACCACCGCACCACAUAAUGGUGAGUGAGGGCAAAGACAGGCCACGAUGCAUAAUAACCGAAAAUGCCCGCUCCUUCGUCGUUGGGAUUUUCUAUUUUUUUUGUUGGAAAAAAGAAGCAGCCAUAAGCCAGGCUCAGAACUAAGAAGAAAAGCAAAUACAAAGAAGUCUCAUUAGACCUUUUAAAAACGAAGAAAUAUGCCAUUUGAAGUGAUCGAAAACCUUAUUUACUUCUAUAAUAAUUCGAAUUCUCGUCUUCAAAGGUUAAGGUCCAGUCGUCCGUCCAGUUUCAGCAAUGUAAGGUCCCAUGAACCUUCAGCCACAAGCCUUCUUUCGUCAAAUAGAACGAAUCGUUGGGUUCCACCCGGAGACGAAAGCCUACUUUUUGUCUUGUCCUGUAGUGGUCUAGCCCUGCUUCUUGUUCCGCCCCUGCGGAUAUAUACCUAUUUUUAUCAGAUUCGUCUUACGCUUUAAACAUUGGAGCACUUUCUAAAGCCAAAACUUGGUUUGUCACACUCGCUUCGGUGGGUGUAAACUCACCACUGUAGCAUCAAAACCAAAAGCUCCUGUUCCCCCCUAAUCUUAAGUUAAGAAUCCGAAGCUUAAGCCAAAUCUGAAGCUAGAAAAGAGGGGAAUAAAUGAUUCCAGUAGCCAAGCCAAUAUGGGGUCUAUAACCACAAUAAGAAUACCCGUGAUCCGGGGCAUUCCGCAGUUAAAGUUGAUGAUUUGUUUUCAAAUUUUUCGUCCGUCUGUGUGAAAAGGGGAAAAGUAUGUAAGAUCCGAUCCACCUUAAGUUACGUGGCCUGAGCCUGUUCCUAAAGCAUAGGCUAUAGUACCAAAUCCAAGGUAUAAAGAAGCCUAAGCCGACGCCGAAUCUGCACCUGCAGAAUAAAAAUAAUCUUCAAAAUCAGAAAAUGAAUAGUACGUAAAGAAAGGGCUUUUUGAUCCCCGAUCUGAGUCUCGUCUUUCGAAGGGUCUCGUUCCGUUCAUAUGCCGCUCAUUUGUAGCAGGGUUUUUGUAUGUUUUAGAUAAGUAAGACAAGCGCUUCAUUACGCGUGAUUCUAAUUCUAGCAUAUGCUCAGCUGCUCCUACCAAACAUUAAAGGCAAAAGGAUGCUUAUCUGGAUCUGGAUCAGCCUACUUCUUCUAUGUUACGUCCGUCCCCUUGUAUUCAGUAGGUCAGGGAGGUACCCGCCCGCGCUUUUUCUUACCCGGAAACACGUCGCUAGCCUAAGGCAGGCUUCGCUAUCCUCCCGAAGCUGUCAUUUUCCAAUGUAAUGGUUUUUCACUUAUAUGGGUACAAGGGGCUUUACUAUAUUUUACUUUAUGUAAUUAAGUUUAGCUGUAGUUAGAGUGGGUCGAUCUAGCCGCCUUAAUUGACCCGGUUGAAGAUCACAUUACUAAAUCCGAAUGAUGAUUUCAUAAUCAAUCAUAGAGGUGUGAAAUGGCAUCUUUUCAGAAGUCAGAUAGACCGUUGGAAGGUUAGCGCACAUCAUUUUUCUAUUUAGCUCCGAAGGCAACCCGUCGCGCCCUCGUCGCGGCGUUAGCAGCCAUUGACGAUGUAUUGAAGACUAAGCGAGCCGGCCUAGAACGGAGCACAUGCUACUUCUUCGAAAUCGCGAACACCUUACCUUUCUUCUUUUCUUAGUCUGAUCCGGACACUCCAGACCUCGGUUCUUGGCUUUGAUCCAAUUCCGAAGCUCGUUUGCUCACUAGCCGAUGUUAUUUUCAAUUUUAUUAGUUAGAAAAAAAAGUAUUGAGAUACCGUACCGCCUUAAACAAGCGCCAGGAAAAUAGAGCUUACCGCGCUGAGUUACGUCGUAGGCGAAGCUUUCGAUUCGACAAAUGGUUGAUGCUCUUAUGCAUUUAAAUUGUUGAGCUCAUGUUUUUAGGAUCAGUAGGUCGGGUGUCAUGGGCUAAGCUUUCUCUUAAUAAGUGAUAGAUCAUAUGGACGCUCCCACUUAAGUCAGCCAACAAUAACUCGAUAUCUGAACAAGUAACCAUAAGUCACAGUUAAUCUCAAGCAUACACAAGAAGACAUAUUUAUAUCAAGAGAAAAAAAAAUACAUCAAGACAACACUCGAGACUUUCGAAUAAAAGAUGUAUUUUAUUAUUAUCGAAAAUAAUACAUCGAAACUUCACACCAUCGUCGGGGCCAGGGGGUAGCCCUUGACGAGUGGCCUACUUUUGUACCUUAACCAAUGAGACAGCCCAAUAGUAUGUUGACUGCUCAACUCCCUAAAGAGCAACUGAGAUUUUAUAGCUAUGUUACCACUAACCAUUACAAUGUUUGAAAUGGGUAUACUUUUUCUAGCCUAAGGGGUUUAUCCUUCCCUUUGGCACCUCUACCUGGUCAUGGCCCUAUACAUGAGUGGCACAUGAUUACCUAAACCCGAUCAUGGCCCUAUAUAAAAGCGUUGUCUCAUGACAUCCUCCCCCACCUAUUCUAUCGAUGACUGCAUCGAUUUGUUAGCUUGAAAUUCUUCAAUCUUCCUCUUGAAUACCCGAAGGUCGUGCUCUAUCUCUCAGCUAGUUUCUUCUGAUCCUAAGCCCUCCCAUUUCACUUAAUAUUUGUGAACUAAUCUUUUUGAUACUCUGGAUACUCUGUCGGCUAGGAUCUCUUCAACGUGGUGCUCUGAUGGUGGCUUCAUGGUGAUGGCAACCCUGGUUGACUCCUUGUGACUUGCAUCUCUUGGAUUUGCAUAGAAAGGUUUCAAGUUGCUCACAUGGAAUACUGGGUGUACUUUCAUCCAUUUUGGUGGGUUUAUUUUGUAGGCAGCAUUUCCCACCUUGAUAAUGAUCUUCACUAGGCCCUCAUACUUUCACACCAAUCUACAGUCUUGCUUUUUCAGGAACCUAGUUUGUUCGGGCACUAAUCUGACUACAACGAGAUCACCAACUUGGAAUUGUUGUGCUCUCCGACCUUUGUCUGCCCACUUCUUCAUGCACUAGGAUGCCUUUUCUAGGUAAGCUCGUACAAUCUCUGUGUUCUGUUUCUAUUCUUUACUGAGGUUGAAGGCUUGAGGAUUCUUUCUUCCAUAUUGCUUAAAAGAGGUAUAGGGUAGUCUUGGUAGUUGUUCUGUGACCACCUCGAACGGACUUUUGUUGGUGGAAGAGUUCUUAUUGGAAUUGAAACAGAGUUGGGUAAUGUCUAGUAACGAAGGCUAGUUCUUCUGAUUGGCUUGAACAAAGUGCCUUAAGAACUCUUCCAAUAGCCCAUUGAACCGUUCAGUUUGUCCAUCUGUUUGAGGGUGAUAGCUUGAAGAAAUAUUGAGUUAAGAUCCCAAAAUCUUGAAAAGUUCUUUCCAAAAUGAUCCCGUGAAUCUUGGAUCCGUGUCACUGACAAUGUUUUGAGGAAGGCCCCAAUACUUGAUCACAUGUUUAAACAUUAGUUGAGCUGUAUCUUUCGCAAUACAAAACUUAAGGACGUGAAUGAAUGUAGCAUACUUCGAGAAACGGUCAAUAACCACCAAGAUCGACCCAAGAUCACCCACUUUAGGAAAAUUUGAUAUGAAAUCAAGAGAGAUGGUUUUCCAUGAUUGGGUGGGCACUGGUAAUGGUUCGAGCAAGCUUGCUAGUUUAUUCUUUUCAACUUUAUCAUGUUGGUAAAUAAGACACAUCUUGUUGUAGUCCAUCACAUAUUGUCACAUGCGAGGCCAAUAGUAGCCUUGUUUUAAUAGAGUAAAAGUACGUUGCCAACCUGAGUGACCUGCCCAUGGUGUGUUGUGGCAUUCCUUCAUCAGCAUUUGUCUCAAACCUCCUGCUUUUGGCACAAACAAUCAAGGGCCCUUUGUCCAUAAGACCAUAAGUACUUCGACUUCCUUUCUUCAACUAAUUUUAGAAUGGCACCGACCUGUGGGUCCUUUCCCAAAUUCUUUUCAAUUAACUUACGAAUGUUUGUUGUAACUUUGCUAGCUGUCAUUGGGGUAAUUUUUCUCAGGGUCACUAAUUCUACUCGUCGGCUCAAUGCAUCAACCACUUGAUUGGUUGUUCCCGCAAUGUGUUCUCAAAGCAAAAAUCAAACUCAGCUAAAAAUUCUUGCCAUUGAGUUUGCUUCGCUGUGAGCCUUGGUUGGGUGAGAAAGUGACUAACUGUCGCAUUGUCUGUCUUUACUACAAAGUGUGAGCCCAACAAAUAAUGUCACCAAGUUCUCAAACAGUGAAUUACUGCUAGGAGUUCUUUCUCUUGGGCUGUAUAUUUUCUCUCAACUUCACUUAGCUUUCUACUUUCAAAUACUAUUGAGUACCGCGCUUGUAGGAGAACUCCCCCAAUAGCAAAGUCAGAAGCAUCUAUUUGGACUUCAAAGGGUUAUCGAUGUCGGGGAGGACCAAGAUAGGAUCUUUCAUAAUGGCUUCCUUCAGUCCUUCAAAUACCUCUUGACAUUCGCUCGUCCAACACCAUUUAUGCUCUUUUUUUAAUAGUUCUGUGAGGGCUGUAGUUCUAUGGGAGUACCCUUCUAUAAAUCUUCUGCAAUAGUUGGCCAAUCCCAAAAACGAGCGAAGCUCACUAACAUUCUUAGGUGUUAUCCACUCAUUGAUGGCUCUAACCUUUUCCAUAUCCAUUCGAAUGUGGCCUUGUUCGACAAUGUGACUUAGAAAAUGGAUUUACGUCUGAACAAAAGCACAUUUCUCUCUUUUCACAUACAACUGGUGGUCUUGUAAUCUUUGAAGCACUAGGCAUAAGUGUUCUUGGUGUUCUUCCAAAAUAGAGCUAUAUACCACUAUGUCAUCCAAAUAAAUCACCACGAAUUUGUCAAGGUAAUCGUGGAACACCUGAUUCUUUAAGAUACAAAAUGUGAUGGGAGCAUUGGUUAGUCCAAAAGGCAUAACAAGAAAUUCAAAUGCACCAUAUCGGUUACACAGGUAGUUUUUGGUUCAUCUCCUUUCGUAAUUCUGACUUGAUGAUAGCCAGACCUCAAGUCCAAUUUGAAAAAGUAUUUGGCCUGACUCAGUUGAUCAAAUAAAAUAACAAUAAGGGAAAUCGGGUACUUGUUUCUCAUGAUGACCUUAUUUAGGGCUUUGUAUUCGACACAUAAUCGUAGGCUUCCAUCAUGCUUCUUUUGAAAUAACACAGGUGCUCUAAAGGGUGCUUUUAACGGCCUAAUGAACUCGACCUGUAAGAGUUCAUCCAAUUGUUUCCUUAGUUCAACCAAUUCUGGUGGAGCCAUGCGAUAUGGGGCAUUAGCAAGGGGUUUAACCCCUAGGAGAAGUUUAAUUUCAUGGUCAACCAAUCUUCAAAAAGGUAAGACCUUAGACAAUUGUUCUGGCAUCAUAUUUUUAAACUUUUCUAACACCUUUGUCACCCCAUCGGGUAUUGGAUCUAACUCUAUCCCAUCCUUGUAGAUCGGUAUCACCACAUAAGAGAGCUCUCCUUUUUUUAUCCCUUUCUUGAAUUAUAGUGCUAAGAUCAUCUUCUUUUCAUUUUUCAACAAGAUUGUGGUUAGCACCACACAGGGUUACUCCCCUAAGAACAACAGAUAACUAGCGAUGGGGAUUGGUAUCACCUGAGCCAACAUCAUGAAGUCUAAUCCGAAGACAACAUCAAAGUCAUUUAUGAGGGAAAAAGUGAAGUCUACCUUUCCUUCCCAUGGCCCUAACUUGGUCACACAUUCUUGGAGCUUCACUGAUUGUGAAGGCUGGUGAGUGGAUCGCUUUCAUUUGUCCGUAGUCCUUGUUCACCUUAAGACCACACCUUUUUGCUUUCUCAGGUGUAAUGAAGGUAUCAAUUGCACCCAUAUCAACCAUAGCCCUUGUGGUUUUCUUAUUGAGUACUAGGUCCACAUACAUCAAGCUUCUACUCAGUUCUUUCUUUACCAUGUUAAGUUGGGUACGAGGGUAUUUAAAAACGUAUGGAGCCCAUCCUGGUCGGUUCUUUUUCAAUCUAUUCGAUUGUCUAUGGUGCUUUUAUGAAAUCUUGGAACGAGGCUCUUAAGGCAUUAAGGGCCCCUCUAUGAGGGCACUCAGCCAUUCAAUGCAGCCCCUUGCAUAGGAAACAAGCUAACGGUUGCCUAGGCCUGAAACUUGUUGCAUGGUUUGCUCUGGGUUGGGUGUUGUCUCGACCAAAGGGCCUUUUAUCUGAUCCCCCACUUAAGGUUUAGUCCACUCUGGCCAUCUUUCCCCCACUCCCAAAGAUGGAGUUACUACCACCUAAUGGAAGAUUUUUUCAUUUUGAAAAGCUAUCAUUGUAAUCAUGAAGGCAUUCGGCUGCAGCCAUGGUCAUGGCUACAUCUUGCACCUUUUGCCUUUAUAGUUCUGUCUUGGCCCAAGGUUUAAGGCCAUCAAGAAAAUAAAAAUUUUAUCUUUUUUGAAAAUGUCUCUAAUGUCCAAUAUUAGGGUAGAAAAGCUCCUUACAAACUCUCGCACUAUUCUCGUUUGUACCAACUCUCGAAGUUUCCUUUAGGCUAUAUACUCUACGUUCUCAUAAAAGAACUGGUUUUUCAAUUCCUGCUUCAGGUCCAUCUAAGUUUUGAUAGGGCAUUCAUUAUUUACAAAUUUUGAACGCCACCAAAGCUUGACAUCCCCCGUAAGGUACAUUGAUGCCAUUGCCACCUUGUCUUCCUCUGAUUUCGUACAUACGGCUCGAAAGUCUUGCUCUAUGUCAAACAGAAAGUUCUCAAGCUCUUUGGCAUCUCUUGCCCCCCUCAUAGCGUCGAAGAUUUGGCCUUUUGGCCUUUUGUCCCUUUUUCCCCGAGCUAGAACUCGACCUAGCCACCGCCACUUAUAAGACACCUACUUCGGCCCUAAGCUCCUCAAACUUUUUUUGGAGGACAUUCAAAGCAUCUUUAGCCUAUUCACUCAAGCUAUGUAAAGUAUCGGACGACUCCCGCUAGGUCAUCUCAAUCUCCUUCAAACGAUCGGUUGUAAGCAUAUGAGCUUUCAAAGUGACCACCGCGGCUUCAAGCUCCUCAAUUCUCUGUUGAUAGUUAAAUCCACCAUUCAUGGCCAUUUUUUCAAUUCUCUAGCACUUCACACUGUGCUUUGAUACCACGUGUCAUAGGCUAAGCUUUCUCUCAACAAACGAUAGACCGUGCAGCACUUGAAUGGACACUCCCACCUAAGUCAGCCAACAAUAGCUUGAUAUCUGAAUAAGCAACCAUAAGUCAUAGUUAAUCUCAAGCAUACAUAAGAAGACAUAUUCAUAUUGAGAGAAAGAAAAGCACAUCGAGGUAACACUCGGGACUUUCGAAUAAAAGAUGUAUUUUAUUAUUAUCGAGAAUAGUACAUCGAGACUUCACACCAUCGUUGAGGCCAGGGGAUAACCCUUGACGGGUGGCUUAUAUUCGUACUUUAACCAGUGAGACGGCCUAAUAAUAUGCUAACUGCUCACUCCCCUUAAAGAACAAAUGAGAUUUUAUAGUCAUGCUACCACUAACUGUUAUAAUAUUUGAAAUGGGGAUAUUUUUCCUAGCCUAAAGAUCUUAUCCUUCGAUUUGGCACUUCUACCUGAUCAUGGCCCUAUAUAUGGGUGGCACAUGACUACUUAAACCUGAUCAUGAUCCUAUACAAAAGCGUUGGCUCAUGACAUCGGGCCUACCGUUCUAAUGAUUCCGUAGAUACAGAAAGAGUCAGUCUCGGCUUUAUAUUAAAAAAUAAAAAAAUAGAUAUUAGAACGUCAACUUUAGGCUUUGUGAAUUAAGGAGGACUCAUAUGAUUCUCCUUCCUCGACUUCGGUUCUGUCUCCUGAAAUAACCCAGAAACUUGCUUAGUCAGGUCUUCCUUUUAUGUGAAUUCGUAGAGUAGGCAGAGACCCUUAUAUACGAUCGGAGUUUAAACACUUAAACCAUGGGUCCCCCGAAUAUCCAUCCAACCCCCUUUCCUGGCUUUUGUUCUACUAGCAGUAAGCUCUGCUCCCUCCAGUUCUAUUAAUUCCGGAUUUUCAUUUUUUUACCUGACGACCAUCCAAGGUUUCAUGAGUGCUCCUAUUCUGUUAGUUAUGACUUUUCGUUUGGCAUUUUAGUGGCAUUUUAGCUGAGUCCGCUUGGGCCUGCGUCAAGCCUGAAGCUUUUGUUUAUUCAGGUGUCUAUGCCGAUUUUUUUGGGGGUAGAUUGUGGCUUUGAGACAACCUUCUUCGGUAAAUGCUAUCCCGGGAAAAUGGAUCCGUUGUUGGUUCCAGAGAAGCGGCAGGAUAUCCUUUUUAAACAAAAACCGGGUUGGUAGAACCAGGGCCCGUUGUUUCAGACGAGACCUCCUUCAGGGCGGAUGAAGCAGCCCUUGCUUUAUGACCUGUUUCAUACCUGGAAGAGUUGAAAGAUCAAGGCCAUUACUUCCACGAUACAGCCCCCCCUGCUGAAUCUUAAGCUUUCUCAAUAGCGUAGCCUCUUUAACCCCACCGCAUCAGCUAUACACCGAGGACCGGUACCGAGACCCAUACCCCCCUAGCUACAUGGUGGUACUUUGCGGCUCCUCACAAGUAGUUUUGGUCGGACAUAAUAUCUACCGAAGUGGGACAAAGGGCCUUAUAAAGAGAAGCGAGGCGGGGGACUAGAAGCAAGCUAGUUUUCGCAAGACGGCUUACUUCACCAACGAACGGGGUGUGGGCCAAGACGACGAAAGUUUUGAUUCAACAACUGAUAACCCCGAAAGGCAAACAAAGUCAAACUGAAUAAAAGUUGACUUACGAUAAAAAAAUAAAGGAAUGUCUCUUUUACUUUUAAAAUGUGAGAUAGCUUUACUUUUGGUCCCGUUUGGAUGGUUUCAACUAUCUCCUAGAAAGCCAGGAGACGAGACAGAAGAUGUAGAGAAUACUAUGAGAGUGUAUCCUAUGUGACGGAGUAGAGAAGGGAGCACCUUCAACCGACAAAGCACUUAUUCCUGCUCGGUCAAGAUGUUUAAACGGACCUUCUUCAAAAAUGUCUCUAAAGGUGGCUAAUGGGACUACUGGUCUGCUGCUUUGACUUUUUUCAAUUACUGUGAAAGUAAAGAAACUCAGCUUCUUACAGGUCUUAAUAAGCAAUAAGCGGGCAACUAAGGUCUACUCGUCAAGUAAAGCUUCACUUUUUCGAUGACAGCUAAAGCCGAUUUAAUCAAUGCGACUCUGGCCCACCGAAAGGAAUAUUCUGAGGCGGGCAGGUAAAGAAGGGCCAAGAUAUAAUCUUCUCAUUCAGAAAAUGCCCUCUUAUGCGCUAUCCGAUCUCGUGAAGCCAAUGGGUUAGCAAUGAUCCUAUCAAUUGACAGUUUCGGGACUUCUCCUGAAGAAUGACCAAGGGAACCGACCGUAUCAAAGUAGUGUGAUCUCUUGGCAUAGCUGAAACUCGAUGUCAGAAAGCACGUUCCUCGCUAUGAAGCCCGAAGACGAAGGUCUGAUUCAGCGAACGGGUUAGCUUUCCCACUCUCCUUGCUUUCAAUCUGUCUUGUGCCACUCCUCAAGCCAUUCUUUGAACUUUGAACUUACUUAAUAGGGGCGACCUUCACUAUUGUUGGUGGAAGUCCCCCUUUCCGAUUAUAGAUCUAAGAGUUUGUUUUUUCCCUCCUAAUCUAGUUGAAAGAACUGAUAGUUUUUAUUGAUUCAAGGAAACUGACCAAUCUAAGAAAUUUAGAAUAGAAUCGUUGAAAUUGUUCAUAAUUGUUCUAUCUAUCUUCAAGGUUUUUCAAGUCUUUUAGGGCUCCGGGGAUCGACUUCGCAGGACCAUUUCGGUCCACUCUUGGUUAGGCUCUAUCGGGCGGAGCUUUCUCAAUCAACUAUCAAGCGAUAAUGAAGAAAGAAAGUUUUAUGAAACUUUUACUUCUUUCAAAUGUCAACUUCUUCUCUUAUGAUAUUGAAUUUCGAAUUACCUAUUCUACUUCACAUUGGCCAAUUUCACACCUUCUAAAUGUGUCAUUUGACCGAAUGUGACAACUAAUCAAAAGACACCAAUUCAUUUUUAGGAACAAAAGAAAUGAUGGGGUAGGGUCUUUUAGCUAAAGAUCAAUCUAGAAAGCAGAGUCCAAGGUACAUGUGUUAAGCAUAUUCUUUCCUUUACCCGGGAAAAGUAGAUCCUUAAUAGCCUCAAUUUAGAGUUUAGCAUUAAAAGCAAAAGGCAUACAGCCUCAAUUUAGAGUUUAGCAUUAAAAGUAAAAGGCAUGCAUAGCGUAUAGAUUGCUCGAAGAUCCAAGUCAAAACCUACUGCGUCGACACCUUCACAUUUUAAGUAAGCCUCUAGCAAAUGAGAAGGUGUCACGGACUAGGCUUUCUCUCAACAAGCAAUAGAUCGUGCGGUAUUUGAAUGGACACUCCCACCCAAGUCAGCCCUCAAUAGUUCGAUAUCUGAACAAAUAACUAUAAGCCACAGUUAGUCCCAAGCAUACGUAAUAAGACACAUUUAUAUCGAGAUCAAUCUCAAGCACACACAAGAAGGCACAUUCACAUCGACAAAAAAAAAAACACAUCAAGGUAAUAUUCGGGACAUUCGAAUCAGAGGUGAAUUUUAUUAUAAUUGAAGAUAGUACAUCGAGACUUCCCACCAUCACCAAGGCCAAAAGACAGCUCUUGACGGAUGGCCUAGACCCAUAUUACGACCGAUGAGACAACCCAACAAUACGUUACCCGUUCACUCCCCUAAAGAGCCUUAGAGAUUUUAGAGCUAUACUAUCACUAACCAUUAUAAUGUUUGAAAUGGGGACACUUUUCCUAGCACAAGAGAUCUACCCGGUCAUGGCCCUAUACAUGGAUGGCUCAUGAUAACCUAAGCCCCGAUCAUGGCCCUAUACAAGGUUGGCUUAUAGCAUCCUCCUUCACCUAUGCUAUCGACGUCCUCGUCGACUUGUUGGCUUGAAAUUCUUCAAUCUUCCUCUUGAAUCUCCGGAGGUUGUGUUCCCUUUCCCAGCUAGUUUCUUUUAGUCCUAAUCCCUCCCAUUUCACUAAGUAUUCACGAACUAGUCUUCGAGAUACUUUAAUUUUUCUGUCGGCUAAGAUCUCUUCGACGCGACACUCUGAGGGUGGUUUCAUGGUGAUGAUGGCACUGGUUGGCUCCUUUCGGCUAGCAUUUAUAGGAUCUGCAUGAAAAGGUUUCAAAUUACUCACAUGAAAUACUGGGUGCACCUUCAUCCAUUUUGGUGGGUCAAUUUUGUAUGAAGCAUUCUCCACAUUGGAAAAGAUCUUCACUAGACCCUCAUAUUUGUGCACUAAUCUGCAAUCUCUCUUUUUCAAGAACCUGGUUUGUUCAGGGACUAGUCGAACAAGAACCAAAUCACCAACUUGGAAUUGUUACGCCUUGUGACCUUUGUCUGCCCAUUUCUUCAUUCGCUUCGAUGCUUUUUUCAGGUAAGCUUGUGCAAUCUCAGUGUUUUGUUUCCACUUUUUGUCGAGGUUGAAGGCUCUCGAAUUUUUCCCUCUAUAUUGCUCUAAGAAAGUAUGAGGUAGCCUUGGUAAUUAUUCGGUGACCACUUCAAACGGGUUCUUAUUAGUGGAAGAGCUUUUGUUAGAAUUAAAGUAAAACUGAGCAACAUCCAAUAACGAAUGCCAGUUCUUCUAAUUAGCUUGAACAAAGUGCCUUAAGUAUUCCUUUAGUAAUCCAUUGAACCAUUCCGUUUGACCGUCGGUUUGAAGGUGGUAGCUUGAGGAGUUGUUAAGUUGAGACCCCAAUAUCUUAAAAAGUUCUCUCUAAAAAGAUUCCGUGAAUCUCGGAUCUUUAUCGCUUAUAAUGUUUUGAGGAAGGCUCUAGUAUUUGACCACAUAUUUAAAUAGUAAUCUAGCUGUGUCUUUCGCAAUACAAUACUUAUGAGUAGGGAUGAAUGUAGCGUACUUAGAAAAACGGUCAAUCACCACCAAAAUAGCUCCAAAAUCACCAACAUUGGGAAGGUCUGAAAUGAAAUCUAGAAAAAUGCUUUCCAAUGGUCUAGUGGGCACCGGUAAUGGUUUAAGCACACAUGCAAGUUUCUUCUUUUCAACUUUGUCUUGUUAGCAAAUGAGACAAGUCUUUGUAUAAUCCAUCACGUCUUAUCACAUAUGAGGCCAAUAAUAUCCACGUUUCAAUAAAGCCAAAGUGCGUUGUCAGCCCGAAUGUUCAGCCCAUGGUGUGUCAUGACAUUCCCUUAUCAACAUUUGUCUUAGAUCUCCUGUUUUUAGCAUAAACAAUCAGGGCCCCUUGGUCCAUAAGAUCUCAUUUUCUUACCAGAAGUACUUAGACUUCCCUUCUUCAACUAGCUUCAGGAUGGUACUAGCCUACAGGUCCUUCCCUAAAUGAUCUUCAAUUAACUUACGAAUGUCUGUCGUGACUCUGCUAGCCACCAUUGGGGUAAUUCUUCUAAGGGCUACUAACUCUAUUCAUCUGCUCAAUGCAUUGGCCACUUGAUUGGUCUUUCCAACGGUGUGCUCAAAAUAAAAGUUUAACUCUGCUAAAAAUUCUUACCAUUUAGCUUGUUUCGCUGUAAGUCUUGGUUGGGUGAGAAAAUGGCUAACGACCGCAUUGUCUGUCUUCACGAUAAAGUGUGAACCUAACAAAUAAUGUCGCCAAGCCCUCAAGCAGUGAACUACAGCCAAGAGCUCUUUUUUUUGGGCCGUAUAUUUUCUCUUAGCUUCACUUAGCUUCCUACUUUCAAAUGCUAUUAGGUGACGUUGUUGUAAAAGCACUCCUCAAAUAAUGAAAUCAGAUGCAUCCGUCUGAACUUUGAAAAGCUUUUCAAUAUCAGAGAGAGCUAAGAUAGGAUCUUUCAUAAUAGCAUCUUUCAAUCCCUCAAAGGUCUCUUGGCACUCACUUGUCCAACACCAUUUAUACUCCUUUUUUAAUAGCUUUGUAAGGGCCAUGGUCUUACAAGAGUACCCUUCUACAAACCUUCUAUAAUAGUUGGCUAGUCCCAAAAAUAAACGAAGUUCACUAACAUUCUUUGGUGUUGUCCACUCCUUGAUGACCAUAACAUUUUUCAUGUCUAUUCGAAUGUGGUCAUGUUUGACAAUGUGAUCGAAAAAAUGGAUUUGGGUCUGAACAAAUAUACAUUUCUUCCUUUUCACAUAUAACUGGUAGUCUUGUAAUCUUCAAAGUACCUGACACAAGUGUUCUUGAUAUUCUUCCAGAGUAGAGCUAUAUACCACUAUGUCAUCUAAAUAGAUUACUACAAAUUUGUUUAGAUAGUCAUAGAACACCUGAUUCAUCAAUGUAUAAAAUGUGACAGGAGCAUUGAUCAGUUUAAAGGGCAUAACAAGAAAUUCAAAUGCACUAUACCAUGUUACACAAGUGAUCUUUGGCUCAUCUCCCUCAGCGAUUCUGACCUGAUGGUAGCCAGAUCUCAAGUCCAAUUUGGAAAAGUACUUAGCCCGACUUAGUUGAUCAAACAAAUUUGCUAUAAGAGGGAUGGGAUAUUUAUUUCUCACGGUGACUUUGUUCAGGGCCUUGUAGUCAACACAUAAUCGUAAACUUCUAUCGUGCUUUUUUUAAAAUAGCACUAGCGUUUCAAAAGGAGCCUUUGAUGGUCUAAUGAACCCGACCUGUAAAAGCUUAUCUAAUUGUUUCCUUAGUUUGGCCAACUCUGACGGGGCCAUGCGGUAAAAGGCUCUAGCAGAGGGUUUAACUCCUAAGAGGAGCUCAAUUUCAUGGUCCACGGCUCUUCGAGGAGAUAGAACCUUAGGCAACAUCCCUGGCAUCACCUUUUCUAAUUUUUUAACACUUUUUCCAUGCCAUCAGGUAUCGGUUCCACUCUCAACCCUUCUUUGUAAAUUGAUAUGGCCACAAAGAAGGGUUCCCCUCUCUUUACCCUUUUCUUGAACUGUAAACCUGAGAUCAUUUUCUUCUCAUUCUUUGACAAGAUAGUGGCCGACACCACACAUAGAUGUUCCUCUAAGAACAACAGGCAACUAGCAACGGAGAUAGGUAUCACCUGAGCCAAUAUCAUGAAGUCCAAUCUGAAGAUGACAUCAAAGUCAUCCAUAAGGGGAAACUGUAAAGUCUACCUUCCCUUCCUAUGGUCUCAAUUUGGUCAUCGCACUCUUGAAGCUUCCACUGAUCUUAAAAGCUGGCAAAUUAACUGUCUUUAUUCAUCCACAGUCUUUGCUAACCUGAAGACCACACUUUUUUGCUUCUUCUGAUAUGAUAAAGGUAUCAAUUGCACCCAUGUCUACCAUGACCCUGAUGGCCUUCUCAUUGAUCAUUAAGUUCACAUACAUCAGGCCUCUACCCUACUCUUUCUUUAUUGUAUUCAGUUGGGUGUGAAGGGCAUUGAAAAACCUUAUUGAACCCAUCCUGGCUGGCUCCUCUUCAACUUCUUCAAUGAUCUCUGGUGCUUUUGUGGACUCUUGAGAUGAGGCACUUAAGGCAUUAAGGGCUCCUCUGUUGGGCAUUCAGCCACUCGAUGCGACCCCUUACAUAGAAAGUAAGCUAGUGAUUCCCUAGGCUUGAAAAUCACUGCAUUGUUUGUCUUGGGUCGGGUGCUAUCUCGACCAAAAGACCUCCUAUCUGAUCCUCCACUGAAGGGCCAGUCCAAUCUAGUCAUCUUUUUUCCAUUCUCAAAGUUGAAGUUAUUGCCAACUGAUGGAGGAUUUUUUCAUUUUGAGGAGCCAUCAUUAUAAUCAUAGAGACGUUCAGCUGCAGCCAUGGCCGUGGCCACGUCUUGCACUUUUUAUCUUUGUAGUUCUGUCCCGGCCCAAGGCUUGAGGCCCUUAAGGAAAUAAAACAUCUUGUCUUUUUCGGACAUAUCUCGAAUAUCUAGCAUCAGGGUAGAAAAACUCCUCACAAACUUUCGUAUUGUUUCUGUUUGCACUAAUUCUCGAAGUUUUCUUCGAGCCAUAUACUCCACAUUUUCAGGGAAGAACUGAUUUUUUAGUUUUUGUUUCAAGUCCGUCCAAGUCUUAAUUAGACACUUGUCAUUGACAAACUUGAAGCGCCACCAUAGCUUGGUAUCCCCUGUGAGGUACAUCGACGUCAUUACUACCUUAUCUUCCUCUAAAUCCGUGUAUACAGCUCGAAAGUAUUGUUUCAUGUCAAACAGAAAGUUUUCAAGCUCAUUGACAUCUCUUGCCCCCUCAUAGCAUCGAGGCUCCGACACCUUGGCCUUUUUUUCCCUUUCUGUCGAGCUCGAACUCGAUCUGGCCACAGCCAUUUGUAUGAUGCUCACUUGUGCUCUGAGCUCCUCAAACUCCUUUUGGAGAACAUCCAAGGCAUCUCUAGGCUCCUCGCUCACAUUGUGGAGAGUAUCGGAUAAUUCCCGCUAGGUUGUCUCGAUCUCCCUUAAUCGAUCUUUAGUCACCAUGUGAGUUUUCACUGCGGCCACCGCGGCCUCAAGUUCCUUAAGUCUCUGUUGAUAAUUGGGUCCACCACUUGUGGCCAUCUCUUCCAUUUUCUAGCACUUCUCAACUUAGCUCUGAUACCACGUGUCACGGACUAGGCUUUCUUUCAACAAGUAAUAGACCGUGUGGCACUUAAAUGGACGCUCCCACCCAAGUCAGCCCUCAAUAAUUUGAUAUUUGAACAAAUAACCAUAAGCCACUGUUAGUCCCAAGUGUACGCAAUAAGACACAUUCAUAUUGAGAUCAAUCUCAAGCACACACAAGAAGGCACAUUCACAUCGAUAAAAAGAAAAACACAUCAAGGCAACAUUCGGGACAUUCGAAUCGAAGGUGAAUUUUAUUAUAAUCGAUGAUAGUACAUCGGGACUUCCCACCAUCGCCAGAGCCAAGGGGACAGCCUUUGGUAAAUGGCCUAGGCCCAUAUCACGACCGGUGAGACAACCCAACAAUACGUUGCCCGCUCACCCCCUAAAGAGCCUUAGAGAUUUUAGAGCUAUGCUACCACUAAUUAUUACAAUGUUUGAAAUGGAUAUAUUUUUUCAAACACAAGAAAUCUACCUGGUCAUGGCCUUAUAUGAGUGGCUCAUGAGAGCCUAAACCCUGAUCAUGGCCCUAUACAAGGUUGGCUCAUGAUAGAAGGCCUGUGGACAAAUCAAGUAAUGGAGCGAGGUGAGUUUGGUUUCCAAUAGCCAUUGCUGCCGGUUCUUAUUGGAAUAGGCUUCGGGCUAACCGGCUAGCAGAACAGACCGAUCAAUCGUAUUCGUUAGCUUAAGUGCUAUCCUCGUCUACUCUUUGCGAAGUUGAUUAUUUUUAAAAUAAAUGAAUUCCAGAUCAGCGACAUCUGUUUUAGGAGUUUGCUUUGUGUUGAAGACUAAUAGGCUUUCAAGCUUGGAGUUUAAAACUCGGUCAAUACAUCAGGAGCUAAAGGAGAAUAGUGAAAACUAGAAGGUAGAAGACUAAGGCCUAGAGACUAGAGAAAAGAAAAGGGUGUUAUAGGAAAAGAUGGCGCCUUUCAUCCCUUCCCCGGGGUUUUCAGGCUUGUUCAAAAGAAAAAAAACGUGGGUGGCAUUAUGCUUUUUAAUGCUGAGGGGAUCAAAGGUGUCAGUUAUAAAGGUUCUUACAAUGUUCGUUCAAUCCAAGCAGCAUUCUUGUUGUUCUUAACUUAAGGAGAGGGAGGAGGGACUUCUAAAGAAGGGCUGGCUUGGAACCUAUGAGCGGAACAACACAACAAACAUGAAGAAAUGAAAAAGAAUGAACGGGAGGCGUCGGAGGAAGGACUGACGAACUACUUACUUGUUUACUUGUGUUUUUACUGACUUGGGGUUCUUUCUCGUAAGUGGUACACCUACACCCUGCACGCACACUCAUCUAUAUACAUUGAUAGCCUUUCGCAAAAAGCCCCUCUCUCUACUAAAUACAGUUGUUUCAGGUAUUAGUAAUUAGUAGGCCCGGAUCCAGCUGAAAAACGGAAUGGAAUACUCUAAGAUGCUUCAUAGCUUCAACAAUCCCCUUUAUUAGAUUAGUAAGAUAGGGGUUCAAAACCUGCGCUCCAGCGAAGAAAACUACAGGGCGAUCGUAAGAUGGUUGGCUCUUUAUUCAGGUGCUCUUCUGUCUUCAGGUGCCUACCGCUUAGUUAGCUCUUGUUUUAGGUGUACUCUUUUCGACUUCUUUCUUCUUGUAGCUAUUGCCUUAUUCCCUACUGCACAGCUUUGUGUUGUCCUUGUGCUAAGGAAGUGCCUCCCCCUAUUCCACCCAAAGCUGGUUCCGUGGCCAAAUCAGAUCUUUCUUUAUUAAUCUUCCUCUCCUUAAGCUUAAGUUAAAAAGGUUGAGCCAGUUUUCACUUCCUCCAGCCCUUAGACUUGUUACGUUUAACGACUUCACUCGAAAGAAAGCGCUUACGUAUACGAAUGCUUAAAGAGUUCGGACUUUGGGGAUACCGGAGUGGGGACAUUGGUACAUGGGGAGUUUACUGUAUUCAGGAAUCUCAUGUAUAGAAUCAAUCUCUCGAACCCUCGGGUGAAAUACGAGAGGGACUAAGUGCGGAAUGAAGGCACCGAAAGUUAUAAUCCUAUUCAUUCAAAUGCCAGUGAUUCAAAAAAGACCUUACUUCGACUAACAAAAAAGGUCUACUUCCCUACUCAUGUUCUGAGUAGGGCUAGGGCGCGACGCUAAGGCUAAGGCUUUCGAAAAGACAGAUGAAUGCCGUCGAGCAACUCCUUCGUUGAGAUAGAGUGAGUGUGCGUGAAGGACAUAAAAUGCUAAUCUCCUUCAUUGCUUCAUGGAAAAGGCCGAGUGAAAACGUUUUUUCAACUUCUUAUAAUGAGGAUUUUUACAAUGCUCAUUUCCUCAUGGGUGAUCACUCGCUCUUUAUCUAAAAAUCCUCUAUGAAAUGACUUGACUAAUUGAUAGCCUGCAUGGACUCGACACCUCCUCUCCACGGGUCGCUUUGACUAAUCAACUCGGGUCAAGCUAUCAAUCCCGCCCCCCGGAGCAUACUACCAAGGAACCAGGCCGCCUCUGUCUUUUAGCCCAACCUCUCUGUUAAAGAGCCUAUCUAGUCGAUGGGAAUCCCCAUAUUUUAUAUUGUUUUCUACCCAAGUGGAAGGGAAAAAGUCAACUCACAUACAACUAUCUGAAAUCAGUGAUUGAAUUGAAGUGGGAGAGUGGGCUUGGAGUUUGGCCAAUUGCUCUCAAAGACCAGCUAGGCGAGAUUCAGCUUUUGUUGCUGCCUCUGUGACUUCUUUAGCUGCUGCUGCUUUCUCUCCAGCUAUAUUGAGUAGCUGGUCCAACUCCGGUGGUUUAAGUUUGCUGCAAUAUCCUUGGAGCAGAGCAUGAGCCUUGGGAGCAGUUGUACAAGCCUUCUGUCAUCUUCACAAAGUCCCGGUACAACUGACAGCUCUACAACGAGAUGAGAAAGCUCAUGUGGCAUGUCACUUAGAAGCAAAAAAAAGAAUCCAAGGCAUCAUUGCAGCUUUAAUCUCUUCAGCAUUCCUGGUUACCCAGUGUCCACUUCCUGAGGUUCCGUCGCCUUCGCCUUCAUUUGCUACCAAUGCUUAAUAAUAUAACCUCAUCGCCAGGUUUGAAAAUAUCUGGUUCGAAAGAGCCAGGAAACUAGCAAGCCUUGAGGAAGGAUAAGUUAUUUGCGCCGAAUAUGUGCUUCGUGGUCAUUGCUCCGGAGAUGCAUUGUUCAUUGGCAACCGAAGAAGGAGGAAGCUAAAAAAUGAAAAAAAUGGGUCUUUCUUUGCUCGAGUGUGGGGAGUUCGUUAACUUCAGUAUUAACAGCACUCAAAAGAGAGGUUUUUUUUAAGCUUUCCAGCGGGUAUUUCAAUUACACCAAUGCCAGCGGAGUUUUCAUUUCAGCCAUUCCCUUUUGUUUUGUAUAGAGGAGUCCGUGUAAGCUAAUGCUAAGGUAUUCUGUAAGAGAAAAGAAAGCGGUAAUACAGGCAGUCUAUCUUAUGAUUCUUCUUAUCAUUAGGAAGAAGCUCUUUAGUAGUUUACUGAAAGCUAUAGUAUUCUAUAUAGAAUACUUUCGUUUGAAUACAAUUCAAUCCAUGAGAUCUUGAAGCGGUGUUGGUGAAAGCAGUUUUUUGUCCUAUUUCAUCAGUUGAAGACACAUAUCUAUUUGCUAAACCUAUUUCCCUGAUAGCCUGUAGCCUGUAGAUUGAUCAAUUGAAACUUUCCCUUAUCCAAAACCAGCUCACUAGCUAAAAAGAAAACGAAAAUGGCUUAUUGAAUCCUUUCCUUAUGUUUUUUGUCUGUCUUUAUCUAGAAGCGGGGGAGUUGGGAACUAGACUUCGCUUCUCUUAAUAGGAAAUGGAUUUUCUCUUUCCUGCUCGGCGAAUAAGCCAGUACGCGAGGAAAGCUUAUCAUCCUUGCCUUUCAUCCUACUCGAAUCGUAUGAGUCCUGGCCUAAUCCUUUCAUUGUUGGUUAUCAACCAGUCAGUCAGUAGACUUUUCUUAUGAUCCUAGUUUCGAUUUCAUUGGCUAUGGGUCACGAACGUUCUAACAUAGGAAUUAGGGUGCUGCUCCUCUCUUCUCUUGCUUUCUUUCUUUUGCCUCAAAAACAGGUUUUUUUUCAUCCAAUGUGGACUUUAGUGCUUUCGAGUAGCAAAUGGAAUGAGUCUACUUAACUUAUACGGACAGAAUUUCCUAACCAUAGAUAAAAAGUUGGGGGGAGAUAGUCACGUUACACUUUCACCAAGGUUAGCGCACACAGUACUUUAUCAGCUUGCUGGCUCGAGCGAGAGCAGUACUCUUACUUUCCUUUCUUUUCUUUCAGAGAGGCUAAGGAGAUAGAAUAAAACUCAUGUACUACAGUAAGGGACUCUAUAAAAACGAAGAAUAGAGCAUAAGUCGACUCUACUCUAGUAGUAGCAGUAAGCGCUUACUUCCUGCAGUAGGGGUGAUAUAAAAUAGAAUAAGAGAGAAGCAAGUCUACUCUAGCUGCUGCCAUUGCUUUUUUCAGCUUUUUCGUUAGUGCGGAUUUCUCAAUUUCUUACUUUCGGCGCAGAAAGAGAAAACAGGGCAUAAAACAAGAGUACUUUAUAGUGAGACUACAGUGAAGUAUACCCUUCCUUCUGAAAUUUUUUAGUGGUGGCUGACUUUCACAGCUUUCUUAUAGCCCACUCGUAACUCUAACUCAAUAAAGCACCAUUUCCCCUCAGUGUCCCACCCUUUCUUUGAACAUUGUCAAUGAUCGAAGAUAUGAAAUGAGUGUCAUUUGAUGAGUAACUGAGAACAGGGGUUCAUCUUCGAGAUCAACAACUUCAUUAUCAGGGUAAGAAGUUCAUAAUUGCAUCAAAGGAGUCUUCAACCUUCUCAAUCAAUAGAGGCUAGAUCGGACUAAGGUAAGAAGAGAGACGAUUAAAUGCGAAAGCGAAAGCGGAAAUAUAGGCUUAGUUAAAUGCCCAAUGAGAAUACGUACAUGAGUAAGGAAAAAUCCGAAUGACUAGUGGCCAUAACUCAUUAACCUUUUUUCGCUUAGCCUUUCCUCUCUCUACCGUUACGAGGAAGCUGCAGUAUCCUCUUACGUCUUUGCACGGCUUUCGACCGGGAAGAGGUUCCUCAUUGCAUCUUUCUACACAGCAUUGGUUCCGUCCCUUAUCGCCCGUUGGAAUAAGCAUGAAGAAAACUUUGCAUUAGAUCCUUAUCUAUCGUAUUUUUUUGCCACAACAAAAAGCCCAGAGCAAGGGCUGGUGGAAGAGAAAGCAUUUCCGGAGUCUCAAUGUUGCCCCACCAAAAGACAAUAACCCAAUGGCAAUCGCGGAUCUUUUAGUGGACAGAGCAGCUGGGCAAUAAAUUCUGUCAUUCAUGGACGUGGGGUAUAACCAUUUUUGAAUCUCAAGAGAGGACGAGGCAAAAAUUGCAUUCCGUUGUCCUGGUGCUGUUGGACAGACAGACAUUCUGCUGGCAGGUGAUUCCCCUCGGUAUGAAUAAGGCUAGAGUUACAUAGCUGUGAGCAAUGAACCUCAUCUUCCAUUACUUUCUUUAUUGUAAACAUCGUGGAAGUGGUGUAUAUUGAUGAUGUUUUAAGUCUUUCCCUGUCUUUUGUCUGAUCUCAAGACAGUGUUUGAGUGCGAGAGCGCGGAUUGAAAAGAAACCCGUAUUUGGCGUAAUAGCAGGAAACUUCCUGAAGUUUUUAGUGCACAACAUUUAUUGUUGUAUUUUUUGAAAUUGAGAAGAAUAAAUCUAGGGUAAUCAAGGAAGCACCUCCCUCGAGAAGGAAAAAGUGCGGCAGCUUUAUCAGCUUGUAGAACAUUGGCUGAAGAGCUCACUGAAAUGCGGUUUCUAGCUCCUAGGAUCCUUGCAUUCAAUCAAAGAGGGUCAAGCUCGAUAUUUUCUUUCUCGGUUGAUACCAGCACACAAAGAUCCUCCCUAUGAACAGAACUGGAGGCAAGAUUUCGGCAGCUCCGAACUUUGACCACGAAAGAAAGAACAAGCAGCUUUCUUCACUUUGAGAUCCUAGUGUGAGUGGAUGCGUAGUUUGAAAGUAUUGCCAACUGAACCAGGGCUUCCACGCCUUUUGAUGGCUGACGUUCCUUUGUAAGCCCUGGACUUAGAAUGAGGAAGUAAAGCAUGGAAUUCCAUGUGUUCAGCAUUGAUUUCAAGAUGAGGAAUAGCACAAAAGAGGAAGCGUCUGGCAUUAGAGAUGGCUUCAGACUCGACCUUGAAGGUGCCAGUUACAUCUAUUGGACCAGACGGAAAUACAAGCUUUGUUGUAGCAUGGAUGGGUUCGAAAACUGUAUACUUUUUUUAAUUCGACUAGAUCCCUUCCCGCCUAGUAGUUCUCACUGGUAGGCUAUCGGGGAAAUUCGGUUGAGCCGCUGGUAGUUCUUUGUCUUUUUGGCCCUUUGUUGACAUCAUAUUCAACCUCUUCUCUUUAUCCAUUUCACAUUUCAUUUUCUAUAAACUCCUUAUAAACACCUUAUUCUGUGUCUCGCACUUUUCAACUUGAAUUCAAUUCCCGUAAUUCUUUUAAAAAACUACAUACCUUACAUUAAUAUUAAUAUAGUAUAAUAAUAAAAGAUAAUAUAGAGACUUACUAAUUAGUGGCCUUUCAGGGACUUUUGGGUGAGACUGGAAAGCUAGUAGAGUAUCGGUAAUAGCGUUUCGGGAAAGCAAGAAGGAUUAUACCUUUCCCUCCAUGCCCCUCACCCGAGGUCCAAGAACCUACUUCCUCUCCCUUUGAUUUGAAGACGCAUCUUAUCUCUUUUCGGGAAGUUAACAAAUAAAGCUUUUGGCCCCCUUGCCUCUGUAUGAGCCUUUUCGCUAAUAUGCUUGGAAAGUAGCGGUUCCUUGCUUGUGGAGUUACUUCUUGGAUCAAGGGAGUACAGAACCAAGCUCCUCUGCCUUUUUGGACGUAUGAUCCACCGUCUUAUUUUGAAAAGAAGAGGGUCCUUGUCUCUUUUUCUUUUUUUGUGUGUUUUGGUCUUCUGGUCUUCUGGGGCUGUUAAGCCGGGCGUUCGAAACGGGAAUGAGUUUAGCCUUGUGGGCUUUUGCCUUUCUUCCAACUUACUGGUUCUCUCUAUACCCUUACCUUAAAAAGCUUCAACAGCUUCCGACGGGAAAGGAAUAGACCUAAAAUUGGACUUCCACUGAGGAACAAGCCAGGUGUUCUCUCCCAUUAAGCAAUUUAUAGAAAUUCAUUCAAGGCUUGCUUUUAGAGCAACGAAGCUGAAAGGUGAAUUGAGAAGAUCCAGAGCGAACUAAUGAGUUUGAGUUCACGAGGUUUCAUGCGUAAGAGUCAGACUACUACUAUAUGAUAUAUAUGAUAAAAGAAGUGAAGUAAGAAUCUAGAGACUCUUUCGGCAGAUCUAGUUCUUAUAAGAAAUAGAUGGGCCUCUCGCCGUAGUAAAUAAACAGUCUUAUGAAAUCGGUAUUGAGAGAGGGAAUCUUUGCAUUGGUUAUCCCAAUAAAUAGUAAUACGCUACGCUCCUUAGACAGCUCUUUAUUAGAGUGCUUUCAGAGUUCAAUUUGAUACUUCUCUAGUCCGGAUCGAGAUGCUAUGCCUAAAAGCUCCUAGUCAACGGAAUACUUGACUGGACUUUACCGAAUCUCCUGGGAGGGGAUAAUGAAGGGCUAUGUCUUCAAUGUCGACGUAACAACUGUUUUUGUCGUCCUUCCGAGAGCGUAGCGUUCCAACUGACUCGAGCUACCUCCUGACCUUUACAGUAAAGGUUUCGGGAAGCAUCUUUCCGGUUAACACGCCUUUAAAACACACUCUUAUUUAUUUAAGACGAUUACGCGCAUCUGAAAUGAGAAGGAUAGAAAGAUCUUUCACAUGCGGAAUCGAAAACAUAGCCUUUCCGCCUGGUUAUUGAACAAGAUUCCCACCCAUAUUGAAUCUCAAAUCUAUCUAAUAUAAGUAACCGCUUCGAACCUUCACUGCCUUCUUUCUUCGCUACACGAAAAGAAAAAGAAGCAUCAACUGUGUGCGGAAGGAGAAGUGUUAUAAGCCUGUCAAUAGGUUCUGUUCUUAUUCCUUGCCGCCAGGUCCCAUUUCCACUGUUAGAGAAUGAAUGGUCAAUCCAGCCUAGAGGCUUUCUUACUAAGCUUUCAGGUUCGUAGCGGAAGUCGCUAGACUGCUGGUCUAUUGCUAGUGGACUGACAGAGCGAGCUGUAGUGGAAUCCCAAUAAGUGUGUUUGGAAAAGGCGUGGUGUCACGGUCCGCGCGUUCCUCCUACUGAAAUUACGCUACCGUGCGGCCCUAAGAUUAUUCUUAGUCAAGAUCAACCUUCAUCAUGUUCAUUUUUUUUCAUGGACGGAUCAAUUUCAGUCCUUCGAGCCUCAUGCCCACGAGCCUUUUCUGGCUUUUGGUCCCGUAGGGUUGCUCAUUCCGAAUUCUAUGGGGAGGAACCCAUUCCCAUCAUACAUCGGUCCACAAUCCUCAACUUAGCCCCCGAGCACCCAGCUCUACCCGCAGGGCCUUGGGAUCUUGAGCCCCGAUCCUCGUCUACUCAUAGGGAUGCACAGUCCCGGUUCUCAUGGCCUUGAGGCCUCUUGACAUGGUGAGAGCUCAAUACCAUGCCCGCCCGUAUGAUACGCAAGCUCCCGUAUCAAGUUUACGCAAGCACCCCAAUUAAGCUGGUCAGCAGCCAGCUCGGAGCCUUUAGGCUCAUCUCGUCCCACGGGACUCGGUUCUUAGGGCUCAGGCCCUUAGCAUCAUUAUCGGCCGCCCGCACGCAUGAUUGAAACCCCACAUCAUGCUAGUCCCGCAAGGGGACUUGGGUGUACUGCCCCAGCAGCAGUACGCCAGCCCGACUGGCCACACGGGUCUAGCAGCGUGCCUGCCUGCUAGCCCGCACAUCCCUCUGGCUCGAUGGCAUCCCUCUUACGCAACACCAUCACAUGAUCCUUCCGGCUCGAGGAGGAGAAACCGAGGGGCCUAGCGAUCUCUACCGCCAAACCUCAUGGCUCAACGCAAAGGCGCGAUACGAGGCCCGCCGGCCCCAACCGUCCCCGAGUUUACCUUACCCGAGAAAACAUCGCGCCACGCUCGUGACCCUAUGAUGCCCGCCCACCUAGACACCACGAGUGCCUAGGAGUAGCUCACUUCAGACUAGCCAGGCCCCCGCCUGCCCGCUAGCCAAGGGGGUGGUGGACAGCUGACACCAGAUCAUCCCCUUAUAAAGAGCGUUAGAGAUUUUCCCACUAUGCUACCAGUGACCGUAAGAAUGUCUGAAACGGGGACACUUUUCUGCCCAGCCAUCCCAGGGCCUUUCUCCGGCUAACUCAGGGCCCCGUAACAUUCCUCUUGGUCACCAUUGCUCCUUGAUUCUGCUCAUUACUCCACCAACCCACUCGAAGGUACCCGCACAUGGCUUCGAUCGACAGCACCCGUUUGGCUAGCUGGUUCCAGGGCACCGACGUAAUGCCUCAUACUUACCUGCUUAACUCGGGGUCUAGGACAUGGACCGUCCACACACAAUGUCCUCAACAUAUUCCCCUGCUCAGAACGCCCGCACACUGCUUCCACUGCUGGCACCCGUCAGGCUACUUGGCUUGAGGGUGUCCGACCACUGUCCCGAACUUCCCUGCGUAUCUCGCGGCCCGGGGCUCCUAUUGCCCCCACAACAUGUUAACAUCAUGUUCCAAAGCUCGGAAUGCACGCUCACAUCUCGUAGAACCACUUUUCCGUCAGCUCGGUCUCGACCGUUGCUCGGUUCAGGGUCAGUCGUGGUAGGACCAAGGCCUGACCAUGACACUCUCCCCCACUUACUAUGUCGAUGCCCUCAUCGACGCCAAGACCACACCCAACUAUCUUGUUGCACACAGCUGACAUUUCCUCAUAUGUCUCUCACUUGUGCCCUCAAGGAUUGGGUCGAGGUCCCGUCACAUGAGGCACCACCCACAGUACUCGUCCGUUAUUGAUGUAGAUUGGUCCCGUUGCCGCACUCAUGCCGCUCAGCUUAGUUCUUGCUCGACCCGUCUAACCUAUCUUGGUUGUACUCAUAUGGGCCAUACCAUGGCUUCAUCCCUUGAUCCUUGUUAGGUUGCGACCUCGAGGUGCCCUCAUUGAUCGAUGACCCUCAGUAGAAUGAAUAACCACAGCUUUGCCACUCAUUUGGUGCGUCCCACCGGACGUGACCCCUCACACCAACUGUACGCUUGCAGCAUCAACUCACUGAUGCGCCCCUCUGGACAUGAUGCUUAGGUCAACCGCACUCAUACGGCACUCUACAUGAUGACCCUAGCACAGUGGCAUUCAAGCACUUUGGUCAUCUCCCAACUUGGGUCCUCUCGGCCCCUCCAAGGUCACCUCUCUAGGUGUGGCCCUCCGGCCAACCGCCCCCAAGACGGCACCUUAAAACGUGCUAACUCGGUCUUUACCUCCGGCUUGAACACUAUGCUCCAUCGCCCAAGCUCCUUUAUCUUGGCUCAGUCUCGUGGGGAAUUGACAGGUCUCCCCCACUUUUACUCGAAACUCGGCACAGCAUUAUGCGCAACCCUGUCUCCUCGAUGGUUCUAUUGCUCGAUAGUUUUGACUCCAGCCCAGUUCCUAGGGCAUCCUAAAAUCCGCUUAUACUCGGAGACCCACUGAUUUGCUUGACUCGGGGAUUCACCAGCUCGAUCCUCAAGGUCCACUGACCUACACGUCUGAGGCCUUGUCAACUGGCCGUUUCCCUUUUCUUGUUCCACUGGAAUACAUCCUGUCGUGGCCCACUGAUCACCACUACUCGUGAAGCCUUCCCUUUCGACCAAUACAAGUUCGAUAUCCUGGUUCACACACACACUCUCGUGAUCCUCUGACCACAAGAACUCACGGUCCACUGACCAACGCCGCUCAUGGUCCACUGACCACCUCGCUUGUGGCUUCAAUCUUUAGCCACUUCAUACUCUUCUGUGUAGUAGUCUCAUGCUCGGACCCGAAUACUUCGGCUUGCACCCCCGCUGGGGCACCUGCACCAUACAGCAAGUGCACACAUUAGUAAUUAAUCUUGCAACUCGACACCUCCUGCCCCUCAGGACAAGGUUCACUCGGCCCACGUGGCCUUACACAACACCAUUUCAUGGUGUAAGCCCCUUUUCGCAUCUCGGUCUCACUACGGUUCCUUUCACCGUAAAAGCAUCACAUGCCACAACAUAUGCCAACACCUUUUUCUAGGUGAGGCUAGACUCUGAUGCCCUUUUGCUAGGCGUCCAAGAGUCUACUGGAGAGCCAUUUUACAUAGGCCCAAUACUUCUCGCAGCACGCAUCAUUGGCUCUUUCCCGAGCCCCCAUAGGCACAAAACCCGCAUUUGCGUCUCGAUAGCUCCUUUUGAGCUUGACACCACCUCGAUUUCACAUCACUAGACCCACUCAUGGGGCCAUGCAACUCUCGCCACUGAGCCAACCUAGGCUCUGAUAUCAAGUGUCACGAUCCGCACGUUUCUCCUACUGAAACUACGCUACCGUGCGGCCCCAAGACUACUCUUAGUCAAGGUCAGCCUUCAUCAUGUCCAUUUUUUUCCAUGGACGACCAAUUUCAGUCCUUCGAGCCUCAUGCCCACGAGCCUUUUCUGGCUUUUGGCCCCGUAGGGUUGCUCAUUUCGAACUCUAUGGGGAGGAACCCACUCCCAUCAUACAUCGGUCCAUAAUCCUCAACUUAGCCCCCGAGCACCCAGCUCUACCCGCAGGGCCUUGGGAUCUUGAGCCCCGAUCCUCGUCUACUCAUAGGGAUGCACAGUCCCGGUUCUCAUGGCCUUGAGGCCUCUUGACAUGGUGAGAGCCCAAUACCAUGCCCGUCCGUAUGAUACGCAAGCUCCCGUAUCAAGUUUACGCAAGCACCCCAAUUAAGCUGGUCAGCAGCCAGCUCGGAGCCUUUAGGCUCAUCUCAUCCCACGGGACUCGGUUCUUAGGGCUCAGGCCCUUAGCAUCAUUAUCGGCUGCCCGCACGCAUGAUUGAAACCCCACAUCAUGCUAGUCCCGCAAGGGGACUUGGGUGUACUGCCCCAGCAGCAGUACGCCAGCCCGACUGGCCACACGAGUCUAGCAGGGUGCCUGCCUGCUAGCCCGCACAUCCCUCUGGCUCGAUGGCAUCCCUCUUACGCAACACCAUCACAUGAUCCUUCCGACUCGAGGAGGAAAAAUCGAGGGGCCUAGCGAUCUCUACCGCCAAACCUUAUGGCUCAACGCAAAGGCGCGAUACGAGGCCCGUCGGCCCAAAUCGUCUCCGGGUUUACCUUCCCCGAGAAAACAUCGUGCCAUGCUCGUGACCCUACGAUGCCCGCCCACCUAGACACCACGAGUGCCUAGAAGUAGCUCACUUCAGACUAGCCAGGCCCCCGCCUGCCCGCUAGCCAAAGGGGUGGUGGAGAGCUGACACCAGAUCAUCCCCCUAUAAAGAGCGUUAGAGAUUUUCCCACUAUGCUACCAGUGACCGUAAGAAUGUCUGAAACGGGGACACUUUUCUGCCCAGCCAUCCCAGGGCCUUUCUCCGGCUAACUCAGGGCCCCGUAACCUUCCUCUUGGUCACCAUUGCUCCUUGAUUCUUCUCAUUACUCCACCAACCCACUCGAAGGUACCCGCACAUGGCUUCGACCGACAGCACCCGUUUGGCUAGCUGGUUCCAGGGCACCGACGUAAUGCCUCAUACUUACCUGCUUAACUCGGGAUCUAGGACAUGGACCGUCCACACACAAUGUCCUCAACAUAUUCUCCUGCUCAGAAUGCCCGCACACUGCUUCCACUGCUGGCACCCGCCAGGCUACUUGGCUUGAGGGUAUCCGACCACUGUCUCGAAUUUCCCCGCGUAUCUCGCGACCCGGGGCUCCCAUUGCCCCCACAACAUGUUAACAUCAUGUUCCAAAGCUCGGAAUGCACGCCCACAUCUCGUAAAACCACUUUUCCGCCAGCUCGGUCUCGACCGCUGCUCGGUUCAGGGUCAGUCGUGGUAGGACCAAGGCCUGACCAUGACAUAUGGCCUGUUAAUUCAGAGACUCGUUAAGAGCCUCGCCAAGGCACGUAGUCUUGCUCUUUUCUGUAAGAGCUAGUAGAUUCAAGCAAGACAGGAAUGAGAGUCUCAUCACACUAGUCUUUACAUAGUCAUAUGAAAAUAGCCGACGGAUCUAAUUUCUCUCUCGGGCUGAACUCACUCCUUAUAACAAAAAGAGGGGCUUUAUUACCUGUAGAGAUCUGCACCCAACUUGCGAGGUAUUGUCCGCUUUGACCCGAAGGUCUCACGGUUUUGUCUCACAAAAGACGCCUCUCAAGUUUGGGAUUAAGUCUCUUCAUAUAUAUCAUUUUUUAUCCACACAUCCUUCUGAUGUGGGAUUGGAGGCGUUACAAUCUCUCCACCUUUAAUGCUUGAUGUCCCUGUCAAGCCGAGUCCAUCCACAGGACCAAGAUCACACUAGACCAUCGUGUAGCACUUAGUGACUCCCACGGCUGCACCGUGUAGCACUUAGUGACUCCCCACGACUGCGGACCGGUGACCGCUCUGAUACCAUUUGUAGAGACCCGCACCCAACCUGCGAGGUAUUAUCCGCUUUGACCCGAAGGUCUCACGAUUUUGUCCCACAAAAGGCGCCUCUCAAGUUUGAGAUUAAGUCUCUUCAUAUAUAUCAUUUUUUAUCCACACAUCCUCUUAAUGUGGGAUUGGGGACGUUACAUUACCUGUUUCAUUUCUAAGACUGUUUGGAAAUGUAAUUUGAGUAGCUAUUGCCGAGAUCCCUUUUCUUUUGCUUUUAUGAUAUACUGCUCACAGGUCAGUCCAUCUCUAGAAUAAGGGCAGAAUGAAAGACGGGGAUAGAAGUUCAGUGCUCGAUGGCCCAGGGUGAGGAUUGCCUAUCUUGACUGAAGAAGGAGUGCUCUCUUAAGUAUAGGAUAUGCCAGGUUAUAAACAAAGGCUCUUCCGUUCUCUUAGAGAUCCAGAUCGGCGAUUACAGAAGCCUUAAUUUUAUGUGAUCGACGCCCCAGUGCAGUACAACGUACUCUUGGAAAGCGUAUGGAUACACAGGAAGAUGUGUGUGCCAUCGAGCCUCGACCAGUGCAUCAUGCUAUGGCAUAACAAUUACGUUAAAGUUUUCCCCGCCUCUGAGAAUGAAGACUGACUAGGGGAUUGGCCACAGUAUAAGUAUGUACGAUCUGCCAUGUGAGAAUUGCAACAAAAAAUCUCGAGAAAACGCAAAAUGUCACGAUAGAACAAAAACUUAGGAAGGAAAUCCCAAUAGCAACUCAAAAUACGGGGAAAGCGCAAAAGAAAAAUCAAUUACUUUUUCUUAGGAUUGAAAUCGGAUAAUAGGAAGCGAGUAUAAAAAAAGACCUCUGUAUUAGGUUAGGAGAGCCAUCAUGCAAAGAGUCUUUUAUGAACGAAAAUAAGAAAUCUUCUUUCUUUCGCACAGUCACUCAAGCACAAGACACAAGCAAGAGAAAGAAGUCAAGUGAUUCAGUCUUGGGUCGAAGCUGUCCCCCUCAAUUUGAUAGCAAUCCGCGGGCGCUAACAAAGAGGCAGCAGUGUAACCAUCUCCUCACUCUAGGCGCAAAGCAGUGAAGCCCAUGAAAGAUUUGCAUAUUAAUCAAGCAAGUUAAAGUUUGUGUCCUCCCCCUACAUGUUCAAUAUUGUUUUAGCGGUUUAACUAGAUUGAUUGCUUUCCCGAUGGUUAGUGUCAGUAGCGACUGUGUGAUCAGAUAGUUUUUUUAUAUGAUGUUUAGACCAAGAUUAAAACUUUUUAAACCAAUUUGUUUUAUAAAUCUCAUCUGAUUUGAUAAGUUGUAAUUCUUUUAUUUUAUCAUCAGAGAUAAAAUAAGUUUUUCUCGUAAUAUUUUUUAGUUUAACCAUACUUUCUUCAUUGGUAGUUGUUGUACCUGUAGAAGAGGUUACUGAAAGAUUAUCUUGGUUAGAUUCAGUAUUCAGUAUAAAAAUAAAAUCCGAUUCAUCUUCAGAAGAACUAUUAUCAGUUUCUGAAAAAACUUCAUAAUAAAUUUUUUCGUCAGAUAAUUUAUCAGCAAAAUAAAUUUAAAGAAAAGCUUCAUCAAGUUUUUUGAUCAUUUUCUUCGCACUUUUUUCUUUGUUAGGACAAGCAUUUGCAUAGUGACAUUCUUGAUCACAAAGAAAACAUUUACAAUUGUUUUUAGAAGAUUUUUUCUUUUUUUUAACAACAAAUUUACCUUUUUUAGGUUUAAAAGUUAUGGGUUUCCAUUUUUUCCAAAAAUAUUUUCGUUUUUUCUUAAAACGAUGUUUCUUUGAAAAAGAUUGUUUAUUACAACCAAAUUCAAAUUCAUUUUUCAAAAUCUUUGUACAUUAUUUAUACGAAAGUUUAGAUUUUACCUGCUUUGCAGCUUUUUGUUUGAGGUAGUAUUCUGUUACCUGAUUUUGAACGUAGUGUAUUCACAUCCAAGAGUAUCAUAAAGUUUGAUACUGGGAUUUGCAACGUGAACAGUUUUGAGUUUUAACUCAAGGUAAACAGGGUAAUUUUGUGAACAUAAUUCAUCUCAUGGUGAGGGAAGUUUAAGAAAAUAUUGUUGUAACCAAAAUUUUGAAUGUUUUUCAUCUAAUUUUUUAUAUUCAAAAAGAUAUUUUUUAGAAAAAUCAUCUAAAUAUUUAAUAUCACAUAAUUUUUAUUUUGAUAAAAUAAAUUGAGCUUCUUGAGUAGGAUUCAGGGAUUCUGUAUUACCGUAAAACUCAUUUUUCAAGAUUUGGGUUAAAUCUUUCAAAAGUUAAGAUAUAUUGCCUGUAGCUAACAAAGAGGAUUUAUGUUGUUCUCCGAGGGUUGUCUUUUCUCAUUUUUUGAGAAAUUGAAAGACAUCACCUUGUCAUAUACCACAAAAGUAGUUGAGGAAUCUUUCUUUGCUCCAAGUCUCUUUUGUAACUUGUGACAACAAUAGACAUAGAUUGUGCCCAAUCAUCUAUGAUUUUUCCACAGUGUUGAAGAGGGACUUUGGUUAAGUCUAAAUAAGUACCACCUUAAGAAACCGUUCAUUUGUUUAACGAAUCGAUAACAGGGGUUUCGUUCUGAACCUGACUUGUUUGGCCAAAAUCAGAAGUUUGUAAAAUCUCAUCCUUGUUUAGGUGAGAAUAUUUUUCCUUUAAAUGAGGAAGAUGUUGUAAAUUUGGAAAAUGUCUCAGAUCAUCAAUAUCUGGGUUAGAUAUUGCUUCUGCUUUUCUCUUCCCACGCGUCUCUAUUUAAGGGGUUGGAAUUUCCUUUGGUUUUGGAUCUAUUUGAUCAUCAGAACUAUCUUCGUCAUCAGAUGUGGUUGCAUUUGAUGAAGGUGGUUCAUCCUUGACUACUGGGUUAGUAGCAAGAAUUUCAAAAUUAUCUAUUACUAUAUCAUCAUUUGCUUCUUCAUCACAGACAUUGGUUGUGUCAUAGUUAAGCAUAUAAUGAUAUUUAUAUUUAAUAAAGAGUUCUUUAUGUUCUUCAUAAAGAGUAUCUAUAGCCUGAAAAUAAUCAAUCUGUUGUUUCAAAUCAUUAGUUUUUUUCAUUUUAUCUUUAAAAUUCUCAAUAAUAUAUUUAUAAGAGUCGAAAUUAAGUUGUUAUUAUUUCUCCUUUACUAAGGUAGAAGAUGAGAGUGUGUCAUCGUUCAUCAUAAUAUUGUCAUAAUAAAGUAGUGCAAAAUCAGUUAAUGUAUUUGAGGGAACAUACUUUUAGUCUAUCUUUUUUAUAAAUAUAUCUACUUUAUCUUUAAUAUUAUCAAUAUUUACAAAUUUAUGAAAAAAAAAAUUAAAUCUAUUAAACCAUUUAUAAUUUUACUUAUGUUAAUAUUGCUAAUACUCUAAUUAACUUGUUAAAAAUACGUUAUAUUUUAUUUUUAUCAAUAUUUUUUAUGAUAUUAAAAUAAUAUUAUUUUAAAUUAACGAAAAAACUAAUUAAAACAAGAUAAUUGUUAAAUAUAAACUAAAUUAUAAUAAUAAUAAAAUAAAAGUUAAAACCUUUUAAUUCUAAAUUUAAAACUAUUCAUAGCUAGCUCUAGCUAAGAAGUAAGAGUCUAAUCGGAUUGAUAAUAAUUCCAUUAAUAGGAUGUAAUCCUCCCAGUCAUAAUAGUUCUUCCAGGCGAGUAUAAGAGUGAAAACGGGCAUAACGUGUUCACGGCCUAUGGCCCUAUUCUUUAUCUAUUGCCUUCCAAAAAAACGAGCUACAGCGGGAUUAUAGGUCAAGCCUGAAAGCGAGUGCAGUAAGCUAGCUUUACCAGCCCUAAAAGUCAUUAUUUUGACUUCCUCUGAUGAGUCCCUCUUAGCUAGUAGGUGAUAGCUUCUCAAAAGAUUAAGGGACUUUCACAUCAUAUACGAGUACACCUUACCCAGUAAAAAAGAGAAGAUAAACGCUAUCGUCAAUAACUACUUUAAGCUAAGCCUUAAAUGUAAACUCAGAAAAAAUAAGAGUCAUUUCGCCUGCCAGGGAACCUUUACUAAUGCACUUUUCAACUCAAGCUCUUUUCCUUUAUUAUUCAAUUUUGAUUCAAAAAUACUCUUUAUUAAAAACUUGCUUUAUAAUACCCCUGCUCUCUCACCAGUUGGUUAGCUUGACCUUUUUACGCCCCCCGCUGGCGCUGGAUUCACUGACUUGGAUGAUCAUUCUAAAAAGAUCUCCCACGCGUAUUGAAAUAAGGUCUCUCUCACUCAAAUCGUAAGCUCUGCUCACUUUACUAAUAUGGACGGAGAGUUCAUUUACUUGAAAAAGACUCAUUUGACUUCCUGCUUGCCUUAAAAGAGUAUAAUGGCUUUGCUUGCUCACAUGAAAAGGAAAAACAGUUACUACUAACUCACAGGAUGUAACACAGAAUCGGGAUUGGCUUACCGCUAGAGAGAAACUCAGACCUAUCAUGAAAAGAGAAAACCUCACAAGUAAAAAAAAAAAAUAUGAGAGCUGUUCCAGGUAUCCAGUUCGACCCCCGAGGUACAGAUAUCCAUCCAUGUUAGCCACCCUUUCCAUUACCGAUCUAGUCGCUCUUGCUGGCUAACCCGCCACUUUCUAAAAACUGUCAUUGGCUUCUAAAAGGCUCCAUUUUAGGUUUGCCCAUUACUAAGGGAUUGCCAUUGCCUACUGAAUUUUGCCCUAUAAGCCACUUGCCUAGUUGGCUUGAAUUGUAUUCUACCUCCAUAUGCAAUCUUUAUCUUUAUUUGAACAGCCAUUUAGAACGUACAUAAGACCAACCCAACCCUUAGAGUUUCCACGGGAUAGAAAAGAUAAAAGAUUCAAAAAGCACUCUAUUAUAAAAAGAUGUGUUCUUAGGAUUAGUGUCACGGACUAAGCUUUCUCUCAACAAGCAUUAGGUCGUGCGGUACUUAAAUGGACGUUUCUAUCCAAGUCAACCUUCAAUAGAUCGAUAUUUGAACAAAUAACCAUAAAUCAUGGUUAGUCCCAAGCAUUCACAAUAAGACACAAUAUAUCGAGGUCAAUCUCAAGCAUACACACACAACAAGACACAUCCACAUCAAGAAAGAAAGAAACGCAUCGAGCCAACGAUCGGGCAUUUAAUCGAGGUGAAUUUUAUUAUAAACGAAAAUCAUACAUCGAGAUCUUCCACCAUCACCAGGGCCAGGGGGCAGCCCUUGAUGGGUGGCCUAAGCUCGCAUAGCACCCGAUGAGACAGUCCAACACUACGUUGCCGGCUCACCCCCUUUAAAGAGCCUUAGAGAUUUUAGAGCUAUGCUACCAGUAACCGUUACAAUGUUUGAAAUGGAGACACUUUUCCUAGCACAACGGAUCUACCCGGCCAUGGCCCUAUACAUGGGUGGCUCAUGGUAACCUAAGUCCCGGUAAUGGCCCUAUACAAGGUUGGCUCAUGACAUCCUCCCCCACCUAUUCUAUCGACGUCCUCGUCGACUUGCUGGCUUGAAAUUCUUCAAUCUUCUUUUGAAAUCUCUAGAGGUCGUGUUCUCUCUCCCAGCUGGUUUCUUCUAGUCUUAAGCCCUCCCACUUCACUAAGUAUUCCCAAACUAGUCUUCGAGAUAUCUUGGUUUCCCUGUCGGCUAAGAUCUCUUCGACUCGACACUCUGAGGGUGGCUUCAUGGUGAUGGCGGCUCUGGUUGGCUCCCUUCGGCUAACAUCUAUAGGAUUUGCAUGGAAAGGCUUCAGGUUGCUUACAUGGAAUACUGGGUGCACAUUCAUCCACUUCGGUGGGUCAAUUUUGUAAGAAGCGUUCUCCAUCUUGGAAAUGACUCUUAGUGGACCUUUAUAUUUGUGCACCAGUCUGCGAUCUCUCUUUCUUAAAAACUUGGUUUGUUCAGGAACUAGUCGGACCAGAACCAAAUCACCAACUUGGAAUUGCUGAGCUCUGCGAUUCUUGUCUACCCAUUUUUUCAUCCGUUUUGAUGCCUUCUCCAGGUAGGCUUGUGCAAUCUCUGUGUUUUGUUUCCACUCCUUGCUGAGGUUGAAAGCUCUCGGAUUCUUUCCUCCAUAUUGUUUUAAGGAAGUAUGGGGUAACCUUGGUAAUUGUCUGGUGACCACCUCAAAUGGGCUCUUGUUAGUGGAAGAGCUUUUGUUGGAAUUAAAGCAAAGUUGAGCAACAUCCAACAAUGAAGGCCAGUCCUUCUAGUUGGCUUGGACAAAGUACCUCAAAUAUUCCUCCAACAAUCCAUUGAAACGUUUCGUUUGGCCAUCGGUCUGAGGAUGGUAGCUUGAAGAGAUGUUGAGUUGGGACCUCAAAAUCUUGAAAAGUUCUCUCCAGAAGGACCCCGUGAAUCUCGGAUCUCUAUCGCUAACAAUGUUUUGAGGGAGGCCCCAAUAUUUGACCACAUGUUUGAACAAUAAUCGAGCUGCGUCUUUCGCUGUACAAUACUUGUGAGCGGGAAUGAAUGUGACAUACUUGGAGAACCGAUCAAUUACCACCAAGAUAGUUUCAAUAUCACCAACCUUGGGUAGGCUCGAAAUGAAAUCGAGAGAGAUGCUUUCCCAUGGUUUGGUGGGUACCGGUAAUGGAUCAAGCAUGCCCGUAGGUUUUCUCUUUUCGACUUUGUCUUGUUAGCAAAUGAGGUAAGUCUUCGUAUAGUCCAUCACAUCUUGUCGCAUGUGAGGCCAAUAGUAUCCCUAUUUUAAUAACGCUAAAGUGCAUUGCCAGCCCGGGUGUCUCGCCCAUGGGGUGUCAUGGCAUUCCCUCAUCAGCAUCUGUCUCAAUCCUCCUGCUCUCGGUACAAACACUCGAGGCCCCUUGGUUCACAAGACCCCAUUUUUUUGCCAGAAGUAUUUGGACUUCCCUUCUUCCACUAGCUUCAAGAUGGCACAAGCUUGUGGGUCCUUCCCUAAAUGAUCUCCAAUCAACUUAUGAAUGUCUGUAGUGGCUCUACUAGUUGCCAUUGGGGCCAUUCUUCUGAGGGCCGCUAACUCUGGUCGCCUACUCAAUGCAUCCGCCACUUGAUUGGUCUUUCCAGCGGUAUGCUCAAAAUGAAAGUCAAACUCUGCUAAAAAUUCUUGCCACCUAGCUUGUUUCACCGUAAGCCUUGCUUGAGUGAGAAAAUGGCUAACGGCUGCAUUGUCCGUCUUCACGACAAAGUGUGAACCCAACAAGUAAUGUCGCCAAACCCUUAAACAAUGAACCACCGCCAGGAGCUCUUUUUCCUGGGCCGUAUAUUUUCUCUCCGCUUUGCUCAGCUUCCUACUUUCAAAUGCUAUCGGGUGAUGUUGUUGUAAAAGCACACCUCCAAUAGCAAAAUUAGAUGCAUCCGUCUGAACUUCAAAAGGCUUUUUAAUAUCGAAAAGAGCUAAGAUGGGAUCCUUCAUAAUAGCAUCUUUCAAUCUCUCAAAGGCUUCUUGGCACUCAUUGGUCCAACACCAUUUAUGCUCCUUCUUCAAUAGCUCCGUGAGGGCCAUGGUCUUGUGAGAGUACCCUUCCAUAAACCUUUUAUAAUAGUUGGUUAGUCCCAAAAAUGAACGGAGCUCAUUAACAUUCUUUGGUGUUGUCCACUCCUUGAUGGCUCUAACUUUUUUCAUGUCCAUUCUAAUGUGGCCACGUUCAACAAUAUGACUGAGAAAAUGGAUUUGAGUCUGAGUAAAUGUGCAUUUCUCCCUUUUUACAUAUAACCGAUGGUCCUGCAGCUUUUAAACACCCGACAUAGGUGUUCUUGAUGUUUUUCCAAGGUGGAGCUGUACACCACUAUAUCGUCUAAAUAAAUGACUACAAAUUUGUCAAGGUAAUCAUAAAACACCUGAUUCAUCAAUGUACAAAAUGUGGCAGGAGCAUUGGUCAGUCCAAAGGGCAUAACAAAAAAUUCAAAUGCGUCAUACCGUGUUAUACAGGUGGUCUUUGGCUCAUCUCCCUCAACGAUUCUGACCUGAUGGUAUCCAAAUCUCAGGUCCAGUUUGGAGAAGUACUUGGCCUGGCACAAUUGAUCAAACAAGUCCGCUAUAAGCGAGAUAGGAUAUUUGUUUCUUACGGUGACUUUGUUCAGGGCUCUGUAGUCAACACAUAAGUGUAAAUUCCCAUCAUGCUUUUUUUGGAAUAGCACAGGCGCUUCGAAAGGAGCCUUUGAUGGUCUGAUGAACUCGGCUUGUAGAAGCUCAUCUAACUGUUUUCUCAGCUUAGCCAACUCUGACAGGGCCAUGCGAUAAGGAGCUUUAGUAGGGGGUUUUGCUCCUGAGAAGAGCUCAAUUUCGUGGUCCACUGCUCGUCGAUGGGGUAAAACCUUGGGCAACAUCUCUGGCAUCACCCCUUUGAAUUUUUCUAACACUCUCUUCACAUCAUCGGGUAUUGGUUCUACUUCUGACCCUUCUUUGUAGAUCGACAUGGCCACAAAAAAGGGUUCCCUUCUCUUUACCCCUUUCUUGAAUUGCAAAGAUGAAAUCAUUUUCUUCCUACUCUUUGGCAAGAUAUUGGCUGGCACCACACAUGGGUGUUCCCUUAAAAACAACAAGCAGCUAGCAAUGGGGAUAAGGAUUACCUGAGCCAACGUCAUGAAGUCCAAUCCGAGAACAACAUCAAAGUCAUCCAUAGGGGAGACUGUGAAGUCUACCUUCUCUUUUUAUGGCCUCAAUUUGGUUGUCACACCCUUAGAGCUUCCACUGAUCACAAAGGCUGACGAAUUGACUGCCUUCAUUUAUCCACAGUCUUUGUUAACCUGAAGGCCACACCUUUUUGCUUCUUCUGGUGUGAUGAAAGUAUCAGUUACACCUGUGUCCAUCAUGGCCUUGGUGGCCUUCUCGUUGAUCAUUAGGUUCACAUACAUCAAGCCUCUACUUUACUCUUUCCUUAUAGUGUUCAGUUGGGUGUGAAGGGCAUUGAGAAACCUUAUUGAGCCCAUCCUGGCUGGUUCCUCUUCAAUCUCUUCAACGCUCUCCGGUGCUUUUACAGACUCUUAAGAUGAGGUUCUUAAAGCAUUAAGGGCUCCUCUGUACAGACAUUCGACCACCCGAUGUGGCCUUUUACAAAGAAAGUAAGCUAGCGGUUGCCUAGGCCUGAAAGUCACUGCAUUGUUUAUUUUAGGCUGGGUGUUAUCUCGAUCGAAAGACCUUCUAUCUGAUCCCCCACUGAAGGGACGGUCCAAUCUGGUCAUCUUUCCCUCACUUCCAAAGUUGAAGCUACUACUAGCUGAUGAAGGAUUUUUUCGUUUUAAGGAGCCAUCAUUAUAGUCUUGGAGACGUUCAGCUGCAGCCAUGGUCGUGGCCAUGUCUUGCACUUUUUGUCUUUGUAGUUCUGCUCUAGUUUGAGGCUCUCGAGAAAAUAAAACAUCUUAUCCUUCUCAGACAUGUCUCGAAUAUCCAACAUCAGGGUAAAAAAGCUCCUUACAAACUCUCGCAUUGUCUCUGUUUGCACCAAUUCUCGAAGUCUCCUUCGAGUCAUAUACUCCACAUUCUCAGGGAAAAACUGGUUUUUCAAUUUCUACUUCAGGUCCGUCCAAGUUUUGAUCGGGCACUUGUCAUUGACAAACUUGGAACGCUACCAAAGCUUGGCAUCUCCUGCGAGGUACAUCGAUGCCAUUGUUAUCUUAUCUUCCUCUGAAUCCAUGUGCACAGCCCGAAAGUAUUGCUCCAUGUCAAACAAGAAAUUUUCAAGUUCUUUGGCAUCCCUUGCCCCUUCAUAACAUCAAGGCUCUGGCAUCUUAGGCCUUCUCCCCCUAUCCGUCGAGCUCGAACUUGACCUGGCCAUAGCCAGUUGUAAGAUGCUCACCUGUGUUCUGAGCUCUUCAAACUUCUUUUGGAGAAUAUUCAAGGCAUCUCUAGCAUCUUCACUCACGUUGUAGAGAGUAUCGGAUAACUUUUACUGGGUUGUCUCGAUCUUUAGUCACCAUGUGCAUUUUCAUUGCGGCCACCGUGGCCUCAAGUUCUUCAAUUCUCUGUUGAUGAUCAGGUCCACCACUUGUGGCCAUCUCAUCCAUUUUCUAGCACUUCUCAACCGUGCUUUGAUACCACGUGUCACGGACUAAGCUUUCUCUCAACAAGCACUAGGUCGUGCGGCACUUGAAUGGAUGCUUCCACCCAAGUCAGCCUUCAAUAGAUCGAUAUCUGAACAAAUAACCAUAAACCAUGGUUAGUCCCAAGCAUUCACAAUAAGACACAAUAUAUCGAGGUCAAUCUCAAGCAUACACACACAACAAGACACAUCCACAUCGAGAAAGAAAGAAAUGCAUCGAGGCAACAAUCGGGCAUUCAAUCGAGGUGAAUUUUAUUAUAAACGAGAAUCAUACAUCGGGAUCUCUCACCAUCACCAGGGCCAGGGGGCAGCCCUUGGUUGGUGGCCUAAGCUCGCAUAGCACCUGGUGAGACAGCCCAACACUACGCUGUCGGCUCACCCCCUAAAGAGCCUUAGAGAUUUUAAAGCUAUGCUACCAGUAACCAUUACAAUGUUUGAAAUAGAGACACUUUUUCUAGCACAAGAGAUCUAUCCGGCCAUGGCCCUAUACAUGGGUGGCUCAUGGCAACCUAAGUCCCGGUAAUGGCCCUAUACAAGGUUGGCUCAUGACAACUAGCUUACACAUGCUUAAUGUCAUUAUCAGGUCUUGGUGUGUCUUGGUCCUGUCAUGACUAAUCUUAAGCUAAGCAGCGGUCGAGAUCAAACUGACAAAAAAGUGAUUAUAAGAGAUACGGACGUGCAUUUGAAGAAUUGGAAUAGGUUACUAAUAUGUUGUACCGGAAGUGGGAGCCCUAAAUCGUAAGAUAUAUGGGUAAGUUUGGGAUAAUGGUCAAGCACCCUCAAGCAAUUAGUCGGACAGGUGCCAUAAGUGGAAGCAGUGUGCGGGCAUUUUAAGCACAGGAAUAUGUUGGGGAUAUUGUGCGUGAAUAGUCUGAGUCCUAAACCCCAAGAUACGCAGGUAAGUGUGAGGUAGUGUGUCGGUGCCUUAGGACCAGCUAGCCAGUCAGGUGCUAUCGAUCGAAGCCAUGUGCGGGCACUUUCGAGUGGGUUGGUGGAGCAACGGGUAGAAUCAAGGAAUAAUGAUGACCAAGAGGAAGGUUAUGGGGCCCUGAAUUAAUCGAAGAAAGGUCCUGAGAUGCUUGGAGAGAAAAGUGUUCUCAUUUCGGACAAUCUUACGGUUAUUGGUAGGAGAUUAAAAAAAUCUCUUACGCUCUUUAUAGGGGGAUGACUGGUGUCAGCUCUUCACCACCCCUUUGGCUAGCGAGCAGGCAGGGGCCUAGCUAGUUUGAAGUGAGUUACUCUUAGGCACUAGUGGUGUCUAGGUGGGCGGGCAUCGUAGGGUCACGAGCAUGACAUGAUGUUUUCUCAGGUCAUGGUAAACCCGGGGGUAGUUGGGGUCGACGAACCUCGUAUCGUACCUUUGCGUUGAGCCAUGAGGUUACAUGGUAGAGUUCGCUAUGCCCAUCGAUUUUUUUUCAUUGAGCCAGAAGGAUCAUGAGAUGGUGUUUACGUAGGAGGGACGCCAUCGAACCUGAAGGAUGUGCGGGCUAGUAGGCAGGCACGCUGCUAGACCUUUGUGGCCAAUCGAUAGAGGUGUGCUAUAACUAAGGCAGUCCACCUAAGUCCCCCUUGCGGGACUAGCAUGAUGUUGGGUGUCAAUCAUACAUGUGGGUAGCCUACACUGUAGCUAAGAGCCUAAGCCCUAAGAACUGAGUCUCGUGGGAUGAGAUGAGCCUAGAGGCUUCGAGCUGACUGCUGACCACUUAAGUGUGGCACUUACGUAAACUUGAUACGAGAGUUUACGUACGAUACGAACGGGCAUGGUGUUGGGUUCUCACCAUGUCCAAAAGUAAUAAUAUCAUGAGAAUCGAGGCUGCAUGCCUCACGGGUAUUUGAGGGUAGGUGCUCGAGACCUUAAGCCUUGCGGGCAGAGAUGGGUGCUCGAGGCUACUUUGAGAAUUGUGAGCUGAUGAGUGAUGGGAGUUGGGUUCUUCCUUAUAGAGUUCAGAAUGAGUAACCCUACGGGGUCAAAGCCAAAGAAAAAACUCUUGUGUAUACGACUUGAAGGAUUAAAAUUGAGCCGUCCAAUGAAAAAAUAGACUUACGGAAGGCUGACCUUGACUAUGAGUAGUCUUGGUGCUGUAUGGACAUGUGGUUUCAGAGUAAAGAACAUGUGGAUCGUGACAUGUGGUAUCAGAGCUUAGGUUUAGCUCAAGUGGCAAGAUUAACAUGACCCCAUGUAUGGGCCUAAUGGUGGGAAAUUGAAGUGGUACUAAGCUCAAAAGAGCUUUCAAGAUGCGAAUGCAGUUUUGUGGCUAUGGGGGCUCGAAAAAGAGCCAAUGAUGCGUAUUGUGGGAAAUUUUAGCCUAUGUAAAAAACUCUCGAGUAGACUAUUGGAUGCCAAGCAAAAGGGCACUGAAGUCUAGCCUCACCUAGAAAAAGGUGUUGGCAUGUUUUAGGGCAUGUGAUGCCUUUACAAUGGAAGAAAUCGUGGUGAGACCAAAAUGCGAAAAGGGGCUUACACCAUGAAAUGGUGUUUUGUAAGGCCAGUGGGGUCAAGUGAGUUUUGUCCUGAAGGAUACGAGACAUACGUAUCAAGACUAAUUACUAAUGUAUGCACUUGUUAUAUGGUGUAGGUUCCCCAGCAAGGGUGCAAGCUGAAAUAUUCAAGUCCAAGAAUGGAGCCAUUACACAGAGGAGUGUGAAUUGGCUGAGGAUGAAGCCAUGAGUUGUGAUGGUUGGUGGACCAUGAGUUGCGUUGGUCGGUGGACCAUGAGUUCUCGUGAUUAGAGGAUCACGGGAGUGUGUGAGUAAGGGAAUCAAGUUUUAUGUUUGCCAAGAAGGAAGGCCUCACAUGUUGUGGUGGUUAGUGGACCACAAUAGAGUGUAAUCUAGUGGAACAAGCAAAUGGGAAUUGGCCAGUUGACAAGGCCUUCAGAAAUGUAGGUCAAUAGACCUUGAGAAUCGAGUGGGUGGUUGAAUCCCCGAGUCAAACAAGUCAGUGGAUGAGGUGAUUGGUUAGAUCAGUGGUAUAGAGUGAACUUUGAGAUGCCCUAUGAGCUAUGCUAGAGUCAAGGCAGACGAGCUGUAGAACCAUCAAGGAGACAUGGUUGCGUAUAGUGUUAAACCAAGCUUCGAGUAAAAGUGAGGGAGACGUGAUUCCCUAUGGGACUGAGUCAAGACAGAGAAGCCUGAACAGAUGGAACAUAGUGUUCGAGCUAGGAGUAGAGAUCGAGAUAGCGCGUCUUAAGGUGCCACCUCGAAGGUGGUUGGCCAGAGGGCCACACCUAGAGAGGUGACCUUAGAGGGCUAAGAGGACCCAAGUUAUGAGAUAACCGAAGUGUCUAAAUGCCACCAUGCUAGGGUCUAUCGUGUGUGGUGCCGUAUGAGUGCGGUUGGCCUAAACACCACGUCCAAAGGGGCGCAUCGAAGAGUCGAUGUAGUAGGCAUGCAGUUGGUGUGAGGGGUCACGUCCAGUGGGACGUACCAAUGAGUGGUAAAGCAGGUGGUCAUUCAUUCUACUAAAGGUCAUUAAACAAUAAGGGUGCCUCAAGGUCGCAACGGGAUGUGAUCAAAGGAAGUAGUGUUAUGGCACAUAUACAGCAACCAAGAUAGGGUGAAACAGUUCGAGUAGGAACAGAGCGGAGGUGCAUUGGUGCUGGGAUGUGACCAAUCUACAUCAACAAUGGACAAGUACUGUGGGUCAUGCCCCAUGUGACGGGACCUCGACCCAAUCCUUGAGGGCACAAGUGAGAGACAUAUGAGUAAAUGUCAACUGUGUGCAACAAGAGAGUUGAGUGUGAUCUUGGCGUCGAUGAGGGCAUCGACAUGGUAAGUGGGGGAGAGUGUCAUGGUCAGACCUUGGUGUGCCUUGGUCCUACCUUGACUGACCCUGAGCUGAGCAGCGAUCGAGAUCAAGCUAGCAAAAAAAUGGUUCUAAAAGAUGCGGGCAUGCAUUUGGAGCAUUGAAACAGGUUACUAAUAUGUUGUGCGGGCAGUGGGAGCCCUAGAUCGCAAGAUAUGUGGGUAAGUUCGAAACAGUGGUCAAGCACCCUCAAGCCAAGUAGCUCAGCGGGUGCCAUCAAUGGAAGUAAUGUGCGGGCAUUCUGAGCAUGAGAAUAUGUUAGGGAUAUUGUAAGUGGAUAGUUUGAGUCCUAAACCCCAAGAUACGCAGGUAAGUGUGAGGCAGUGUGCCGGUGCUCUAGGACUAGCUAGCCAGUCAGGUGCUAUCGGUCGAAGCCAUGUGCAGACACCUUCGAGUGGGUUGGUGGAGCAACGAGUAGAAUAAAGGAAUAAUGGUGACCAAGAGGAAGGUUAUGAGACCCUGAGUUAGCCGGAGAAAGGCCUUGAGAUGGCUAGAGAGAAAAGUAUCCCCAUUUCGGAUAAUCUUACGGUUACUGGUAAGAGACUGAAAAAAUCUCUUACGCUCUUUAUAGGGAGAUGAUUGGUAUCAGGUUCCCACCACCCCUUUGGCUAAUAGGCAGGCAGGAGCCUGGCUAGUUUGAAAUAAGCUACUCCUAGGCACUAGUGGUAUCUAAGUGAGCAGGCAUCGUAGGGUCACGAGCGUGACACAAUGUUUCCUUAGGUCAUGGUAAACUCGGGGGUGAUUAGAGCCGACAGGCCUCAUAUCGCUCCUUUGCAUUGAGCCAUGGGGUUACAUGGUAGAGUUCGUUAUGCCCCUCGAUUUCCCUUCAUUGAGCCAGAAGGAUCAUGAGAUGGUGUUUGUGUUGGAGAGACGCCAUCGAGCUUGAGGGAUGUGCGGGCUAGCAGGCAGGCAUGCUGCUAAACCUUUAUGGCCAAUCGGUAGAGGUGUAUUGUAGCUGAGGCAGUCCACCCAAGUCCCCCUUACGAGACUAGCAUGAUGUUAGGUGUCAAUCAUGCGUACGGACGACCUACACUGAAGCUAAGGGCCUAAGCCCUAAGAACUGAGUCCCGUGGGAUGAGAUGAGCCUAGAGGCUUCGAGCUGGCUGCUGACCAGCUUAAGUGUAACGCUUGCGUAAACUUGAUACGAGAGUUUGCGUACGAUAUAGGCGAGCAUGGUGUUGGGUUCUUACCAUAUCAGGAAGAAUCGAGGCUGCGUACUCCAUGGGUAUUCGAGGGUCGGUGCUCGAGACCUUAAGCCCUGCGGGCAGAGAUGGGUGCUCGAGAUUACUUUGAAAAUCAUGGGCUAAUGAAUGAUGGGAAUUAGAUUCCUCCCUAUAGAGUUCGAAAUGAGUAAUCUUACAAUAUCAAAACUAAAAAAAAGAAUCAUAUGUAUACGACUUGAAAGAUUAAAAUUGAACCGUUCAAUAGAAAAAUGGAUUCACGAAAGGUUGAUCUCGAUUAUGAGUAAUUUUGAUGCUGUAUGAAUGUGUGGUUUCAGAAUAAAGCAGGCUCGGACCACGACACUUAACGUAAGACGGACUCCUACCUCCAAAAAAAGAAAUUACCAAUUAAAGUAAAUGUAAAGGCUCGCUUGCUUAAAAAUGUUACAGCCCUUCAAUAAAAUAUUAUGUAUGUAAGAAAAAGAGUAAACAUCGUAUAUGAGUAGGAGAAGUCCGGGCUUACCUUACCAUAUAACGAUACCUACCCUAUAUAAGAUAAGCCCUGUCAAGGGAAUAAAUCAAUUCACCGGGUGACCCUACAGAGAGAAGGACUGAAACUAGAUCGCUUCUCAAUCUUUCUCGUUUGAAGGCCAGAGAUACAUAUUAAACAGGCUCGAAGAAAGAACAUCCUAUUUGACUAAAUGGGAAAAGCAUUUUAAAGAUAAAUUGACUGCUACCCUGAAGAGAACUCUUUUGGCUUGACUUCCAUAUAUUGACUCCUCGUAUGCUUCCAAGGGAACCCAUGCUCUUAACUAGGGGCAAGCAUGUUCUAAAUACUAAAUAGAAGAUAACUCAAUCCCUUUCUGAAACCAUUCCCACGGUCCAGGGGAAAAAAUUAGCCGUCCACCUGGUCAAACCCUUAAGAAGAGAACUCCAAUGACAACUCAAACCAGAAGGACUAUAACUAAAUAUUAGAUUUUGGGUUCUAAGCAAAACUACAAUAAGCAAUAAAACUCGAUCCAAAGCAGAAUGGAACUCAAAGCAAAGCGAAAGCGAAGGAAAAAGAAGCACUCGCUUUGUGGCUUACUCUUUUGACUAGAAAGAAAUGGCUAAGAGAGACCUUAAAAUGCCACUGUCUGGAAAAGGAGAUGGACGAUGAUUAGUUAAGAGGAAAAGCUUAGGAGAACACUAGAGCGGAAGCGGAGGCUAAAAGAAGAAAAGAGGGCCGAGUAGCUCGACUUCAAGGCAAGGAGAGGCACUUUCUGGCCAGUAGAGAGGAAAUUCCUCGACUUUAUCACAUCUUAUCAAUUCAAUUUAAACUAAAUAGUACUUUACUUGACUGCAGGCGCAAGCUAAUGAUAGAGGAGCUUGAAAUAAUAAUUCGUUCAUAGCUUGAAUUGAAAUUAGGACCUUAGGGUGAGAAAGGAAUAGCUGCUUUCUAGAUAUAGAUAGAGAGUCGGAUUUUUAUUGACCCAAGAUAAAACUUUUUAUUUAAUAAAGUUAAAAAAAAUGUUUUCAAAUUAACUUGCUAAAAAUCAUCCUGCCUUGCCUUUCUCUCUAUUUUAUUCCCGUAUCCAAGCCAAACUUGAACUGCAUUUGUUCCGCAUAUGAAAAAAGCCUCCCUAUCUCCAUAUGCAUGGAGUAACUUGAGUAUUUUCUCUUCUUAUCAAUUCUUUCAUAGCAUUCAAACCUUGGAAAUGUAACAAAAGUCAGAUGCAGAACACACGCAAGAAAAGAGACCAAGCAAGAGAGACAGGAAAACUAGAGUAACUUGCUCGUUAUAGCCAGCAAGAUGAUAGGCAUUCCUUUAGGAGUAGCUGGGACUUUCAAUAGAGAAGACAGUCUCAGCAGUAAAGUGCUAACACCGGUAACGUAGCUAGGGGAGUUGCAGGACUCAUUUCAAAGGCUAGAAGUCCUAAACUAGAAAGGAGAUUGCUUUGGUGUGAAGUCAGCUGUACUAGAUGCAGUUGCCCGGCAUCCAAUGCAUCACUAAUUCCAACUAGAACGGAAUGGGAUGACUGAGAAUACCAAAGGGACUCUUUCAUGUACCUGUCUGGUACGGCUUAUUCCCUUAUGGAUAGGGAAAGAGCUGAGACUGAAAAAAUGAAUUCGUGGACGAGAGGUUGGACUACAAAUGAGAGAUUGGAGAAUAGAUUCCUUUCACCGAUGCUUCGAUCAGUUCUUUACCGGGACUUGACACAAGACAGACGGGCGGUGAAAACUGGAAUUAGAUCUUGGGAAAGAUCGACUCAAAUAGAUGCUCGUCCCUUUCCGACUCACUCCAGCUGGAAUGAGUACCAUACCAAAUCCCCAUUAAGCUUGUCGAUUUAUGUGAGAAUGGCUAUACGACUUUGGUAUAUUUUUAUACAUAUGUGUUAUAGAGUAUAGUCGGGCCCUGGGCUCUUUAUCCCAUAUAUAGGGAAGAGAUCUUGCGAUAGCCCGCUUUAUGUCAUCGAGAUAUUGAAUCUCGAUUCCUCGAGGCCUUUUUAAUUCUUCUGUCCGUUGGUGGAUAUCCUGGACAUACUGGUGGCAUCGUUCGAGGUCCCGUUCCGGCCGCCUAUAGUCUUUUGACGGUUCUAGGUCUCGAAACCUAUGAGCGUCUGUCAAAAAUCUUCCCCUUUCUAAAAAGCUUACUCUGUUUCAUCCCCUUUCCACUGUCUAGUUUCGAUUUGCCUUCGCUCUUAGCUUGCCACUUUGGGCCAGGUACUACUCAAGGCAAACGUACUAGACAAGCAAAGAAAGAUAGUCAUAUAAAUGAGCUACCACGUGCAUGCUUUCCUUGAUAGGCUUCCUUCCUUAAUAUUAAUAAAUGGCACUGCGCUCUUCGAACCUAAAUUUGAACUAUAAGAGACCUCUACUCUCCAAUCUCUAUCGAAAGCAUUAGUGGUUGUACUCCACUAAUGAGCUACGCGUAGCUGCAGUACGAUCCAUUUGUCUUCCCAUCGUGUAAUGAAAGCGUGCCCCAUGGUUCUCCCAUUUUUGGCACAAGAUCCCUCGGGUAUUUUAUUUUCACUCACUUCUACUUUAAACUUGAACACUUUCUUUAAGCGAUAUUGCCACAGACUUCCAUUUCUUCUGAUUAGAAUACUUUCAUUCUCUUGAUCGAAUGGCGGGUGAAGAGCGACCCACGUCUUCCUCGUCAUACAGCACAGAAGUCUUACUUCCAACUCACAUGCAGCUUCUUAUUGACAAAUUGCAACGUGAGUUUGCCAUGACUGAUCCUAGUUUUCUCAAUCACAUCGAGAGAAUAAGCCAAGGCCCCUCUACCGGAUUACGCUUUCCAAUAGCCAGGAUUUUCAAUUAGAAAAACAAUAAUGUUUUGGCCUUGGUCCAUUGGUACGUUACUCUCCAUACUUAACAUAUGUUGCUUGCCUCUCACCAUCUCUUCGGAAUGGCACUGAAUUCGUACUCCCCAGGCUCCGCACUCAGGAGCCCCCUUAAUCGAGUAUAAUAGCGGCCGUUCACGUCAGGAAGAAAAUAAACAGGGGGGAGGGUCUCCACAAGUAGGUCUUGUCUCCGCCAGGCGGGGAAACCUAUCUGGAAUUUUCUAGGUAGGCGCUGAACUCGUUGACCAUCGACCGUCGUUCAAAACUAUUAGACCUAGUCCCAUGCGUAAGUUUGUGACAUCAAUCUUAUUCGCAUCAUAAUCCGUGAAUGAGUUUACGAAUGAAGGCAACUUCCGAGUAUAAUAUGGUAUCCAGAACAGAUGACAGACUGCCAAUCAAAGAUGGUUAUGCCUUGACUACUGACUACCGUUCUUCGUCUAGCCGUCACUGCUCACUCCAUGAGAUAAUCCUCCAUUUUUUUGUCGUCGCCCUCCUUUUUUAACCUCCUGGAAAUAACGACUAGAAAAAUUCAAGACCUAAAAAGAGAAGGUAAGAGGGAAGGGCAGUGGAUCGGUCAAGGUGGGCUAGGUCUUUGUUGACAUCGGACCACUAUAACUUUGGACAACCUUUUCAUCCCCAUUGCUGAUCACACUCUAAAGUGUGCGCUUUAGUUUGAUUCGUCCCUUACUCCACAGCUGCUAUUAUUCAGCACGGUGCAGCGUACAAAAACACCACCUAACCUAUAGUUGACCAUACUCGUUAAGGCAAACGAUGCAAUAGUUUGCUAGGAAACUGUGCGGAGCGGUCUCUCUGCAUCAGGCGCUACGAGAUUUCUGUCUGCGACCGACCGAGACUCUUUCUCAAGUCAAAAUUUUUACUUAGCUCUCUACAUUUCGUGAUCACCGUGCCGAUGGCUUCGAUCCUAUCUCUACGCUACAGCUCAUGCUUACAUAGAGAGAUAAUUAUGCUCCUAAUGUUUCGGGGGGUAUCCCGACAAUUUCAACCGGCCGGCCAUGAAGGGACGUCACGACUAUGCUUUCUGGUAAACACAUAAGGCUAUUUUUUUCAGCCAUCUGCUUUAUGCAUGAUCAAACCUUCGGAGCUCUUUUAGUCCGCCCGACACGCCUCGAUCUAUACAUGGAACACACGCAGCAAGAUACUUCCCGGUUCUAUAAUGGUUACAAUUAUCUACGUUUUCAGUGUGCCUAUGAUGUAGCACCAGGCGAAUUGUUAGUUAAUGUGUAUCAUCUUACGAGAAUAGAGUAUGGUGUAGAUCACCCAGAAUAGGUAUGCAAAUAAGUCUUUGCCAAAGGGAAGAAUCGAAACCUAGAAUCCCGUCUGUUUUUUGGAUUUUGAAAAGUGCAGAUUUUCAAGAACGAAAAUUUCUUAUGGAUUUCAUCCACGCCUGAAACCUAUCUUGAUACUUGAAAGUUGGAUCGGUUGGCCUCCCCUACGCAAGGAGAAUCUAUUGUCCUCAAUUUUUAUGAAAUAAAGGAUGCUCAUUGAAUGAAUCUUAACUUAUACGAUUUCAGAUAUUCAAUAAGAUUAUUAUGUUCUGUUUUCGAUGAAACAAAGUUACUAAACUCUCAUUCCAAUUUUUUUUCUGAAAUAAAAAAGGGCUUCAUAUAUAUUCCUAAAUCUGGAAGAUAACAUAUCUAUUUGGGACGAGCAGAGCCGAUAGAAUGAAUCGAAAGAGUUCCAAGCUUACCUGAUUGAUAGGCCUUUGUGCCGCGCACAUCACUUAGAUGGGCCCCGGAAAACAACGUAGGAAAGAGCGAAAUUUGUGUGAAAAUAGGAAAUUAAGAAAUUCAAAGGCUAAUCUUUCAUUAGAUUUGUAUUGGAUCUGAAAUGAAUCCUGUCUAUUCCUAUCCUAAAACCCCUCAACGACUAGACUUCUGGGUCUUUCAGUCAACUCAAUUGGGAUAUGUACGGAGUAUGCUAAUUAUUUUUGAGCGAGAGGAGCAUUGUUUUAAGGGAGGGAAAGCGUGGUUUUAUAUUAGACAGAAGUGGCUGAACCGCUGUCUCCUUCUCAUGUACAAAUCUGCCCGUAGCAUAGACUUGAUCGAUCACCACAUUUCUAUCCUCCUUUGCAAUCAUAAAACUUUGAGGGCUUACUUUGUAGGGCUUUUCAAGGAGAGAGCACAACCUUGCCCGGUCUUCACACUCGUCAAUUUCUUAAUGAAUGAAUCGUAUGGAUUGGAUUGAUACGUCUGCCUUACCAAUUCGGCGGAUGCUCGGAUUUUUUCAUUCGAAUAGAAAAAGGCCCUCGAUUCCCUUAUGUAUGUAGGGCGAAGGUGCUGUAAUGGACGCUGGUGGUUGGUACAAUAGUAUAGUAGAACGCGCCUCUUUUGCCGGAUCCCACACACCACUUAGAUUGCAGUACAGCCUGCUUCUCACAUUUCUCUUGAUCAGCUACUUAUUUUAUUCCCCUCAUCCCAUUAAGAAAGAACUAUCCGUUGAUAUCUUAGCCUAAAGGCCUAUAUUUAGAUCAAGACAACGAUUUUACUAAUACCAAAAAAAUAAGGGCUCACUUGCAGCUACUCAAAAAAAGAUAUGCUCGAAUGCUUUUGAGUUUUUCAUUUCUAUACCGAGUUGUAUGCAUGUGAAAAGGAUGAACAACCUAAUAAAUAGCAAUAGUUUAUUACGUGAAUAGAGGGGCACCACACACAUUAGUGGCCAAAAGGGGAAGAAGCACACUUCUCUCUUUAUUUUACCCAUAAGCAAAGGCAUGUGCUUCUCAUUGUCCAGGCUUAUGACUCACCUCAUGCUCCCCGACUCUAAGGGAGAGAAUGAAUGCACUACUUCUCAGUGCACUUGCAGGGGUUGCUCAUGCACUCCUUACAAACGGAUACUAUUUAGUGCAAGACAUAGCUUGCCCUUCUCUCGUCGGAUUGGGAGUGGCAUGCGAGUGCUAAGCCAACAAAAUUAGAUUCCAGGAACCUUUCUUUGUGACCUUUAGAAAAACCCCUCCCCCUUACUAGAUCAAAUAGGGCUUAUUACUUAAUAACCGAGAGAUAAAUGCAACUACGGGAUAAAAGCUGGGUAGGGUAGAGCCUUUUUUUAGUACCCGAAACCCAAAAACUCUUUUCCAGAGAUUGAAAUAAAUGCAUGAGCUAUGGGCCGCAUCCAUCGACUUUUAUACAAAUUGAAAUUCGGAAGUUAAGAAAGCAUUAUUCAAGGUUUUUUAACUGUAUAGCAGAUUGACCCGGCUUACCAUUAUAUUAAAAAAUAAAUGAAACUGAAGUUCUACCCCGCCUUCUCUAAUAAAGCCUUAACCUUCGGUGAAUAGUAAUGAGUCUUCACCGGUUCGGUGGCAUCUUUGUAAGGAUCUUCCUUAUGAAUCUGGUCUUAUCUCCAGAGGGCCUGCUCAGUCGACUGGUAGAACAAGGUCCCACUCCUUCUGGCCAACUAGGAUGGGACAAACAACGUCUUCAGGUCUUGCACAACCGAUACCUCUACCUCCAUUUUUUGCCGUGGAUUUUUUUAGCCCAUCAGGAGUGCGCAUCGUCUGGACGGGGAAUAAUUCAAUUUCUAGAAGUUCCCUCUCGUAUGUCACCUUAGGGCCUUUGGACGACUAAGUCAGCUCGGCUUCUCCUUCUGAAUCAGAUUCACUUUCGACGUAGAGCACACUUGACCCUGCGUCACUUGAUGUAUCAUCGAGGCAUAAAAACCUCUUCUGAUUCUGCGUUGCUUGCUGCAUCGAGAAUAGCUUCCCCUUCUGAACCUUCGUCAUUCUUUGAAGAGGGAAUUGCUGAUGAUUCCGGCCGGCUCUGUAGUUUCGAGGCUGGCUUAGAUCUUUCUGCCGUUUUGGGGAACAUCUUGGCCUUAACUUCUGCUUUGGUUGGUUCCCUUUGAGGGGUCACAGGGGCAGAAGGCUGACCGACGAACCAGGGUCUAACAGGAUGCGAUUGACCUUGUGAUUGUAAAUCUCCUCAAUCAGGGACGAUUGUGCUCAGUUGUUUUCACCAUGAGGUCGUCGUUAGUGAAGGUGACAGCAGCCGAAUACUGGGAAUACAAGGCUCCUUCAUGUUCACCUCAGCGAAGUGGCUUUGAUAUUUGUCAGAAUCCAGCAGAGCAGCGCCUGGACAAAGGCAGUCCUGAUAUCGGAUGACAGCAUCAGGGCAUCAUACACGCUGAGGAGGGCUUGAAUCUUCUUCAGGUUUUAUUUUAGAGGUUAGAGCAGCAGCAUGUACACUUUUGAGAUAGCAUUUGGUCUUAGGAUUGGUAUUGACCAAGUGAUCAACCAAGUGAUCAGGGCUCAAGAGUGCAACGUGCUAGACCUAAGACUUCAACAGGAGUGAUUUUUUAUAAUUUUUAAGAAUUAGAAAAGGUAUUUUUUUUUUAUAAAAAACGCCUUUAAUAAGUUGGUUGGAUAAUUUUAAAGGCUUAUAAUUAAAGAUAUCUUUUUUGUAAAAAAAUACCUUCAAUAAUCUUUAAUAAAAUUUUCAGGUGAUUAUUGAAGGCGUUGUUCCAUAAAAAUGCCUUUAAUAAUUAAUUUUAUAUUCAUUUCCUUGCCUUGAACAUAAGAAUUUGCAGAGGGCUGGUACACAGAACGAUUAAAAGCUACGUUAUUCAACCAAACAAACCAAACCCUUAAACACAUUUUUAGCAGACCAUUGGUUUCUUUCUCCCAUUCGUCACCAUCGACCUUAAACAAAUCACCAUUGCGAACCUCUAUUUUAACCGGUAAUUUUUUUUUUUUUAGUUUACUAUAUUAUUUACAAUAUUCAAUAGAGAAUUUUUGUUUUUUGGUUCCUUAAUAUUGACAUAUGCGUUUAUAUAUUUUCAUUAACAUCAUCGUCAGCAUAGUCAUCCAAAAUUCUAUUCAUAUUGCAAGUAUGCUAUUUUUAUGUAGUACACAUUAAAUAUUGUGGUUUGCUGAACCUUGUUGACUGAUAUUAUAUUGUCGAAUGAUAUUGUAUGAUAUUGGGGGUCUGAAUCAUAUUUCAUGUUGAAUGGUUUGCUGAAUCUUGAUAUUUGAUAUUGUUUUGCUCAAUGGGUCUGAAUGAAAUUGAGAGGCUGAAUAGUAUGCUGAAUGGUAUUUCUAAGAGGUUUGCUGAAGGGUGUGUAUUAGCAUAUUGUUGAAUGGUGUGCUAAAUGUUAUUUCUGUACAUAGUAUGGUAUUGGUUAUAUUAAAUUAAGUACAAUGAUCAAUUUAGAGGCUUAUAUUAUGUAAUUCGUAUAAUUAUGAUCAAUAUUGUAGGUAUUAUGGACUCCGAACAACAUCAUUCUCCUUUUAAUGAACAUGUAGAAGAAAGAAGUGUAGGCCAAAAAAGAAAAGGAAGGGGCCCAAAUAAACAAAUCAAAAUGACUGACACAAAAAUUCAUUUUGACUUUAAUCAAAGUGGGUAGCUUGUGUCAGAAGGAGCUGCUAAGAUGGCUAUUCAUAUUAAAGCCAUCGUCCAUCGAAGGAUUUCAAUUACGUACAUCGAUUGGCGACGAGUUCCUGAUGAUCUAAAGGAUGAGAUAUGACAGUCCGUUGUGGUAUGUUUAUUCAACAUUUUGUAAAAUUUGUUAAAUUAUCAUUUAAUUGAAAUUCAAUGUGUUGAUACUAAUUGUGUUAACUUAUUUAAGAACAGUUCAACGUCCCCAUUAAGUGUAAAGAGAUUGUGUUGUAAUAUGCUGAAAAAGCUUUCAGAGACUUUAAAAGCAGAUUGACAACCAAAUAUAUUUUAUUAUUGGCUGGUGAAGGUGAUGUUUUGGCUGUUCCACCUGCAACAUAUGCAAAUGUCAUAAGUGUUGAAAAUUGGAUAAAAUUUUGUUUAAUAUCGACUUUCAGAAGAUUUCUCGGUAUGCAAACCCAUUACCAAAAUAGUCCAAAUUUAUAAGUCUUUAUUCAAUAUAACCUUUAAUCUUCAUAUGUGAUUGACGUAAUUUCUUGAUUUUAUAGAAAAUUAAAGAAGAACAUCGAAACAUUCGGGCCAAACAACAGUAUCACCAUCAAACAGCAAAAAAAAGAUAUGCAAAUAUAAAGUAUGAGCUUGUAUGCAUUCACACAUUUGUUUUAUACUCAUUAAUGAAUAUUUAUGAAUAUUCAUUUCAUACAUUUGAUUCUUUUAUUACGAUAAUUUAAUAGAAAUCAGUAAGCUCAAACACAAAAGUUUCCAGAUGGGAUGUCUGGAAACAAGGACAUAAAUGGAAGGAUGAAUCCUUUGCAGAUGAAGCAACUGAGAAAAUGGUAAAAAAGAUUAUAUGUAUAAUUAUUUUUUUGAUAUAAUGUAUGAUUGACAUUGUGGUUGUAUAAAUGAGUGUAUACUAGCUUGUGUAGAUUUGUUCUAACAGCCCAACUUAUUAUUGUCUUUUAGGAUGAUUAUGCUGCCAAAGUAAAAUCUAGCGAACUAACAACCUAGUAUGGUGAAGAUUCUUUAUCUUUAGCAUUAGGAACUAAAGAAAGGCCUGGUCGGGUUCGUGGGAUUGGUAAAUUUGUCUUGUCAUCAACGUAUUUUGGUAAACAACCAAAAACCCCAUGAAUGAGAAAUACACAAUAUGAAGCACUAAUUGAGCAACAACAAUAAUAAAUUAAUGACCAGAAGCAACACCUUAAUGAUCAACAGCAAAGACUCGCUGCUUUGGAGUUUAUGUUGUAGCAAUGCAACAGGUUAUGCCAAUAGCUCGGCCUGAUAGCAUCGUCCCCGUACGAAAAGCUUCCGUUGCUAGUAAGGAAGUGAUCCCAUCAUCUGCUACCACCAAAGAAGUAUGAUAUUAUUUAUAAUUUGAAUAUUAAUUUGUUUAUUAUAUUGAUAGAUUUGAUUUUAAUACUUAUAUUUCAUUAAAUAUUGUAGGAUGAUGUUCAGACUCAAAGUAUGACCCUUGCCCAGGCUUCCAUGGAUAAGUUAACAAAAUAUUCACUAGAGCAUUUAUCUGAUGAAAACUUCAUAUCCAUUGAGUCUGAGGAAGACUUAUUUGAUAAAUAAUCAUUUUCUUUCAUUAGUGUGGAAGAGGUGAAAGAAUUUUGUGAAAUGGAUGAAUUAUCAGCUGCUGAAAUCGUUACUUAUAUGAGGUUAGCUUAUAAAUACAAAUAUGCACAUUCAAUAUGUAGUAAGUUAGUAUUAGGGUGUAAUACUAACCAGCAGUGUUGAUUGUUAUCGUGUAGCUUCCUAUAUAGAGAGCUGAAGGGGAGACAGUUGACGAAUAAAUUUAGAUUCAUUGACCCCAACUUCAUUAGUGAGCAGAGUGGCACAGUCGUGUAUCAUGCUAAUCAUGUGAUCCUAUGCAUGAAAAUACCAACUGAUUAUUAUUUGCUCUCGUAUAAUGCGCAGUAAGCUAUAUUCCAACUUUAAUUACUCCAACCUACUCCAUUCUAUGAUCUGAUGUGUAUUCUGAGUAUAUCAUUAUUAUUAUUUUGCAAUCGUCAUUGGGUGCUUAUUGUGAUUGAAACCAAAUCCUUAACGUCAUACCUUCUUAAUUCAGUUAAUCCAAUGGUGAUGCCUAACCCCGAUAUUCAAACUUUUAUAAAAAGGUAUUACAGUACUUUAUUAUAUUAUAUAUGUUUUGUUUCUUCAUAAGUAAUUUUAUUUAUGUUCCCACUAAUUUUUUUUCUUUUCAAUUUAGGGUAAUAUAUGCACUUAAUAAAAAGAUAAAGAAACCGAAAUGGGUGUCAUUACCGGUAAAUAUGAAAUAUAUUCUCUUAAUGUUGAGUUUGUGUAGAUAAAUAUUUUCUAAACCGACUCAAUUUAAUUUUUAGGUACCUCAUCAAUCCGAUAAUACUAAAUGUGGAUAUUAUGUCCUUCAUUUUAUGCGAGAGAUAGUAUUACAUGAUUUUAUGACCACACCAUAAAGGUUAGUAUAAAUUUCAUAAACUCGUUAUAUAUUCAAAAAAAUAAAAUGGUACAUAAUGUUCUCAUUUCUUAACAUUUACUUUGAUAUAUUUUUUUAGUGGAAAGGUAAAGAAAGCUUUACGGAAGAGGAGCUAGAUGAAGUCCGUAAAGAAUGGAUGAUUAUGUAUUGUCAUUUAUCAAUGUUGAUAAACCUUUAGGUUAGAUAUUGUUGGUUGAAUGUAAAUAUAUAUGAAACAAAUUGUUAUAAUAUUUUUAACAUGCCAUGUUGAAUGGAAACUUUAAGUUUGUACAUUGGGGGUAUUGGUUUAAUAUUAUUGUUAUACUUAAUAUGAAUACACUAUGUGUACUUAAUAAAUUACUAAGUACGAUUAUUUCAUAAAAGUAUAUUAAUAUGACAACGUUAUCAGUUUUAAUUUUGGAUGUGUGGUUAAUUUAUUGAAAUACAACAAUAUUCAUUAUGUAAAUUCCAAAAUGUAAUUCAUAAUAUUUGAUAUAUAAACCAAAUGUUUUCUGGGCAUAAAUAUACAACUAACAGCAAACAUUUUUUUGGGCAUAAACCUACAACUGACUUCACAUAUAAAAUAUUAAAUAUGUUUUUUUGAUGCGAUUAAUGAAGGCUUUUUUAGUAAGAAAACGCCUUCAAUCACCCAUAAUAGAAAACAUUGAAGGCAUUUUUUUUAUCAAAAUCACUUUCAAUAAUCCCCCCAGGAAAUUAUUGUGUGGAAUAUUAAAGGCAUUUUUGACAAAAAAUACCUUCAAUAAUACCAACUAAAAAUUAAUCGAAUGAAUUAUGAAGGGCGUUUUCCUAUGGGUAAUGCCUUCAAUAAUCUCUAACAAAAUGUUUAUGAAGGCAUUUUUGGAUAUAGCCGCCUUCAAUAAUCAGACCAUUAAAAUUUAUCGUUGGGAAUAUUAAAGGCGUUUUGAGCCAAAAACGCCUUCAAGCAUCCCAUCCAAGUUUUGUCUAUGAAAUAUUGAAGCCAUUUUUUACAAAAUUGCCUUUAAAAAUCACUAAAAAAAUUUACUAAUUAGAUUAUAGAAGGUGAGUUCGGCGAGUUCGGCCAAAAAUGCCUUCAAGAAUCGACUCCAUAUUUUUCCUAUGUAUUAUUAAAGGCGUUUCUCCAUAAAAAACGCCUUCAAUAUUCUAAAAUUUUUUUAAAGCAAUUGGUGAAGGCGUUUUUGCCAAGAAAAUGCCUAGAAUAAUCAAUAACAAAUAAUCUGUGCAAAAAACCCAAAAAAGGCUAAAGGAUGGAUCAAACCAACAAUUUUAUGAUAAACAUUCGUACGAUCCAAACAAUUUGAUAAGCUUAAUAUUGAAUGUAUUUUUGAACAAAAUAAAUUCAAUAAGCCUAUGAAAUUUUUUUGUCUAAAUAUUAAAGGCGUUUCUUGUAGACAGUGCUUUUAUUAAUCUCAUAUAAUUUUUUAUGACGUGAUUAUUGAAAGCUUUGUUUGCCAAAAAUACACCUUAACUAUUCACUGAAAUUUUUAAUAAAAAAUAUUCAAGGCAUUUUAGUCAAGAAACGCCUCUAAUAUCAAGUCUUGGGUGACGUUCAUAAGUAACAACGACGCUAUUUGAAUAUUUAAUGAUGUUUGGUAAUAAAUGCCUUAAGUUUUAUAAAAAUACGGAAGUUAGUGGCAUUUAUAAGUGAAAGCCGCUACAAAACUGCCACUAAUAUGCCAUUUUGCUGUAGUGUAUGAAUUUUUCAUACCUUGCACGCUGAACCUGCUAUGCUAACUCCGUUAAGAGAAAACGAAAGCUACAAAGAUCCUUAACAGCCCCGUCAUUGAGAUAACAUAUCUUCAAUAGGUCUAUGGCUUCUUUCAUAUUCACGUGUGCAAGAAGACCUAAUUUCUCUAAACUCGCAUGAUUUUUCUUUAUGAAUUCCAAUACAUUAUUAUUUAUCAACAAUCCUUGUGACUGAAGUCUAUUCAAGAUUUGGCACAUUUCCUUGUACAUAGGAUCAUGUAAGUGAAUAUUGAAAUUGUGUAUGUCACGGGAUGAUAUAACUCUAAAGGAAGAUUGAACUUUAAACUGAUUAUAUAAAUCAUUGGAAGGAUUGAAAAAGUAACCUCCUCUAAUAUCCGAAAACAUUCUUGGCAUCAAACAUUUAGAUUUCCAAUCUAACGGCUUGCAAACCAUAGGAAGAUUCAGUUUAACUGGGAGAAGGCAACAGUUAAAAUUACAUAUUACGAAUGAGUUUAAUGGGUAAUAUCCUUUUCCUUUUCUUUUCACAAUUGGUUUUAUCUCCUCUGUUGUGCAGGUAUCAAUUACGAAACAAUUUCUUUCUAGCAUGAACUCAAGCAAUUUGGUUCCUAUUUCAUAUUGUUGAACACGACUUUUCUUACUACUUUUCGCUUGACUACUAUCACUUACCGCUUGACUACUAUCACUUUCAGACAAAUUGUUGAUAAUCACUGAUUGUAUUCGAAACUGUUUUAUCUAGCCUGUCCAACAAUGUGGAUACCCUUACAACCGAGGAUUCUUGAAGACUGUUGUACAACAAUCCUAGCACAUAUAUGAUGAUAGCCUCCAGCGUAUAAUGACCUAAAUGACUAAUAUAACGAUUAUAAACAUCUGUUGAUAGGCAACUCUUUAAAUGAUCUUUAGCUGUGAUCUGAGCAUUAUCUAUCAAUAAGUUUAAUAACUGAGGAGUGCUUUUAAAGAUUCUAUUUUCAUCGAAGUUCAUAGUUAGUUCUUCAAUCAUGUUCUGUAAAUCCUUUAACUCACUAGAGGAGAACUCUAUAAAACCAUCAUUAUUAAUGGAUUGAUUCUUCUUAGAUUCAUUCAAUAACAUUAUAACACGAUCCUGAUAGCUAUAACAAUCUGAAUUCAAUUUACAUGAAACUUUUAUCUCCCUGUAGAAAUGAAGCCAAAAUUCAUUAAUGAUACGUUCUUUAUCGGUUGAAUAAGCUCUUCUGACAUUGAUAUCAUCUCUCCUCUCUUGGCUUUGUCUCAUUGUCUAUCUUGUAAUCGUUCAAUUCCGUGCUUCAAUUGAAGCAAGCUCCGUCCUCCGAAUCUUUUCUCUUCUCCCCUGUGAGUCAAGAAGGAAAGAUAGAUUGUCUUCGGACUUAUCUGAAAGACUGUAGUUCGAACUCGGAUUCGUUUCUUUUUUAAUCUAUUCUUUUUCGAAUUAUAUCAAGAUUGAAGUUCGAAAGAACUCUUUAUCGUUCAUAGUCUCUUCUCUUUCUUGUCUUACGAUAUUCUUAUUCAACUUUCAUACUUUAAUCGAUUCACUAAGCCAGAUCGCUAUUCCUGACUUGAGAGUCCUAUUUUCUUUCACAUUUUCUUAUAAGUAAGGAAGCAAUCAAAGGGAAGCGCGUUACUAGGAGAUAAAGAUCGCAUUCCCAACAUAGGAAAAUCUUACCCGCCUAUCGACCCUUACAAGAGAGCUUCGCCUUUCCUGAUCCUGAUAUUGGGGAGUUUCCAGUAGAGCAGAAAGGCUUAGCUCAAAGACUUGAAAGAGCUUGUUAGAGGAAAUUGAUCAAAGUCAAGGGUCGACCAUGGGGGGGAGAGUGAUACAGAGAAGGCUACUGCUACUGCGACAGAUGGUUGACUAAUGCUCCUACCGUUACAGAUAGAAAUUUGGGUGAUUGCCUGCCCAUGCUAGAACCAUGCUACCUUCCUUUACCUUCCUAUAAGCUGGCUAACUAAGGCCUACGGACCGAUUACCGGUAUACGAAUAUUGUUGGGCAGGAGACAGAAGGCAGAAGACCUCUGGUCGGGAAGGGAACUAAGCAAGAGAGAGUUGACCGUUGACAGGGCAAGACAAGACUGGCAGCUCUAGAUGGAAUAAAAGUCGGGAACCUUAUUCGUGGACAGACCAAGCAAGGGAUACUUCAAUCGAUUGCAGAUGCGAGAGUUGCAAGAGAUUCCAGGAGGACAGGAAGAGAGUAAUGAAUUGGUAGACUCUGACUUUCGUGAAGACAGAUCUGUUGGUCAAGUGAAAUGUUUUUUCUUUCAUAGUUAGAAGUAUCUUAGAAACUAGUGCUCCACCUAAAGGCCUAGGCCUAGGGGUGGUAGUAGCUAACAGAAGUAUGCCUUCGGGCCCCUCUCUGUCUUGGUAAGAUAAGAAAAGACCGAUAACUGAAAUCGAUUCAUGAUGGCGACUCCUUCCUACUUCUUGUGCCUUAACUCUCGCUUAAGGAUAUGCAUGAAUAAAGGCGUGUUGUCUUUCCUUUUUGCUCUUGCACCUCCCCUUUAGCACAAGUACUAAGUAAGCAAGCUACCUCCUGCUGCACCAUUCCUGUUUGCUUUCUUGCUUCCAGAUUCACAAAAAAAAAAAAAAAAAAUCUUUCCAAUAAGGAAAGCGAUCUUGGACAGAGGACUUGAAUCCGUACCGUAUAGUAAAAAAAAGACAAGAAAGCACAUAACUGACCAUCUUUAAAGAUGAAGGCAUCGGUCUUUUCUGACGAGAAUGGGUUGUGAAUAGCAUAGCAUGGAUGAACCUAUCUUCAGGAAUGAAAGCUAUGUAGUACGAAUCACAUUCGAUUGGUAGAUUCCUCUGCCCUGAAUGAGGUUUUUUCCUUCCGGCUGAGAGGAAAAGUGCUCUUCACUUCAAGCCGCUUUCAAAAGAAACAGAGGUUCAUGAGCGUGAGGGCAUCGUGAGAGGAGUCAUAGGUAGACCUGAUUGAGAGUCUUGAACCCUGAUUUCUUCAUAAGAUAAAGGACCAAGAGAGUCUUUUCAGAUAUGGGAUUUGUCACGCUUUCUAGUAUGCAUUACCUGAAAGGAACUUGGUCUAACUGGGACAAUCUACCUUUGGGUGUGGAUCCGUAGAUUAACCAUUUCACCUUCGAGUUGCUCUCCAGACUCAAUGAGGUCUAUCAGAUGGGAUUGAAUCUCACUGAUAGUAGAAUUGAGGAGAGAAAGAGAAGUAGAACUCAAAGCAACAGAACUCGUCAACACGGACCUGAAAACGACAGAGUCUCAAGGUGUUCAGUCCAGGGGGGAGAGAAACUUGAACCCGGUAGAACUUCUCAUUCGCUAGUUCCCUCGUAGCUUCCUUCUCUUCAUUCUCCGGUCUUCAAGCCAAAGAAGCUUCACCGGGAGGUACUCGUAAUAGAGAUGCAUAGUAUUAAGAAGAUCAGAUCAUAGUCUAGGAUAAAGUAAAGACAAAGACUAAGUAAUAAAAAAAAAUACAAUAAAAAAAAGAGUGUCAACAAUAGGUAUUGUAUUUUGAUUUGUCCCCUUUGUCCCCUCGGAUCGGAGCGCACCAUGGGAUGCUUUGUGAACAGCCCCCUCUGCAGGUCCCGCUGCUGUUAUAUGAGCUACCCCUCUGUUCAAUACCGAUACCUGUCAGAUUCCAUAGCUGAAGAAUCUCUUGGGGAGGCCUUAUCCCCGAGAUUUGGGGGAGUCUUUGAGUCGGCGCUUCCAUAACAUAAAGCAGAGUAGAUAGCACACAUAAUGGUUUGCCAGGAGCAAAGCUCAGAGCUCAGCUAACGGAGUCAGGUCCGGCCCUUGACUUGAUAAUACUUAUUCACAUUGUCUUGCUGAUUGACUGAAGCGGGAAGAACUCCCUGAUGACCGACCAAGGGACUUAGCCGAACCGGGUCCUAUCCUUGUUGUUCGUCAACCUUGCCUUCUCAAUGUUCGGAUGAACAUGCAUUCUUUUCGAUCUUCUACUCAGAUAGACUUCACACUAAGCCAAUUUGUUUGAUUUUCACGAAUAAAGAAGGGGAUAAAGAACGACAUCUGUAAACUCGGAUAGAGCCUUGUGGCAUAGAACGCGGCUACUUUCUUUUCUUAUGAAAUUGAUAGUUGGAGGCAAAUGUGAAUGACUUUUUGUUUUUCGUAAAACAAUUGUUAUUAAUAAUUUGUAUAUUUAAAUAAUUAUUAAUAAUUUUUUAUUGAAAUAAUUAUUAAUAUUAAAUAAACUAAUUUAUUAUAUAUAAUUCAAAUUCUUAAUUGAAUUAUAAUUAAUAAUAUAUCUGUUAAAAAUAUAUUAUUAAUAUAUUUAAUAUUUUCUAUUAUAUAAGCAAAUUAUAAAUUAUAUAAGCAAUUAUAAUUUAUCUAGUAAUUAAAUUUUUAAUUAUAUAAGUAAAUAGUAAUGUAUAUUAAUAUAUAACAAUAAUAAAUAAAUUAUUAAUGUAUAAUAAUUUCAUUACUAAUAUUUAUUUAAAUUUAAUAAAUAAAUAACAAUUAUUAUUAAUUAAAUAGUCAUAUUUAAUUAAUAAUAUAAUUAAUAAUUGUUACUAUUUUAUAUAAAUUAUAAUUAGUUAUAAUAUUAUAAUACAUAUAAUAUAAUAGUAUAUAAUUAAGUAAUAUUAAUAAUAAUUAAUUAUAAGUACUAUAAUAAUUAGUAAAAAUCUUAAAUUGUUAUAUAUCAUUAUUGUUAAACUAAUUAUAUUAAUUAAACUAUUUAUAUAAUACAUUAUUUUAUAAUUAACAACUAUACUUAUUAAUUGUAUAACGAUUAAUAUAAUUAAUUUAAUAAACAAUUAGUUUUAAAUCUAAUCAUAUAAAAUAAUAUUAUAUUAUUAAACAAAAUUCAAAUUUAUUAACAAAUUAUUAAUUUAGUACGAUUUGAAAUAAAUAAAUGUUCAAAUUGUUAUAACUAAUUGAACUAGUAUGGUAAAUAGAUUUAUUUAUUAAAUCUCUUAUUAAUUUUUGAAAUAUUAAUAAAUUAAUAUUAUUUUAUUUCGAACAAACUUAUAUGAACAAAAACAUUUUUUUUACGACAAAACAAAAUGUCAUAACAAUUUGAAAUAGAUAAUUAUUCAUAUAACCUUAACUAUUUGAAUUGGUUCAGUAAACAAAUUUAUUUUUUAAAUCUAUCAGUUAUUAAAUUUCAUAAUAUUACUAGAUUAGUAUUAUUUUAUUUCAAAUAAGCUUGAAUGAAGAUAAAUAAUUGUAUUAUGACAAAACAAAAGAUCAAUUGGAAAUAUAUAAUUGUUCAAAUAGUCAUAACUAUUUGAACUGAUUCAAUAAACAGAUUUAUUUUUUAAAUCUUCUACUUAUUAAUUUUUCAAAUAUUAAUAAAUUAGUAUUAUUUUAUUAUGAAUAUUCUUGUAUGAUGAAAAACAAUUGUUUUACAACAAAACAAAAGUUCAUAAUGAUUUGAAAUAGAUAAUUAUUUAAAUGGAAUUAUUAUCUUAUAUAUACUUAAUUAAUCUAAUAAAUUAAUAGUGAAUAAUUUAUUAUAUAAAUUUAUAAAUCUCUUACUUGUUUAGUAUUAAUUAUAAGUAAGUUUUGAAUAUAUUGAAGAUAUAUUCAUUAUAUAAACAUAUUUAUUAUUAAUAUGACUAAAUAAAGGAAUUAUUAAUAAUUUAUUAAAUAAAUUUAUGAAAAAACAAAUAUUAUUAAUUUAUUAUAUUUAAUAUAAAAAAUAUAUUAUUUAUUCAAAUAAUAUAUUUAAUUAUUAUUAUAUAUAAUAAUUAUAAUCAUUAAUUUUAUUAAUUAUAAGUAAUACUAUUUUAUAAUAAUAUUAUUUGAAUGAUAUCUUAUACAUUAUAUUUAAUAAUAUAAAUAGUUAAUAAUUAAUUAUAUUAAUAAUAAUAAUUAUCUAUUUUAAUUAUCAAUAAUUUAUCAUAAAAGAUCAAAUAUACAUUUUAAAAUAUUUAUGAUUAUUUUUAAUAAUUAUUUAACAAAAUUCAUAAAUUAUAUUAUUAUUUCAUAGCUUAUUUAUUAAUAAAUAUCAAUAAUUAAAUAAUAAAAAUUAAAUAUUUUAAUUUAAAAUUUUUAAUUUUUAAUUUUUAACAUUCAAAAAAUUAAUAAACAAAAGUUAUGAAAAAAUAAAUCUGUUUACCAAUCAAAUUCAAAUAGUUAUGAUUAUUUGAACAAUUAUUUAUUUAAAAUCAUUAUUACCUUUUGUUUUGCCAAAAAACAAUUGUUUUAGUUCAUAAAAGCUUAUCGAAAAUAAAAUAAUACUAAUUUCUUAAUAUUUCAAAAAUUAAUAAGCAAGAGUUUAAAAAAAUUAAUUUGUUUACUGAACAAAUUCAAAUAGUUAUAACGAUUUGAACAAUUAUCUAUUUAAAAUCAUUAUGACCUUUUGUUUUGUCAUAAAACUAUUGUUUCAGUUCAUAUAAACUUAUUCGAAAUAAAAUAAUAGUAAUUUAUUAAUAUGUCAAAAACUAAUAAGUGAUUUAAAAAAUGAUUAUGUUUGCCAAAUUAGUUCAAAUAAUUAUGGUUUUUUCAACAAUUAUCUAUUUGAAAUCAAUAUUACCUUUUGUUUGGUCAUAUAACAAUUGUUUUUUAUCAUACAAGCUUCAGAAUAAAAUAAUACUAAUUUAUUAAUAUUUCAAAAGUUAAUAAGUAAGAAAUUUUAAAAAUAAACUUUUUUUGUUCUGUCAUAAAACAAUUAUUCAUGUUCAUACAAGCUUAUUCUAAAUAUAAUAAUACUCUGAAAAUUAAUAACUAAGAGAUUUAAAAAAUAAAUUUGUUUAUUGAACCAAUUUAAAUAGUUAAGAUUAUAUGAAUAAUUAUCUAUUUUAAAUCGUUAUGACCUUUUGUUUUGUCAUAAAAUAAUUUUUUCAAUUCAUACUAGUUGAUUCAAAAUAAAAUAAAAUGAAUUUAUUAAUAUUUCAAAAAUUAAUAAGAGAUUUAACAAAUAAUUAUGUUUAACUAACCAGUUCAAAUAAUUAUGAUUAUUUGAACAAUUAUUUAUUUCAAAUAAUUAUGACAUUUUGUUUUGUCAUAAAACAAAUGUUUUUAUCCAUAUAAGUUUGUUCGGAAUAAAUUAAUACUACUCUAUUAAUAUUUUAAAAAUUAAUAAUAGAUCUAAAAAAUAAAUCUUUUUAGAUAUCUAUUAAUUAAUAAAAAUCAAUAUUAAGAUAAUUAAUAAUAAAUUAUAAGUAUUUAUAAUAAUAAUUUAAUUAAAUAUUUAUAUUUUAAUUAAUUCAAAUAAUAUUAUAUUUUUAUAAAUUAAAUUUAAUAUUAUAAGUCCAAUUUUAAUUAUUUUAUUAUAAAUAUAUAAUAUAACCACUAUGGAUAUAAUUAUUAUAAUUAUUUGAACUGAUUUGAUAAACAAUUUAUGUUUUAAAUCUCUAACUUAUCAAUUUUUAUAAUAUUAAUAAAGUAAUAUUAUUUUUUUAGAUAAGCUUUUAUGAACUAAAAUAAUUGUUUUAUGAUAAAAUAUAAAGUCACAAUGAUUUUAAACAGAUAAUUGUUCAAAUAGUCAAAAAUAUUUGAACUUGUUUGGUAAAUAGAUUUUUUUUUCUAAUUUCUUACUUAAUAAUUUUCUAAAUGUUAAUAAAUUAGUAUUAUUUUAUUUUGAAUAAGCAUGUAUGAGUUGAAGCAAUUAUUUUAUGACUAAACAAAAGGUCAAAAUGAUUUGAAAUAGAUAAUUAUUCUAAUAGUCUUAACUAUUUGAACUGAUUUAGUAAACACAUUUAUUUUUUAAAUCUUUACUUAUUAAUUUUAGAAUAUUAUUAAUUUAGCAAUAUUUUACUCUAAAUAAGCUUGUUGAACAAAAAUUAAAUGUUUUAGGACAAAACAAAAAUCAUAACAAUUGGAGAUAGAUAAUUGUUCAAAUAGUCAUAACUAUUUGAACUGAUUCGGUAAAAAGAUUUAGUUUUUAAAUCUCUUAUUAAUUUUCAAAAUAGUAAUAAAAUAAUAUUAUUUUAUUAUUAUUAGUUAUUUAGAAGUUAUUCAUAAUACUUGGACUCAUACUCUGUGAAUUUCUUGUUUAGGUAAUAAAUAACUUUCUCUUUCUUGUCGGAUUCAUCUUAUAAUUUAAAUAAAUUUGUAUUUCUAAUAUAAUAUUUAUUUAAUUAUAUAAUUAUAUAAUAUAAUUAAUAAAUACUAAGUAUAUUUUUCAAUAUAUAAUAAAUUAGAUUAAUUAUAUAUAAUAUUAUAAUAAAAUUAAUAUAGUUUUGUUAAUAAUUAUUGUUAAUAUUUAUUUAAUUAUUAUUUCAAAUAAUUUAAAUAUAGUUUCUGUUAAUAUUUGAUAUAUAUUAUUAAAUUAAUAUAAUUAAUAUUAUCAAAUAAUAAUAUUAUUUAUUAAAAUUAUUAAUAUUUAAAUUAAUAAUAUAAUUUAUUUAUAUUACUAGAUUUAUUGUUGGAUUAUACAAUUAAAUUACUAUAUCAUAUAAAUAUAUUAGCAACAAAUAAAAUAUAAUUAAUAUUAAUAAACUAAUAAAAUAUUAUUUUAUAAAGUAGUACUAUCGAUUAGUACUUCUUAAAUAGUUUAUUGUUAUCGAAAUUACAGAACUAGUUAAGCUAAUAAUGUGAAAUAUUUAUGUUAAUAGAUAUAAUAAUAUAUUAGUAUUAAUAAUUAAUAAUUAUUUAAAAAUUUAAUAUAUUUAAUAUUAAUAUAAUUAAUAUUAUAUUUUUUAAGAUAAUAAUUUUAAAUAAUCAAUUAAAUAUCUUAUAUUUAAUUAUUAAUAACCUUUAAUUAUAAUUAAUUUACUUAAAGUAUUAUUUAAUUAUUAAAUAUAAUUAAUUUAAUUUAAUUUAAUAUUCUAUUAAAUAUUUAACAAUAAAAUUUUCUUAUUAUUAUUAUGCUAUUAAUUAAUUAUCUUAAUUAAUAAUAUUAUAUUGUUAUAUUAUAUUUUUUAUAAUAAAUAAUUAUAAUUAGUAAAUAACUAUAUAAAAAUUAUUUUAUAUAUAAUAGUAUAAUAACUUGAUAAUAUUAUAACUAUUAUAAUAUUAUUAUUUGAUAAUAUUAACUAUAAUAGUUGUAUUUAUUAAUAACUAAUAAUUAUUAUAAAUAUCUUAUAAAUUUUUAGUAAGUAUUAUUAAUAAUUUAUAAUAUUUGAUUUAUAGUAUAAUAUAAUAUUAUAUAAUUUAUAGUUUAAUAUAAAUUAUAAGUAACAAUUUAUAGUAUGACUAGAAUAAUAUAAUAUAUUAUGAUAAUAAUUAAUUAUUAUUAAUUAAUAUUUUAUAUUUAAUUUAUAAUUUAUAUUAUAAAUUAUUAAAUAUAAUAUAAUAUAAUAUGAUUUAUUAAUAAUAUAAUUAAAAUAUUUAAUUAAUAAUUUAUAAUUAUAAUUAGUUUUAUGAAUAACUUUUUAGUUGAUAUUACUAGUUAUACAUAUAUUACAAAAUAUUAUAAUAAACAAUUAGAAUACUAUAGUUAUAAUAAUUAUUUUAUAAACUAUAAAUAACUAUUAAUUAUUGUUAUAAUUAAAAAUAAAUAAGAACUUAUUAUAGUAUUAUACUAAUUUAUAUAUUUAUUAUAAUUAUUAAAUAAUUAUAAUAAUUAUAAUUAUAUUAAGAUAUUAAUAGUUAAGGUUAUAAUAUUAAAUUUAUAAGUUUAUACUUAUAAUAUAACUAAUAUUAAUAGUUAUAAUAUAAAAAUGACUAUAAUAAUAAUUAAUAUUUGAAUAAUUUAUAAAUUAUAUUAUAAUUAUAUAAUAUUAUAAUAGUUUAUUAUAAUAGCUUAUUUUGAAUAAAAUAAUACUAUUAAUACUUAUUAAUAUAUAAUAUAUUGAAUAAUAAUAUUAUUUAUUAUUUAUAGUUUAAAUUAAUAUAAAUUAACUAUAUUAUUAAUUAGUUUAAAUAUAAUUGUAUUAUUUUAUAAUUUAUAAAUUAUAUAAUAUAUUAUAUAUUAUAUAAGUUAAUAAUAUUUAAAUAUUAUUAUAUGUUAAAAUUAAUAAUAACUAAUAUUAUUAAUAAAAUAGAUUAUUAAUUUAAUCUUAUAAUAAUAUAUAUAUUAUUAAUAUAAUUUAUAAGUUAUUAUUAAAUUUAGUAAAGUAUUUAUAUAUUUGACUAUAUAUUAUAAAUAAUAAUAUUAGAUUUAUUUAAAAAUAUUAAUUUAAAACAAAUUUAAAUUAACAUAGUAACAAUAUCUAUAAAUUAUACUAAUUUAAAAAUGCUUAUAAAUUAAAUAAUAAAUAUUAUGUAAUAAUAUGAUAUAUAGUUCUUAGGAAUUUCUUACUUCUGCUUCAAAGUAAGGUACAUAACAUUAUUUGUAUUUUCAUGCAUAGAAUUUAAUCUAUAUUAUGAAAUUCAUUGCUCUUUUGAAUGAUAUAAAAAUAUCAACUAUUUCCUAUAAUUGACAUGUUAAUUGUAUUAUAACAAUGAAUAUUAUAACAUUUUCAUAUUUUAUUACUGACACAACAAAAAGAAAUAGCUUCAUUAAUUCAAUGAAGCAUCCUAAGACACUAGCAACUUUUAUAUUAGCUGCAUUAAGCAAAAUAUGAUUAUUAUUUUUCAUAGUUGGUGUUAUAAAUAGAUAGUCAUAAUUAUUUCAACUUGAUCAAUAAGAAAAUUCAUUUUUUUAAUUCUAUUACUCUUUAAUUUUUGGAAUAUUAUUUUAAAAUAUUAAUAAUAUUAAAUUUAUAUAUAUGAUUAAUUAUUAUUUAAAUUAUAUUUGAAUUAAUAUACUAUUAAUAUUACUACUUAAUAUUAAGUCUUGAUAAUAUAUUGAAUUAUAUAUUAUUAUUAAUUAUACUAUUGUUCGAAUAGUAUAUUAUAAAUUACAAAUUAUAAAUAAUAUCAAUUUAUUAAUAUUAGAAAUUAUUCAAAUAUAAUCAUAAAUUAUAAUAAUAUAAUAAUAUUAUUACUAUAAUAUGAGAUUAUAUAAUUUAUUAUUAUAUAUAACUUAAUAAAUAUAAUGAUAUUAAUAAUUAACAAUUAUUUUAUAAAAUUAAUUAUAAUUAAUAUUUGAUAUAGUUUAUAAACUAUUUUAAAAUAAAUUGUAUAACAAUUAAUUAAUUUAUUGUAUAAUAAUAUAAUAAUUAACAAUUGUAUAGUUAAUACAAUAAUAAUAAAUUAAUAAAAAAAUAUAUAAUUUUUAUUAUAAUUAAAUUUAUAACUUAUAUAUAAUAAUCUGUUAAUAUAAUUAUAACUUAUUAAUUAUUAACAUAAUAUAAACCAAUUUUGUUUUAAUAACAUAAAAUAAUAAUUAAAGAUAAUUAAUUCAAAUUUAUAGUUAUAAUUAUCGAUUAUAACUAAUCUAAUAAUUUAUAAACUAUUCAAAUAAUGUAUAUUUUAGUAUAACUAGUAGUAUUAACUAAUAAGUUAUUCAUAAAACUAAUUAUAAUUAUAACUAAUUAUUAAUUAAAUAUUUUAAUUAUAUUAUUAAUAAAUCAUAAUAUAUUAUAUUAUAUUUAAUAAUUUAUAAUAUAAAUUAUAAAUAAAUUAUAAAUUAUUAAUUAAUAAUAAUUAAUUAUUAUCAUAAUAUAUUAUAUUAUUCUAGUCAUACUAUAAAUUGUUACUUAUAAUUUAUAUUAUACUAUAAAUCAAAUAUUAUAAAUUAUUAAUAAUAUUUACUAAAAAUUUAUAAGAUAUUUGUAAUAAUUAUUAGUUAUUAAUAAAUAGAACUAUUAUAGUUAAUAUUAUUAGAUAAUAAUAAAAAAUUAUUUUAUUUUUUAAUAAUAAUUGUAUAUUUGUAUUAUUAAAUAUUAUAUAAAUAUUAGUAAUAAUUGUUAUUAAAUUAAAUAAGUAUUUAAUUAUAUAAAUAUAAUUAUUAAUUUAAUUAAUUAAUAAUUAAUUAAUUAUAUAAGAUAAAUUUUAAUUAUAUAAAUAUUAAUAAUUAGCUAUAAGUUAUUAGUAUAUUAUUUAUAAUAACAAAAUAAUAUUUUAAAUUUAUCUUAUCUUUGCAGAUAAUAACUAAUUACUACUUUAGUUAAUAUAACUAAAUUAUUAAUUAUUAUAUAAUUGUGUUUAUUAAAUAACCUUUUAUAUAAGUUUCAAAUUAAUAAUUUUAUAAAUAUAAUAUUAAUUUUAAAAUAGAUUUUAAUAAUUAAUUAUAAAUAAAUAAUAUUGCAAAAAUUAAAGAGUAACAGAAUUAAAAAAAAUGAAUUUUCUUAUCGAUCAAGUUGAAAUAGUUAUGACUAUCUAAACAAUUAUUUAUUUCAAAACAUUAUGACAUUUUGUUUUGUUAUAAGACAAUUGGUUCUGUUCAUGCAAGCAUAAGUUGAAUAAAAUAAUAUAAAUUUAUUAAUAUUCCAAAAAUUAAUAAGUAUAAUUUUAGAAAAUAAAGCUAUUUUCUGAACACAUUAAAAUAGUUAUGAUUAUUUGAACAAUUAUCUAUUUCAAAUCAUUAUGACCAUUCAUUUUGCCAUAAACCAAUUGUUUUUGUUCAAACAAGUUUAUUUGGAAUAAAAUAAUUCCAAUUAAUUAAUAUUCCAAAAUUAAUAAGUAAAAGAUUUAAAAAAUAAAUUUGUUUAUCGAGUGAGUUCAAAUAGUUUUGAUUGUUUGAACAAUUAUUUAUUUCAAAUUAUUAUGAUCUUUUGUUUUGUUAUAAAACAAUUAUUUCUAUUCAUACAAGUUUAUUUUGAAUAAAAUAAUACUAAUAUAUUAACAUUUUAAAAAUUAAUUAGUUUACCAAACCAGUUCAAAUAGUCAUGUCCAUUUGAACUAUUAUCUAUUUCAAAUUGUUAUGACAUUUUAUUUUGUCAUAAAACAAUUGGUUCUAUUCAUGCAAGCAUAUUUUAAAUAAAAUAAUAUAAUUUAUUAAUAUUCCAAAAAUUAAUAAGUAAAAUUUUAGAAAAUAAAGCUAUUUUGUUAAAUUAAUAAUUUAUAUUAAUAUACAAAUUAGUACGAGGAAACUAAUCGUAUUUUUUUAUAAUGUUUAUUUAUAAAUAUUUUAUUGUAGUUUUUUCCCUUUUUUAUAUUCAAUAUAUUCAAAUAGUUAUAAUUAUUUGAAUUGGUUCAACUAAUAAUUAAAUAAUUGUUAUUUAUAAUAUAUAAUUUAGUAAUAAUUAUAAACUUAGAUUUAGUAAAUUAAUUAUAUUUAAUUAUAUUAUAAUUAUAUGAAAUUAUAAUUAUUAAAUAUUAAUAAAUUAGUUAAUUAAUCUAUUAAUUGUUAAAUUUAGUUCUAUAAUAUUUGAGAUUAAGAAUUAAAACUUGUUAAUUAUGAAUAUUAUAUAAGUCUAAUUAAUAAUAAAUAUGUUUAUUAGUUUAAAACUAAUUAUAUAGUUAGUUUUAAAUAUAAUAUAUUUUAAUUAUAAUUAAAAUAAUAUAUAUUAUUACUAUAAUUGUUUUAAUUCUAUAAUACUAUAUUUAAUAUAUUAAUUACUUAAUUAAUUAGUUUUUAAUUUGUAACAGAAGGCCACUAGUUCUAAUCCAAUAAUUGUUAGUAUUGGAUUAAUAAUAUAAAUUGUAUGUUAAUUUUCAAAUAUUAUAGUUAAUUGACUUAUAACAAUAUAUUUAUAAUAUUAUAAAAAUAAAUAUUAUUAGUAUAAAUUUAACAUAAUAAUACUUUAGUUAUUUAUAUAUUAUAUAAUAACAUAAUAUAUUAUAAUAUAAUAACUAGAACUUAUUAUAUUAUAAUUUAAUACUAUAUUUAAUUAUAUAUAAUAAUUAUCAUAUAAUAUAAAUAAUAUUAUAAAUAGUUAAGAUAUUUAUUUAUUAAUAUCUUAUUAAUUAAAAUAAGAUAUUUUAUAUAUAAUAAAAUUUAGUUAUUUAUAUUAUGCUUAUAUUCAAUGAUUAAUAUAUUAUAUAAUGUACAUUAUUUAUAUAUAAUAAUCUUUAUUAUCAAUAAUAAAUAUUUUAAUAAGAUUAAAAUAUUAAUAUGAUAUAAUUAAUAGUUUAUUAAAUAAUUAUAAAGACUUGAAAUAAUAAUUAAUUUAUAAUUGAUAUUAUUUAUAUUAUAUAUUUAAAUUUAUAAAUAUUUAACAAAUAAUAUUUGUUAAGUAUAAUUAAUUUUAACUGAUUUAUUUUUAAAUCUCUUAUUAAUUUUGGAAAUAUUGAUAAAAUAGUAUUAUUUUAUUUUGCAUAAGCUUUUAUAUUGAAAUAUUCUUAUUAUUAAAUAAUAAUUAAUAAGUUUACAUAUAUUAAAAGGAAUUAAUAUAUAUUUAAUUGUUUACUAUAAUAUUAAAAUUAUAAUUAGAAUAAUUAUCUAUUUCAAAUUGUUCUUUUGUUUUGUGAUAAAACAAUUAUUUCUAUUCAUACAAGUUUAUUCAAAAUAAAAUAAUACUAAUUUAUUAAUAUUCUAAAAAUUAAUAGGUGGGAGAUUUAAAAAAUAAAUCUAUUUACCAAAUUAAUUAAAUUAAAUAUUUAUAUUAAUAUUUAAAUAUUAAUAUAAAUUAAUAUUAAUAUUUUAAUUUAAAUUAAUUUAUAAUAAAUUAUAUAUUUAUUUAAUAUAUUAUACAAAUUAAGUUAACAGAUAACUAUUUGAAUUAUAUUAAUAAAUAUAUAAAUUAAUAUAAUUAUAACCUUAAUAUAGAGAUUAUAAUAUUAAUAAUUUAUUAUCUAAUAAAUUAUUAUUAGUUAUCAAUUAAAUAUCAUAAUUAAAGAAUUAAGAUAAUUAAUUAAUAGCAUAAUAAUAAUAAGAAAAUUUUAUUAUUAAAUAUUUAAUAGAAUACUUAAUUUAAUUUAAUUAAUUAUAUUUAAUAAUUUGUCAUAAAACAAUUGUUUCUGUUCAUAUAGAAUUAUUCAAAAUAAAAUAAUUUGAUUUAUUAAUAUUUUAAAAAUUAAUAAGAGAUUUUAAAACUAAAUCUAUUUACUAAACCAGUUCAAAUAGUUAUGACUAUUUGAACAAUUAUCUAUCUCAAAUCAUAAUGAUCUUUAUUUUGUCAUACAACAAUUGUUUCCUUUCAUACAAGCUUAUUCGAAUUAAAAUGAUACUAAUUUAAUAAUAUUUCAAAAAUUAAUAAGAGAUUUAAAAAACAAAUAUGUUAGCCGAACUAGUUCAAAUAGUUAAGACAAUCAAAAUAAUUAUCUAUUUCAAAUCAUUCUAUCCUUUUGUUUAGUCAUAAAACAAUUAUUUCAGUUCAUACAAGCUUAUUUGGAAUAAAAUUAGUAUUUUAAACUUAAUUUAACCGUUAAUGAAAUAUAGAUAAUUAUAUUAGUUAAUUCAUUCAUACUGACAUAAUAGUUUUAUGAAUAAUAAUCAUAUAUAAUCUAUUAAAUAAUAAUUAAAUAAUUUAUUAAAUUUAAUAGCUUAUAAAUUAAUAAUAUAUUAUUUAUUAAUUUAACAUAAAAUUAAAAUUUUUUAAUUUAAUUGUAAUUAUAAAUAUAUUAUAUGAAAUAGUUAUUAUUAUAAUGAUUACAAUAUAUUUUAUUGUUAUCAGAUAAAUUUAUAAAAUAUUAUUAAAUAUUCAAAAUAUUAGUCACAUUUAAAUUAAUUAAAGGGUGUUAUUAUAAUAUAUAAUAUAUAAUUAAUUAAUAUUUUAAUUAUUGACUAAUAUUAUAGGAUAAAUAUUACAAAUAUUUAUUAACAUUAUUAUUAAUAUUAAUAUUUAUUUAACAAACAAUAAUAUUAGUCAUAAUGAUAAACAAUUGUUUAUUAUAUUAAUAUUAAUAUCUAUUGAAUAAUAUAUAUUAUUUAUAUAUAUAGAUAUUUAACUUAUAAAAUUAUUAUUACAAAUUUAUUUUAAAAUUAUUUAAAUAAUAAAAUAAUUAUAUUAAUAAGCAAUUGUUAAAAUUUAUAUUAAUUAAUUAUAAUAUAUCAUUGAAUUAAUGAAGUUAAAUAUUAAUUAUUAAGUAAAUAUGAUUUGUCAUGUAAAUAAUAUUUAUAUAAUAUAUAAAGUUAAAGUAUAUAUAUACAUAAUUUAUCAUAAUAUGAAACAAUAUUAUAUUAAUAAAUACGAUAUUAUUGUAUUUAAUUAAUAUAAUUUUUUAUGGCAAAACAAUUAAUUUAAUUAUAUUUAGUUUUAAUUAUUCACACAUUUAAUUUAUUUAUUAAAUAUAAUUAACUAAGGUGUAUAAUUAAUUUAAAAAUUAAUUAUUAAUAUAACAUUUAAUUAUCUAAUAAUAUUAUUAACAUAAUUAUAUUAUAAUUAUAAAGUAAUUAUAAUUAUAAUUACUACAAAUAUUUAAUAAUUAAAGUAUUAUAUUAAGUAUACUAUAAUUAUUAUAAGUAAUUCUAUUAUUGAUGAACCUGUUUAAUCUAAAUUGCUUAUUCGAAAUAAUUAUCAUUUUAAUUAUAUUAAAUUUAUUUAAUAAAUUAUUAAUAAUUCUUUUAUUUAGUCAUAUUAAUAAUAAAUAUGUUUAUAUAAUGAAUAUAUCUUUAAUAUAUUCAAAACUUAAUUAUAAUUAAUACUAAAUAAGUAAGAGAUUUAUAAAUUUAUACAAUAAAUUAUUAACUAUUAAUUUAUUUAUAAUAUAAUUAAUAUAUUUUAUAAGAUUAAUUAAGUAUAUUAGUAUUUAUAUAAUAACUAAUACUUAUAAUUUACAAAUUUUAUAUAUAAAUUUAAUAUAAUUAAUAGUUAAUUAAUUAUAAAAUUAAUUAUAUUAUAUUAAUGUUAUAAACUAAUUAUUUAUAUAUUAUUAUUAAACUAAUAUCUAAUUAACUAUUAAUAAUAUUAUUAAUAUUAAUAUGUGAAUUAAAUUAAUAUAAUUAUUAAUAAUCAAAUAAUUUAUUUAGUAAUAUAUCAUAUUAUAAUUUAAUUAUUAAAUAACUAAUAUUUAAAUAUGACAAAUAGUUUAUUAUUUUUAUUUUAACNNNNNNNNNNNNNNNNNNNNNNNNNNNNNNNNNNNNNNNNNNNNNNNNNNNNNNNNNNNNNNNNNNNNNNNNNNNNNNNNNNNNNNNNNNNNNNNNNNNNNNNNNNNNNNNNNNNNNNNNNNNNNNNNNNNNNNNNNNNNNNNNNNNNNNNNNNNNNNNNNNNNNNNNNNNNNNNNNNNNNNNNNNNNNNNNNNNNNNNNNNNNNNNNNNNNNNNNNNNNNNNNNNNNNNNNNNNNNNNNNNNNNNNNNNNNNNNNNNNNNNNNNNNNNNNNNNNNNNNNNNNNNNNNNNNNNNNNNNNNNNNNNNNNNNNNNNNNNNNNNNNNNNNNNNNNNNNNNNNNNNNNNNNNNNNNNNNNNNNNNNNNNNNNNNNNNNNNNNNNNNNNNNNNNNNNNNNNNNNNNNNNNNNNNNNNNNNNNNNNNNNNNNNNNNNNNNNNNNNNNNNNNNNNNNNNNNNNNNNNNNNNNNNNNNNNNNNNNNNNNNNNNNNNNNNNNNNNNNNNNNNNNNNNNNNNNNNNNNNNNNNNNNNNNNNNNNNNNNNNNNNNNNNNNNNNNNNNNNNNNNNNNNNNNNNNNNNNNNNNNNNNNNNNNNNNNNNNNNNNNNNNNNNNNNNNNNNNNNNNNNNNNNNNNNNNNNNNNNNNNNNNNNNNNNNNNNNNNNNNNNNNNNNNNNNNNNNNNNNNNNNNNNNNNNNNNNNNNNNNNNNNNNNNNNNNNNNNNNNNNNNNNNNNNNNNNNNNNNNNNNNNNNNNNNNNNNNNNNNNNNNNNNNNNNNNNNNNNNNNNNNNNNNNNNNNNNNNNNNNNNNNNNNNNNNNNNNNNNNNNNNNNNNNNNNNNNNNNNNNNNNNNNNNNNNNNNNNNNNNNNNNNNNNNNNNNNNNNNNNNNNNNNNNNNNNNNNNNNNNNNNNNNNNNNNNNNNNNNNNNNNNNNNNNNNNNNNNNNNNNNNNNNNNNNNNNNNNNNNNNNNNNNNNNNNNNNNNNNNNNNNNNNNNNNNNNNNNNNNNAAUAAGCUAUUAUAAUAAACUAUUAUAAUAUUAUAUAAUUAUAAUAUUAAUUUAUAAAUUAUUCAAAUAUUAAUUAUUAUAGUCAUUUUUAUAUUAUAACUAUUAAUAUUAGUUUAUAUAAGUAUAAACUUAUAAAUUUAAUAUAUAACCUUAACUAUUAAUAUCUUAAUAUAAUUAUAAUUAUUUAAUAAUUAUAAUAAAUAUAUAAAUUAGUAUAAUACUAUAAUAAGAUCUUAUUUAUUUUUAAUUAUAACAAUAAUUAAUAGUUAUUUAUAGUUUAUAAAAUAAUUAUUAUAACUAUAGUAUUCUAAUUGUUUAUUAUAAUAUUUUGUAAUAUAUGUAUAACUAGUAAUAUCAACUAAAAAGUUAUUCAUAAAACUAAUUAUAAUUAUAAAUAAUUAUUAAGUAAAUAUUUUAAUUAUAUUAUUAAUAAAUCAUAUUAUAUUAUAUUAUAUUAUAUUUAAUAAUUUAUAAUAUAAAUUAUAAAUUAAAUAUAAAAUAUUAAUUAAUAAUAAUUAAUUAUAUCAUAAUAUAUUAUAUUAUUCUAGUCAUACUAUAAAUUGUUACUUAUAAUUUAUAUUAAACUAUAAAUUAUAUAAUAUUAUAUUAUGCUAUAAAUCAAAUAUUAUAAAUUAUUAAUAAUACUUACUAAAAAUUUAUAAGAUAUUUAUAAUAAUUAUUAGUUAUUAAUAAAUACAACUAUUAUAGUUAAUAUUAUCAAAUAAUAAUAUUAUAAUAGUUAUAAUAUUAUCAAGUUAUUAUACUAUUAUAUAUAAAAUAAUUUUUAUAUAGUUAUUUGUUAAUUAUAAUUAUUUAUUAUAAAAAAUAUAAUGUAAAAAUAUAAUAUUAUUAAUUAAGAUAAUUAAUUAAUAGCAUAAUAAUAAUAAGAAAAUUUUAUUAUUAAAUAUUUAAUAGAAUAUUAAAUUAAAUUAAAUUAAUUAUAUUUAAUAAUUAAAUAAUACUUUAAGUAAAUUAAUUAUAAUUAAAGGUUAUUAAUAAUUAAAUAUAAGAUAUUUAAUUGAUUAUUUAAAAUUAUUAUAUUAAAAAAUAUAAUAUUAAUUAUAUUAAUAUUAAAUAUAUUAAAUUUUUAAAUAAUUAUUAAUUAUUAAUACUAAUAUAUUAUUAUAUCUAUUAAUAUAAAUAUCUCACAUUAUUAGCUUAACUAGUUUUGUAAUUUCGAUAACAAUAAACUAUUUAAGAAGUACUAAUCGAUAGUACUACUUUAUAAAAUAAUAUUUUAUUAAUUUAUUAAUAUUAAUUAUAUUUUAUUUGUUGCUAAUAUAUUUAUAUUAUAUAGUAAUUUAAUUGUAUAAUCCAACAAUAAAUCUAGUAAUAUAAAUAAAUUAUAUUAUUAAUUUAAAUAUUAAUAAUUUUAAUAAUUAAUAUUAUUAUUUGAUAAUAUUAAUUAUAUUAAUUUAAUAAUAUAUAUAAAAUAUUAAUAGAAACUAUAUUUAAAUUAUUUGAAAUAAUAAUUAAAUAAAUAUUAACAAUAAUUAUUAACAAAACUAUAUUAAUUUUAUUAUAAUAUUAUAUAUAAUUAAUCUAAUUUAUUAUAUAUUGAAAAAUAUACUUAGUAUUUAUUAAUUAUAUUAUAUAAUUAUAUAAUUAAAUUAAAUAUAUAUUAGAAAUAACAAAUUUAGUUUAAAUAACAAGAUUGAAUCCUGACAGAAAGAGAAAGUUAUUUAUUACCUAAGCCAAGAAAUUCAUAGAGUAUGCAGUCCAAGUAUUAUAAAUAACUUCUAAAUAACUAAUAGUAAUAAAUAAUACUGAUUUUAUUACUAUUUUGAAAAUUAUAAGAGAUUUAAAAACUAAAUCUUUUUUACCAAACCAGUUCAAAUAGUUAUGGACUAUUUUGAACAAUUAUCUAUCUCCAAUUGUUAUGAUUUUUGUUUUGUCCUAAAACAUUUAAUUUUUGUUCAACAAGCUAUUUAGAGUAAAAUAUUGCUAAUUAAUAAUAUUCUAAAAUUAAUAAGUAAAGAUUUUAAAAAUAAAUGUGUUUACGAAUCAGUUCAAAUAGUUAAGACUAUUAGAAUAAUUAUCUAUUUCAAAUCAUUUUAACCUUUUGUUUAGUCAUAAAAUAAUUGCUUCAACUCAUACAUGCUUAUUCAAAAUAAAAUAAUACUAAUUUAUUAACAUUUAGAAAAUUAUUAAGUAAGAAAUUAGAAAAAAAAUCUAUUUACCAAACAAGUUCAAAUAUUUUUGACUAUUUGAACAAUUAUCUUUUUAAAAUCAUUGUGACUUUAUAUUUUAUCAUAAAACAAUUAUUUCAAUUCAUAAAAGCUUAUCUAAAAUAAAAUAAUAUUUACUUUAUUAAUAUUAUAAAAAUUGAUAAGUUAGAGAUUUAAAACAUAAAUUUGUUUAUCAAAUCAGUUCAAAUAAUUAUAAUAAUUAUAUCCAUAGUGAUUAUAUUAUAUAUUUAUAAUAAAAUAAUUAAAAUUGGACUUAUAAUAUUAAAUUUAAUUUAUAACAAAUAUUAAUAUUAUUUGAAUUAAUUAAAAUAUAAAUAUUUAAUUAAAUUAUAUAUAAAUACUUAUAAUUUAUUAUUAAUUAUCUUAAUAUUGAUUUUUAUUAAUUAAUAGAUAUCUAAAAAGAUUUAUUUUUUAGAUCUAUUAUUAAUUUUUAAAAUAUUAAUAGAGUAGCAUUAAUUUAUUCCGAACAAACUUAUAUGGAUAAAAACAUUUGUUUUAUGACAAAACAAAAGGUCAUAAUUAUUUGAAAUAAAUAAUUGUUCAAAUAAUCAUAAUUAUUUGAACUGGUUAGUUAAACAUAAUUAUUUGUUAAAUCUCUUAUUAAUUUUUGAAAUAUUAAUAAAUUCAUUUUAUUUUAUUUUGAAUCAGCUAGUAUGAAUUGAAAAACUUGUUUUAUGACAAAACAAAAGGUCAUAAUGAUUUAAAAUAGAUAAUUAUUCAUAUAGUCUUAAACUAUUUAAACUAGUUCAAUAAACAAAUUUAUUUUUUUAAAUCUCUUAGUUAUUAAUUUUCAGAGUAUUAUUAUAUUUAGAAUAAGCUUGUAUGAACAUGUAUAAUUGUUUAUGACAGAACAAAAAAUGUUUAUUUUUAAAAUUUCUUACUUAUUUAACUUUUGAAAGAUUAAUUAAAUUAGAUUAAUUUUAUUCUUGAAGCUUGUAUGAUUAAAAAACAAUUGUUAUAUGACCAAACAAAAGGUAAUAUUGAUUUCAAAUAGGAUAAUUAUUGAAAAAACCAUUAAUUAUUUGAACUAAUUGGCAAGCAGGGAAUCAUUUUUUAAAUCACUUAAUUAAUUUUUGACAAUUAAUAAAUUAUAUUAUUUUUAUUUCGAAUAAGUUUAUAUGAACGUGAAACAAUGUUUUAUGACAAAACAAAUGUUCAUAAUGAUUUUAAAUAGAUAAUUGUUCAAAUCGUCAUUAACUAUUUGAAUUUGUUCAGUAAACAAAUUAAUUUUUAAACUCUUACUUAUAAUUUUUGAAUAUUAAGAAUUAGUAUUAUUUUAUUUUGGAUAAGCUUUUAUGAACUAAAACAAUUGUUUUUGGCAACAAAAAGUAAUAAUGAUUUUAAAUAAAUAAUUGUUCAAAUAGUCAUAACUACUUGAACUUGAUUGGUAAAUAGAUUUAUUUUUUCAUAUCUUUUGUUUAUUAAUUUUUUGAAUGUUAAUAAUUAAAAAUUUUAAAUUAAAAUAUUUAAUUUUUAUUAUUUAAUUAUCGAUAUUUAUUAAUAAAUAAGCUAUGAAAUAAUAAUAUAAUUUAUGGAUUUUGUUAAAUAAUUAUUAAAAAUAAUCAUAAAUAUUUUAAAAUGUAUAUUUGAUCUUUUAUGAUAAAUUAUUGAUAAUUAAAAUAGAUAAUUAUUAUUAUUAAUAUAAUUAAUUAUUAACUAUUAUAUUAUUAAAUAUAAUGUAUAAGAUAUCAUUCAAAUAAUAUUAUUAUAAAAUAGUAUUACUUAUAAUUAAUAAAAUUAAUGAUUAUAAUUAUUAUAUAUAAUAAUAAUUAAAUAUAUUAUUUGAAUAAAUAAUAUAUUUUUUAUAUUAAAUAUAAUAAAUUAAUAAUAUUUAUUUUUUCAUAAAUUUAUUUAAUAAAUUAUUAAUAAUUCCUUUAUUUAGUCAUAUUAAUAAUAAAUAUGUUUAUAUAAUGAAUAUAUCUUCAAUAUAUUCAAAACUUAAUUAUAAUUAAUACUAAACAAGUAAGAGAUUUAUAAAUUUAUAUAAUAAAUUAUUCACUAUUAAUUUAUUAGAUUAAUUAAGUAUAUAUAAGAUAAUAAUUCCAUUUAAACAAUUAUCUAUUUCAAAUUAUUAUGAACUUUUGUUUUGUCAUAAAACAAUUGUUUUUCAUCAUACAAGAAUAUUCAUAAUAAAAUAAUACUAAUUUAUUAAUAUUUGAAAAAUUAAUAAGUAGGAGAUUUAAAAAAUAAAACUGUUUAUUGAAUUAGUUCAAAUAGUUAUUACUAUUUGAACAAUUAUAUAUUUCCAAUUGAUCUUUUGUUUUGUCAUAAUACAAUUAUUUAUCUUCAUUCAAGCUUAUUUGAAAUAAAAUAAUACUAAUUUAGUAAUAUUAUGAAAUUUAAUAACUGAUAAAUUUAAAAAAUAAAUUUGUUUACUGAACCAAUUCAAAUAGUUAAGGCUAUAUGAAUAAUUAUCUAUUUCAAAUUGUUAUGAUAUUUUGUUUUGUUGUAAAACAAAUGUUUUUGUUCAUAUAAGUUUGUUCAAAAUAAAAUAAUAUUAAUUUAUUAAUAUUUCAAAAAUUAAUAAGAAAUUUAAUAAAUAAAUAUAUUUACCAUACUAGUUCAAUUAGUUAUAACAAUUUGAACAUUUAUUUAUUUCAAAUCGUACUAAAUUAAUAAUUUGUUAAUAAAUUUGAAUUUUGUUUAAUAAUAUAAUAUUAUUUUAUAUGAUUAGAUUUAAAACUAAUUGUUUAUUAAAUUAAUUAUAUUAAUCGUUAUACAAUUAAUAAGUAUAGUUGUUAAUUAUAAAAUAAUGUAUUAUAUAAAUAGUUUAAUUAAUAUAAUUAGUUUAAUAAUAAUGAUAUAUAACAAUUUAAGAUUAUUACUAAUUAUUAUAGUACUUAUAAUUAAUUAUUCUUAAUAUUACUUAAUUAUAUACUAUUAUAUUAUAUGUAUUAUAAUAUUAUAACUAAUUAUAAUUUAUAUAAAAUAGUAACAAUUAUUAAUUAAAUAUUUAAUUAUUAAUUAAAAUAAAUAUGACUAUUUAAUUAAUAAUAAUUGUUAUUUAUUUAUUAAAUUUAAAUAAAUAUUAGUAAUUAAAUUAUUAUACAUUAAUAAUUUAUUUAUUAUUGUUAUAUAUUAAUAUACAUUACUAUUUACUUAUAUAAUUAAAAAUUUAAUUACUAGAUAAAUUAUAAUUGUUUAUAUAAUUUAUAAUUUGCUUAUAUAAUAGAAAAUAUUAAAUAUAUUAAUAAUAUAUUUUUAAUAGAUAUAUUAUUAAUUAUAAUUCAAUUAAGAAUUUGAAUUAUAUAUAUUAGUUUAUUUAAUAUUAAUAAUUAUUUCAAUAAAAAAUUAUUAAUAAUUAUUUAAAUAUACAAAUUAUUAAUAACAAUUGUUUUACGAUUAACAAAGAGUCAUUCACAUUUGCCUCCAACUAUCAAUUUCAUAAGAAAGGAAAGUAGCCGGGUUCUAUGCCACAAGGCUCUAUCCGAGUUUACAGAUGUCGUUCUUUAUCCCCUUCUUUAUUCGUGAAAAUCAAACAAAUUGGCUUAGUGUGAAGUCUAUCUGAGUAGAAGAUCGAAAAGAAUGCAUGUUCAUCCGAACAUUGAGAAGGCAGGGUUGACGAAUAACAAGGAUAAGGAUAGGACCCGGUUCGGCUAAGUCCCUUGGUCAGUCAUCAGGGAGUUCUUCCCCCUUCAGUCAAUCAGCAAGACAAUGUGAAUAGAUAUUCGAAAGUCAAGGGCCGGACCUGACUCCGUUAGCUGAGCUCUGAGCUUUGCUCCUGGCAAACCAUUACGCAUGCUAUCUUCUCAGCUUUAUGUUAUGGAAGCGCCGACUCAAAGACUCCCCGCCAAUCUCUGGGAUAAGGUCUCCCCAAGAGAUUCUUCAGCUAUGGAAUCUGACAGGUAUCGGUAUUGAACAGAGGGGGUAGCUCAUAUAACAGCAGCGGGACCUGCAGAGGGGGCUGUUCACAAAGCAUCCCAUGGUGCGCUCCGAUCCGAGGGGAAAAAUCAAAAUACAAUACCUAUUGUUGACACUUUUUUUUAUUGUAUUUUUUUUUAUUACUUAGUCUUUGUCUUUACUUUAUCCUAGACUAUGAUCUGAUCUUCUUAAUACUAUGCAUCUCUAUUACGAGUACCUCCCGGUGAAGCUUCUUUGGCUUGAAGACCGGAGAAUGAAGAGAAGGACUACGAGGGAACUAGCGAAUGAGAAGUUCUACCGGGUUCAAGUUUCUCUCCCCCCUGGACUGAACACCUUGAGACUCUGUCGUUUUCAGGUCCGUGUUGACGAGUUCUGUUGCUUUGAGUUCUACUUCUCUUUCUCUCCUCAAUUCUACUAUCAGUGAGAUUCAAUCCCAUCUGAUAGACCUCAUUGAGUCUGGAGAGCAACUCGAAGGUGAAAUGGUUAAUCUACGGAUCCAGACCCAAAGGUAGAUUGUCCCAGUUAGACCAAGUUCCUUUCAGGUAACGCAUACUAGAAAGCGUGACAAAUCCCAUAUCUGGAAAGACUCUCUUGGUCCUUUAUCUUAUGAAGAAAUCAGGGGUCAAGACUCUCAAUCAGGUCUACCUAUGACUCCUCUCACGUUACCGUCACGCUCAUGAACCUCUGUUUCUUUUGAAAGCGGCUUGAAGUGAAGAGCACUUUUCCUCUCAGCCGGAAGGAAAAAACCUCAUUCAGGGCAGAGGAAUCUACCAAUCGAAUGUGAUUCGUACUACAUAGCUUUCAUUCCUGAAGAUAGGUUCAUCCAUGCUAUGCUAUUCACAAACCAUUCUCGUCAGAAAAGACCGACGCCUUCAUCUUUAAAGAUGGUCAGUUAUGUGCUUUCUUCUCUUUUUUUUACUAUACGGUACGGAUUCAAGUCCUCUGUCCAAGAUCGCUUCCCUUAAUGGAAAGACCUUUUUUUUUUUUUUUUUGUGAAUCUGGAAGCAAGAAAGCAAACAGGAAUGGUGCAGCAGGAGGUAGCUUGCUUACUUAGUACUUGUGCUAAAGGGGAGGUGCAAGAGCAAAAAGGAAAGACAACACGCCUUUAUUCAUGCAUAUCCUUAAGCGAGAGUUAAGGCACAAGAAGUAGGAAGGAGUCGCCAUCAUGAAUCGAUUUCAGUUAUCGGUCUUUUCUUAUCUUACCAAGACAGAGAGGGGCCCGAAGGCAUACUUCUGUUAGCUACUACCACCCUAGGCCUUACUUCACGAAAGUCAGAGUCUACCAAUUCAUUACUCUCUUCCUGUCCUCCUGGAAUCUCUUGCAACUCUCGCAUCUGCAAUCGAUUGAAGUAUCCCUUGCUUGGUCUGUCCACGAAUACGGUUCCCGACUUUUAUUCCAUCUAGAGCUGCCAGUCUUGUCUUGCCCUGUCAACGGUCAACUCUCUCUUGCUUAGUUCCCUUCCCGACGAGAGGUCUUCUGCCUUCUGUCUCCUGCCCAACAAUAUUCGUAUACCGGUUAUCGGUCCGUAGGCCUUAGUUAGCCAGCUUAUAGGAAGGUAAAGGAAGGUAGCAUGGUUCUAGCAUGGGCAGGCAAUCACCCAAAUUUAUCUGUAACGGUAGGAGCAUUAGUCAACCAUCUGUCGCAGUAGCAGUAGCCUUCUCUGUAUCACUCUCCCCCUAUGGUCGACCCUUGACUUUGAUCAAUUUCCUCUAACAAGCUCUUUCAAGUCUUUGAGCUAAGCCUUUCUGCUCUACUGGAAACUCCCCAAUAUCAGGAUCAGGAAAUCGAAGCUCUCUUGUAAGGGUCGAUAGGCGGGUAAGAUUUUCCUACGUUGGGAAUGCUAUCUUUAUCUCCCAGUAACGCGCAUCCCUUUGAUUGCUUCCUUACUCAUAAGAAAAUGUGAAAGAAAAUAGGACUCUCAAGUCAGGAAUAGCGAUCUGGCUUAGUGAAUCGAUUAAAGUAUGAAAGUUGAAUAAGAACAUCGUAAGAGAAGAAAGAGAAGAGACUAUCAACGAUAAAGAGUUCUUUCGAACUUCAAUCUUGAUAUAAUUCGAAAAAGAAUAGAUUCAAAAAGAAACGAAUCCGAGUUCGAACUACAGUCUUUCAGAUAAGUCCGAAGACAAUCUAUCUUUCCUUCUUGACUCACAGGGGAGAAGAGAAAAGAUUCGGAGGACGGAGCUUGCUUCAAUUGAAGCACGGAAUUGAAUGAUAACAAGAUAGACAAUGAGACAAAGCCAAGAGAGGAGAGAUGAUAUCAAUGUCAGAAGAGCUUAUUCAACCGAUAAAGAACGUAUCAUUAAUGAAUUUUGGCUUCAUUUCUACAGGGAGAUAAAAGUUUCAUGUAAAUUGAAUUCAGAUUGUUAUAGCUAUCAGGAUCGUGUUAUAAUGUUAUUGAAUGAAUCUAAGAAGAAUCAAUCCAUUAAUAAUGAUAGUUUUAUAGAGUUCUCCUCUAGUGAGUUAAAGGAUUUACAGAAUAUGAUUGAAGAACUAACUAUGAACUUCGAUGAAAAUAGUAUCUUUAAAAGCACUCCUCAGUUAUUAAACUUAUUGAUAGAUAAUGCUCAGAUCACAGCUAAAGAUCAUUUAAAGAGUUGCCUAUCAACAGAUGUUUAUAAUCGUUAUAUUAGUCAUUUAGGUCACUAUACGCUGGAGGCUAUCAUCAUAUAUGUGCUAGGAUUGUUGUACAACAGUGUUCAAGAAUCCUCGGUUGUAAGGGUAUCCACAUUGUUGGACAGGCUAGAUAAAACAGUUUCGAAUACAAUCAGUGAUUAUCAACAAUUUGUCUGAAAGUGAUAGUAGUCAAGCGAAAAGUAGUAAGAAAGGUCGUGUUCAACAAUAUGAAAUAGGAACCAAAUUGCUUGAGUUCAUGCUAGAAAGAAAUUGUUUCGUAAUUGAUACCUGCACAACAGAGGAGAUAAAACCAAUUGUGAAAAGAAAAGGAAAAGGAUAUUACCCAUUAAACUCAUUCGUAAUAUGUAAAUUUCAACUGUUGCCUUCUCCCAGUUAAACUGAAUCUUCCUAUGGUUUGCAAGCCGUUAGAUUGGAAAUCUAAAUGUUUGAUGCCAAGAAUGUUUUCGGAUAUUAGAGGAGGUUACUUUUUCAAUCCUUCCAAUGAUUUAUAUAAUCAGUUUAAAGUUCAAUCUUCCUUUAGAGUUAUAUCAUCCCGUGACAUACACAAUUUCAAUAUUCACUUACAUGAUCCUAUGUACAAGGAAAUGUGCCAAAUCUUGAAUAGACUUCAGUCACAAGGAUUGUUGAUAAAUAAUAAUGUAUUGGAAUUCAUAAAGAAAAAUCAUGCGAGUUUAGAGAAAUUAGGUCUUCUUGCACACGUGAAUAUGAAAGAAGCCAUAGAUAUAUUGAAGAUAUGUUAUCUCAAUGACGGGGCUGUUAAGGAUCUUUGUAGCUUUCGUUUUCCCUUAACGGAGUUAGCAUAGCAGGUUCAGCGUGCAAGGUAUGAAGAAUUUAUACACUACAGCAAAAUGGCAUAUUAGCGACAGUUUUGUAGUGAUUUUUUACUUAUAAAUGCCUUUAGCUUCCGUAUUUUUAUAAAACUUAAAGCAUUUAUUAUCCAAACAUCACUAAAUAUUCAAAUAGCGUCAUUGUUACUUAUGAACGCCACCCAAGACUUGAUAUUAGAAGCGUUUCUUGACUAAAAUGCCUUGAAUAUUUUUUAUUAAAAAUUUCAGUGAAUAGUUAAGACGUAUUUUUGGCAAACAACGCCUUCAAUAAUCACGUCAUAAAAAAUUAUAUGAGAUUAAUAAAAGCACUGUCUACAAGAAACACCUUUAAUAUUUAGACAAAAAAAUUUCAUAAGCUUAUUAAAUUUAUUUUGUUCAAAAAUACAUUCAAUAUUAAGCUUAUCAAAUUGUUUGGAUCGUACGAAUGUUUAUCAUAAAAAUUGUUGGUUUGAUCCAUCCUUUAGCCUUUUUUUGGGUUUUUGCACAAAUUAUUUGUUAUUGAUUAUUCUAGGCAUUUUCUUGACAAAAACGCUUUCACCGAUUGCUUUAAAAAAAUUUUAGAAUAUUGAAGGCGUUUUUUUAUGGAAAGACGCCCUUAAUAAUCCAUAGGAAAAAUAUGGAGUCGAUUCUUGAAGGUAUUUUUGGUCGAACUCGUCUUCUAUAAUCCAAUUAAUAAAUUUUUUUGGUGAUUUUUAAAGGCGAUUUUGUAAAAAAUGACUUUAAUAUUUCAUAGACAAAACUUGGAUGAGAUGCUUGAAGGCGUUUUUGGCUCAAAAAGCCUUUAAUAUUCCUAACGAUAAAUUUUAAUGGUCUGAUUAUUGAAGGCGGCUAUAUCAAAAAAUGCCUUCAUAAACAUUUUGUUAGGGAUUAUUAAAGGCAUUACCCAUAGGAAAACGCCAUUCAUAAUUCAUUUGAUUAAUUUUUUAGUUGGUAUUAUUGAAGGUAUUUUUUGCCAAAAAUACCUUUAAUAUUUCACACAAUAAUUUUCUAGGGGGAUUAUUGAAAUUGAUUUUAGUAAAAAAAUGCUUUUAAUGUUUUCUGUUAUGGGUGAUUGAAGGUGUUUUUUUGCUAAAAAAACAUUCAUUAAUCGCAUCAAAAAAACAUAUUAAAUAUUGUAUAUGUGAAAUCAGUUGUAAGUUUAUGCCCAGAAAAACGUUUACUGUCAGUUGUAUAUUUAUGCCCAGAAAACAUUUGGUUUGUAUAUCAGAUACUUUGAAUUACAUUUUAGAAUUUACAUAGUGAAUAUUGUUGUAUUUCAAUAAAUUAACCACACAUCCAAAAUUAAAACUGAUAACGUUGUCAUAUUAAUAUACUUUUUUGAAAUAAUCGUACUUAGUAAUUUAUUAAGUACACAUAAUGUAUUCAUAUUAAGUAUAACAAUAAUAUUAAACCAAUACCCCCAAUGUACAAACUUAAAGUUUUCAUUCAACAUGACAUGUUAAAAACAUUAUAACAAUUUGUUUCAUAUAUAUUUACAUUCAACCAACAAUGUCUAACCUGAAGGUUUAUCAACAUUGAUAAAUGACAAUACAUAAUCACACCAUUCUUUACAGACUUCAUCUAGCUCCUCUUCCGUAAAGCUUUCUUUACCUUUCCACUAAAAAAAUAUAUCAAAGUAAAUGUUAAGAAAUGAGAACAUUGUGUACCAUUUUAUUUUUUUGAAUAUAUAACGAGUUUAUGAAAUUAAUACUAACCUUGAAUAGUGUGAUCAUAAAAUCAUGUAACACUAUCUCCCACAUAAAACAAAGGACAUAAUAUCCAUGCCUUCUUAUUAAAUGCAUAUAUUACCCUAAAUUGAAAAGAAAAAAAAUUAGUGGGAACAUAAAUAAAAUUACUUAUGAAGAAACAAAACAUAGAUAAUAUAAUAAAGUACUGUAAUACCUCUUUAUAAAAGUUUGAAUAUCGAGGUUAAGCAUCACCAUUGGAUUAACUGAAUUAAGAAGGUAUGGCGUUAAGGAUUUGGUGUCAAUCAUAGCACCCAAUGACGAUUGCAAAAUAAUAACAAUGAUAUACUCAGAAUACACAUCAGAUCAUAGAAUGGAGCAGGUUGGAGUAAUUAAGGUUGGAAUAUAGAUUACUGCGCAUUAUACGAGAGCAAAUAAUAAUCAAUUGGUCUUUUCAUGCAUAGGAUCACAUGAUUAGCAUGAUAUACGACUGUGCCACUCUGCUCACUAAUGAAGUUGAGGUCAAUGAAUCUAAAUUUAUUCGUCAACUGUCUCCCCUUCAGCUCUCUAUAUAGGAAGCUACACGAUAACAAUCAACAUUGCUGGUUAGUAUUACACCCUAAUACUAACUUACUAUAUAUUGAAUGUGCAUAUUUGUAUUUAUAAACUAACCUCAUAUAAGUAACGAUUUCAGCAACUGAUAAUUCAUCCAUUUCACAAAAUUCUUUCACCUCUUCCACACCAAUGAAAGAAAAUGAUUAUUUAUCAAAUAAGUCUUCCUCAGACUCAAUGAAUAUGAAGUUUUCGUCAAAUAAAUGCUCCAAUGAAUAUUUUGUUAACUUAUCCAUGAAAGCCUGAGCAAGGAUCAUACUUUGAGUCUGAACAUCAUUCUAUAAUAUUUAAUGAAAUAUAAGUAUUAAAAUCAAAUCAAAAAAUAACUCCACAAGCAAGGAACCGCUACUUUCCAAGCAUAUUAGCGAAAAGGCUCAUACGGAGGCAAGGGGGCCAAAAGCUUUAUUUGUUAGCUUCCCGAAAAGAGAUAAGAUGCGUCUUCAAAUCAAAGGGAGAGGAAGUAGGUUCUUGGCUGUCCUUUGGCCUGUUCCCCGAUCAGCUUUCAUAGACAACUAGUGACCGCGGGUGAGGGGCAUGAAGGGAAAGGUAUAAUCCGUCUUGCUUUCCCGAAACGCUAUCACCGAUACUCUACUUGCUUUCCAGUCUCACCCAAAAGUCCCUGAAAGGCCACUAAUUAGUAAGUCUCUAUAUUAUUUUUUAUUAUUAUACUAUAUUAAUAUUAAUGUAAGGUAUGUAGUUUUUUAAAAGAAUUACGAGAUUUGAAUUCAGGUUAAAAAGUGCGAGACACAGAAUAAAGAGUUUAUAAGGGAUUUAUAGAAAAUGAAAUGUGGAAUGGAUAAAGAGAAGAGGUUGAAUAUGAUGUCAACAAAGGGCCAAAAAGACAAAGAACUACCAGCGGCUCAACCGAAUUUCCCCGAUAGCCUACCAGUGAGAACUACUAGGCGGGAAGGGAUCUAGUCGAAUUAAAAAAAGUAUACAGUUUUCGAACCCAUGCAUGCUACAAGAAAGCUUGUAUUUCCGUCUGGUCCAAUAGAUGUAACUGGCACCUUUAAGGUCGAGUCUAAAGCCAUCUCUAAUGCCAGACGCUUCCUCUUUUGUGCUACUCCUCAUCUUGAAAUCAAGGCUGAACACAUGGAAUUCCAUGCUUUACUUCCUCAUUCUAAGUCCAGGGCUUACAAAGGAACGUCAGCCAUCAAAAGGCGUGGAAGCCCUGGUUCAGUUGGCAAUACUUUCAAACUACGCAUCCACUCACACUAGGAUCUCAAAGUGAAGAAAGCUGCUUGUUCUCUCUUUCGUGGUCAAAGUUCGGAGCUGCCGAAAUCUUGCCUCCAGUUCUGUUCAUAGGGAGGAUCUUUGUGUGCUGGUAUCAACCGAGAAAGAAAAUAUGGAGCUUGACCCUCUUUGAUUGAAUGCAAGGAUCCUAGGAGCUAGAAACCGCAUUUCAGUGAGCUCUUCAGCCAAUGUUCUACAAGCUGCUAAAGCUGCCGCACUUUUUCCUUCUCGAGGGAGGUGCUUCCUUGAUUACCCUGGAUUUAUUCUUCUCAAUUUCAAAAAAUACAACAAUAAAUGUUAUGCACUAAAAACUUCAGGAAGUUUCCUGCUAUUACGCCAAAUACGGGUUUCUUUUCAAUCCGCGCUCUCGCACUCAAACACUGUCUUGAGAUCAGACAAAAGACAGGGAAAGACUUAAAACAUCAUCAAUAUACACCACCUCCACGAUGUUUACAAUAAAAAAAGUAAUGGAAGAUGAGGUUCAUUGCUCACAGCUAUGUAACUCUAGCCUUAUUCAUACCGAGGGGAAUCACCUGCCAGCAGAAUGUCUGUCUGUCCAACAGCACCGGGACAACGGAACGCAAUUUUUGCCUCGUCCUCUCUUGAGAUUCAAAAAUGGUUAUACCCCACGUCCAUGAAUGACAGAAUUUAUUGCCCAGCUGCUCUGUCAACUAAAAGAUCCGCGAUUGCCAUUGGGUUAUUGUCUUUUGGUGGGGCAACAUUGAGACUCCGGAAAUGCUUUCUCUUCCGCCAGCCCUUGCUCUGGGCUUUUUGUUGGGGCAAAAAAAUACGAUAGAUAAGGAUCUAAUGCAAAGUUUUCUUCAUGCUUAUUCCAACGGGCGAUAAGGGACGGAACCAAUGCUGUGUAGAAAGAUGCAAUGAGGAACCUCUUCCCGGUCGAAAGCCGUGCAAAGACGUAAGAGGAUAUUGCAGCUUCCUCGUAACGGUAGAAAGAGGAAAGGCUAAGCGAAAAAAGGUUAACUUAGUGAGUUAUGGCCACUAGUCAUUUGGAUUUUUCCUUACUCAUGUAAGUAUUCUCAUUGGGCAUUUAACUAGCCUAUAUUUCCGCUUUCGCUUUCGCAUUUAAUCGUCUCCCUCCUUACCUUAGUCCGACCUAGCCUCUAUUGAUUGAGAAGGUUGAAGACUCCUUUUAUGCAAUUAUGAACUCCUUACCGUGAUAAUGAAGUUGUUGAUCUCGAAGAGGAACCCCUGUUCUCAGUUACUCAUCAAAUGGCACUCAUUCCAUAUCUUCGAUCAUUGACAAUGUUCAAAGAAAGGGUGGGACACUGAGGGGAAAUGGUGCUUUAUUGAGUUAGAGUUAUGAGUGGGCUAUAAGAAAGCUGUGAAAGUCAGCCACCACUAAAAAAUUUCAGAAGGAAGGGUAUACUUCACUGUAGUCUCACUAUAAAGUACUCUUGUUUUAUGCCCUUUUCUCUCUUUCUGCGCCGAAAGUAAGAAAUUGAGAAAUCCGCACUAACGAAAAAGCUGAAAAAAGCAAUGGCAGCAGCUAGAGUAGACUUGCUUCUCUCUUAUUCUAUUUUAUAUCACCCCUACUGCGGGAAGUAAGCGCUUAGUGCUACUACUAGAGUAGAGUCGUCUUAUGCUCUAUUCUUCGUUUUUAUAGAGUCCCUUACUGUAGUACAUGAGUUUUAUUCUAUCUCCUUAGCCUCUCUGAAAGAAAAGAAAGGAAAGUAAGAGUACUGCUCUCGCUCGAGCCAGCAAGCUGAUAAAGUACUGUGUGCGCUAACCUUGGUGAAAGUGUAACGUGACUAUCUGCCCCCAACUUUCUAUCUGUGGUUAGGAAAUUCUCUGUCCGUAUAAGUAGACUCAUUCCAUUUGCUACUCGAAAGCACUAAAGUCCACAUUGGAUGAAAAAAAACCUGUUUUUAAGGCAAAAGAAAGAAAGCAAUAGAAGAGAGGAGCAGCACCCUAAUUCCUAUGUUAUAACGUUCGUGACCCAUAGCCAAUGAAAUCCAAACUAGGAUCAUAAGAAAAGUCUACUGACUGACUGGUUGAUAACCAACAAUGAAAGGAUUAGGCCAGGACUCAUACGAUUCGAGUAGAAUGAAAGGCAAGGAUGAUAAGCUUUUCUCGCGUACUGGCUUUCUUCGCCGAGCAGGAAAGAGAAAAUCCAUUUCCUAUUAAGAGAAGCGAAGUCUAGUUCCCAACUCCCCCGCUUCUAGAUAAAGACAGACAAAAAACAUAAGGAAAGGAUUCAAUAAGCCAUUUUCGUUUUCUUUUUAGCUAGUGAGCUGGUUUUGGAUAAGGGAAAGUUUCAAUUGAUCAAUUUACAGGCUACCAGGGAAAUAGGUUUAGCAAAUAGAUGUGUCUUCACCUGAUGAAAUAGGACAGAAAACUGCUUUCACCAACACCGCUUCAAGAUCUCAUGGAUUGAAUUGUAUUCAAACGAAAGUAUUCUAUAUAGAAUACUAUAGCUUUCAUUAAACUACUAAAGAGCUUCUUCCUAAUGAUAAGAAGAAUCAUAAGAUAGACUGCCUGUAUUACCGCUUUCUUUUCUCUUACAGAAUAACUAAGCAUUAGCUUACACGGACUCCUCUAUACAAAACAAAAGGGAAUGGCUGAAAUAAAAACUCCGCUGGCAUUGGUGUAAUUGAAAUACCCGCUGGAAAGCUUAAAAAAAACCUCUCUUUUGAGUGCUGUUAAUACUGAAGUUAACGAACUCCCCACACUCAAGAGCAAAGAAAGACCCAUUUUUUCAUUUUUUAGCUUCCUCCUUCUUCGGUUGCCAAUGAACAAUGCAUCUCCGGAGCAAUGACCACGAAGCACACAUUCGGCGCAAAUAACUUAUCCUUCCUCAAGGCUUGCUAGUUUCCUGGCUCUUUCGAACCAGAUAUUUUCAAACCUGGCGAUGAGGUUAUAUUAUUAAGCAUUAGUAGCAAAUGAAGGCGAAGGCGAAGGAACCUCAGGAAGUGGACACAGGGUAACCAGAAAUGCUGAAGAGAUUAAAGCUGCAAUGAUGCCUUGGAUUCUUUUUUUGCUUCUAAGUGACAUGCCACAUGAGCUUUCUCAUCUCGUUGUAGAGCUGUCAGUUGUACCGGGACUUUGUGAAGAUGACAGAAGGCUUGUACAACUGCUCCCAAGGCUCAUGCUCUGCUCCAAGGAUAUUGCAGCAAACUUAAACCACCGGAGUUGGACCAGCUACUCAAUAUAGCUGGAGAGAAAGCAGCAGCAGCUAAAGAAGUCACAGAGGCAGCAACAAAAGCUGAAUCUCGCCUAGCUGGUCUUUGAGAGCAAUUGGCCAAACUCCAAACCCACUCUCCCACUUCAAUUCAAUCACUGAUUUCAGAUAGUUGUAUGUGAGUUGACUUUUUCCCUUCCACUUGGUAGAAAACAAUAUAAAAUAUGGGGAUUCCCAUCGACUAGAUAGGCUCUUUAACAGAGAGGUCGGGCUAAAAGACAGAGGCGGCCUGGUUCCUUGGUAGUAUGCUCCGGGGGGCGGGGGAUUGAUAGCUUGACCCGAGUUGAUUAGUCACAGCGACCCGUGGAGAGGAGGUGUCGAGUCCAUGCAGACUAUCAAUUAGUCUAGUCAUUUCAUAGAGGAUUUUUAGAGAAAAGAGCGAGUGAUCACCCGUGAGGAAACGAGCAUUGUAAAAAUCCUCAUUAUAAGAAGUUGAAAAAACGUUUUCACUCGGCCUUUUCCAUGAAGCAAUGAAGGAGAUUAGCAUUUUAUGUCCUGCACGCACACUCUAUCUCAAUGAAGGAGUUGCUCGACGGCAUUCAUCUGUCUUUUCGAAAGCCUUAGCCUUAGCGUCGCGCCCUAGCCCUACUCAGAACAUGAGGAGGGAAGUAGACCUUUUUUGUUAGUCAAAGUAAGGUCUUUUUUGAAUCACUGGCAUUUGAAUGAAUAGGAUUAUAACUUUCGGUGCCUUCAUUCCGCACUUGGUCCCUCUCGUAUUCCACCCGAGGGUUCCAGAGAUUGAUUCUAUACAUGAGAUUCCUGAAUACAGUAAACUCCCCAUGUACCAAUGUCCCCACUCCGGUAUCCCCAAAGUCCGAACUCUUUAAGCAUUCGUAUACGUAAGCGCUUUCUUUCGAGUGAAGUCGUUAAACGUAACAAGUCCAAGGGCUGGAGGAAGUGAAAACUGGCUCAACCUUUUUAACUUAAGCUUAAGGAGAGGAGGAUUAAUAAAGAAAGAUCUGAUUUGGCCACGGAACCAGCUUUGGGGGGAAUAGGGGGAGGCACUUCCUUAGGACAAGGACAACAUAAAGCUGUGCAGUAGGGAAUAAGGCAAUAGCUACAAGAAGAAAGAAGUCGGAAAGAGUACACCUAAAACAAGAGCUAACUAAGCGGUAGGCACCUGAAGACAGAAGAGCACCUGAAUAAAGAGCCAACCAUCUUACGAUCGCCCUGUAGUUUUCUUCGCUGGAGCGCAGGUUUUGAACCCCUAUCUUACUAAUCUAAUAAAGGGGAUUGUUGAUGCUAUGAAGCAUCUUAGAGUAUUCCAUUCCGUUUUUCAGCUGGAUCCGGGCCUACUAAUUACUAAUACCUGAAACAACUGUAUUUAGUAGAGAGAGGGGCUUUUUGCGAAAGGCUAUCAAUGUAUAUAGAUGAGUGUGCGUGCAGGGUGUAGGUGUACCACUUACGAGAAAGAACCCCAGGUCAGUAAAGCAGUUAACCAAACACAAGUAAACAAGUAAGUAGUUCGUCAGUCCUUCCUCCGACGCCUCCCGUUCAUUCUUUUUCAUUUCUUCAUGUUUGUUGUGUUGUUCCGUUCAUAGGUUCCAAGCCAGCCCUUCUUUAGAAGUCCCUCCUCCCUCUCCUUAAGUUAAGAAAAACAAGAAUGCUGCUUGGAUUGAACGAACAUUGUAAGAACCUUUAUAACUGACACCUUUGAUCCCCUCAGCAUUAAAAAGCAUAAUGCCACCCACGUUUUUUUUCUUUUGAACACGCCUGAAAACCCCGGGGAAGGGAUGAAAGGCGCCAUCUUUUUCUAUAACACCCUUUCUUUUCUCUAGUCUCUAGGCCUUAGUCUUCUACCUUCUAGUUUUCACUAUUCUCAUUUAGCUCCUGAUGUAUUGACCGAGUUUUAAGCUCCAAGCUUGAAAGCCUAUUAGUCUUCAACGCAAAGCAAACUCCUAAAACAGAUGUCGUUGAUCUGGAAUUCCUUUAUUUUAAAAAUAAUCAACUUCGCAAAGAGUAGACGAGGAUAGCACUUAAGCCAACGAAUACGAUUGAUCGGUCUGUUCUGCUAGCCGGUUAGCCCGAAGCCUAUUCCAAUAAGAACCGGCAGCAAUGGCUAUUGGAAACCAAACUGACCUCGCUCCAUUACUUGAUUUGUCCACGGCCUUCUGUCAUGAGCCAAUCUUGUAUAAGGCCAUGAUUAGGGCUUAGACUUUAAUGAGCCACCCAUGUAUAGGGUCAUGACCGGAUAAAUCUCUUGUGCUUGGAAAAGUGUCUCCAUUUCAAACAUUGUAAUGGUUAGUGGUAGCAUAACUCUAAAAUCUUUAAGACUCUUUAGGGGGGUGAGCGGGCAGCAUACUGUUGGGCUGUCUCAUUGGUCGCGAUACGGGCCUAAGCCAUCCACCAAAGGCUGUCCUCCUAGCCCUGGCGAUGGUGGGAAGUCCCGAUGUACUAUCCUUGAUUAUAAUAAAAUUCACCUCCGAUUCGAAUGUCCCGAAUGUUGCCUUGAUGUGUUUUUCUUUUUGUCGAUGUGAAUGUGCCUUCUUGUGUGUGUUUAAAAUUGAUCUCAAUAUGAAUGUGUCUUAUUGCGUACGCUUGGGACUAAUUGUGGCUUAUGGUUAUUUGUUCAGAUAUCGAACUAUUGAGGGCUGACUUGGGUGAGAGCGUCCAUUCAAGUGCUGUACGGUCUAUUGCUUGUUGAGAGAAAGCCUAGUCCGUGACACGUGAUAUCAGAGCUAGGUUGAAAAGUGCUAGAAAAUGAAAGAGAUGGCCACAAAUGGUGGACCCAAUUAUCAAUAGAGACUUAAGGAACUUGAGGUCGCGGUGGCCGUAGUGAAAACUCACAUGGUGACUAAAGAUCGAUUGAGGGAGAUCGAGACAACUCAGCGAGAGUUGUCCGAUACUCUCCAUAAUGUGAGCGAGGAGGCUAGAGAUGCCUUGAAUGUUCUUCAAAAGGAGUUUGAGGAGCUUAGAGCACAAAUGAGCAUCAUACAAAUGACUGUGGCUAGAUCGAGUUCGAGCUCGACGGAAAGGGGAAAAAGGGCCAAGGUGCCAGAGCCUCGAUGCUAUGAGGGGGUAAGAGAUGCCAAUGAGCUUGAAGACUUUUUGUUUGACAUGGAGCAGUACUUUUGAGUUGUACACACGGAUUCAGAGAAAGAUAAGGUAGCAAUGGUGUCGAUGUACCUCAUAGGGGAUGCCAAGCUAUGGUGGCGCUCCAAGUUUAUCAAUGACAAGUGUCUAAUUAAGACUUGGACGGACCUGAAACAAAAAUUGAAAAAUCAAUUCUUCCCUGAGAAUGUGGAGUAUAUGACCCGAAGGAAACUUCGAGAAUUGGUGCAAACAGGAACAAUGCAAAAGUUUGUGAAGAGUUUUUCUACCCUGAUGCUAGAUAUUCGAGACAUGUCCAAAAAGGACAAGAUGUUUUAUUUUCUUAAGGGCCUCAAGCCUUGGGCCAGGACAGAACUACAAAGAUAAAAAGUGCAAGAUGUGGCCACGGUCAUGGCUGUAGCUAAAUGUCUCCAUGAUUAUAAUGAUGGCUCCUCAAAACGAAAAAAUCCUCCAUCAGUUGGCAGUAACUUCAACUUUGAGAGUGGGAGAAAGAUGACUAGCUUGGACUGACCUUUCAGUGAAGGAUCAAACAGGAGGUCUUUUGGUCGAGAUAGCACCCAACCCAAGAUAAACAAUGCAGUGAUUUUCAAGCCUAGGGAACCACUAGCUUGCUUUCUAUGUAAGGGGUCGCAUCGGGUGGCUGAAUGCCCAACAGAGGAGCCCUUAAUGCCUUAAGUGCCUUAUCUCAAGAGUCCAUAAAAGCACCAGAGAUCGUUGAAGAAGUUGAAAAAGAGCCAACCAGGAUGGGUUCAAUAAAAUUCUUCAAUGCCUUUCAUACCCAGCUGAAUACAAUAAAGAAAGAGUAGGAUAGAAGCCUGAUGUAUGUGAACUUAAUGAUCAAUGAGAAGGCCACCAGGGCUGUGGUAGACACGGGUGCAAUCGAUACCUUCAUCACACCAGAAGAAGCAAAAAUGUGUAGUCUUCAAGUUAGUAAGGACUGUGGAUGAAUGAAAGCAGCCAAUUUACCAGCCUUUAAGAUCAGAAGAAGCUCCAAGAGUGUGAUGACCAAAUUGAGGCCAUGAAAAGGGAAGGUAAACUUUACAGUUUCCUCAUGGAUGACUUUGAUGUCAUCUUCAGAUUGGACUUCAUAACGUUGGCUCAGGUGAUCCCUAUCUCCGUCGCUAGUUGCCUGUUGUUCUUAGGGGAACAUCCAUGUGUGGUGUUGGCCACUAUCUUGCCAAAGAAUGAGAAGAAAAUGAUCUCAGCUUUACAGUUCAAGAAAGGGGUAAAGAGAGAAGAACCCUAAUUUAUGGCUAUAUCGAUUUACAAAGAAGGGUUGUGAGUGGAAUCGAUACCCGAUGACGUGGAAAAAAUGUUGAAAGAAUUAGAAAAGGUGAUGCCAGGGAUGUUGCCUAAGGUUUUAUCUCCUCGAAGAGCCGUGGACCAUGAAAUUGAGCUCUUCCUAGGAGUUAAACCCCCUGCUUGAGCCUCUUAUCGCAUGGCCCCGCCAGAGUUGGCCAAAUUAAGGAAACAGUUAGAUGAGCUUCUACAGGUCGGGUUCAUUAGACCAUCAAAGGCUCUUUUUGGAGUGCUAGUGCUAUUUUAGAAGAAACAUGAUAAAAGUUUAUGAUUAUGUGUUGACUACAGGGCCCUGAACAAAGUCACCGUAAAAAACAAAUAUCAUAUCCCUCUUAUAGUAGAUUUGUUUGAUCAACUAAAUCGGGUCAAGUAGUUUUCUAAAUUGGACUUGAAAUUUGGCUACCAUCAGGUCAGAAUCGCUAAGGGAGAUGAGCCAAAGAUCACUUGUGUAACAUGGUAUAGCACAUUUGAAUUUCUUGUUAUGCUCUUUAGACUGAUCAAUGCUCUUGUCACAUUUUGUACAUUGAUGAAUCAGGUGUUCCAUGACUAUCUAAACAAAUUUGUAGUCAUCUAUUUAGAUGACAUAGUGGUAUAUAGCUCUACUCUGGAAGAAUAUCAAGAACUCUUAUGCCAGGUGCUUUAAAGAUUACAAAACCACCAGUUAUAUGUGAAAAGGGAGAAAUGUACAUUUGCUCAGACCCAAAUCCACUUUCUCGGUCACAUUGUCGAACAUGGCCACAUUCGUAUAGACAUGAAAAAGGUUAGGACCAUCAAGGAGUGGACAACACCAAAGAAUGUUAGUGAACUUCGCUCAUUUUUGGGACUAGCUAACUAUUAUAGAAGGUUUGUAGAAGGGUACUCUUGCAAGACCAUGGCCCUUACAGAGCUAUUAAAAAAGGAGCAUAAAUGGUAUUGGACAAGUGAGUGCCAAAAGACCUUUGAGGGAUUUAAAGAUGCUAUUAUGAAAGAUUUUAUCUUAGCUCUCCCUGAUAUUGAAAAGCCUUUCGAAGUUCAGACGGAUGCAUUUGAUUUUCUUAUUUGGGGAGUGCUUUUACAACAAUGUCACCCAAUAGCAUUUGAAAGUAGGAAGCUAAGUGAAGCUGAGAGAAAAUAUAUAGCCCAAAAAAAAGAGCUCUUGGCUGUAGUUCACUGCCUGAGGGCUUGGCGACAUUAUUUGUUGGGUUCACACUUUGUCGUGAAGACAGACAAUGCGGUCGUUAGCCAUUUCUUCACCCAACCAAGGCUUACAGCGAAACAAGCUAAUGGUAAGAAUUUUUAGUAGAGUUCGACUUUUAUUUUGAGCAUACCGCUGGAAAGACCAAUCAAGUGGCCAAUGCAUUGAGCAGAUGAAUAAAGUUAGCAGCCCUUAGAAGAAUUACCCCAAUGGCGGCUAGCAGAGUCACGACAAAUAUUCGUAAGUUAAUUGAAGAUCAUUUAGGGAAGGACCUGCAGGCCAGUGCCAUCCUGAAGCUAGUUGAAGAAGGGAAGUCUAAGUACUUCUAGUAAGAAAAUGAGGUCUUAUAGACCAAGGGGCCCUGAUUGUUUAUGCCAAGAGUAGGAGGUCUGAGACAAAUGCUAAUGAGGGAAUGUCAUGACACACCAUGAGCUGAACAUUCGAGCUGGUAACGCACUUUGGCUUUAUUGAAACAGGGAUACUAUUGGCCUCAAAUGCGAUAAGACAUGAUGGACUAUACAAAGACUUGCCUCAUUUGCCAACAAGACAAAGUUGAAAAGAAAAAACUUACAGGCAUGCUUGAACCACUACCGAUGCCUACUAGACCGUGGGAAAGCGUUUAUCUCGAUUUCAUUUCAGGCUUUCCCAAGGUUAGUGAUCUUGGAGCUAUUUUGGUGGUGAUUAAUCGUUUCUCUAAGUACGCUACAUUCAUCCCUACUCACAAGUAUUAUACUACGAAAGACACAGCUCGAUUACUAUUUAAACAUGUGGUCAAAUACUGAGACCUCUCUCAAAACAUUGUAAGCGAUAGAGAUCCGAGAUUCACGGAAUCCUUUUGGAGAGAACUUUUCAAGAUAUUGGGGUCUCAACUUAACAUCUCCUCAAGCUACCACCCUCAAACCGAUGGUCAAACGAAACGGUUCAAUAGAUUACUAGAGGAAUACUUAAGGCACUUUGUUCAAGCUAAUUAGAAGAACUGGCAUUCGUUAUUGGAUGUUGCUCAGCUUUGCUUUAAUUCCAACAAAAGCUCUUCCACUAACAAGAGCCCGUUUAAGUUGGUCACCGGACAAUUAUCAAAGUUACCCCAUACUUUCUUAGAGCAAUAUAGAGGGAAGAAUCCGAGAGCCUUCAACCUCGACAAGGAGUGGAAACAAAACACUAAGAUGGCACAAGCUUACCUGGAGAAAGCAUCGAAGCGAAUAAAGAAAUAGGUAGACAAAGGUCAUAAGGCGCAACAAUUUCAAGUUGGUGAUUUGGUUCUUGUUCGACUAGUCCCUGAACAAAUCAGGUUCUUGAGAAAGAGAGAUUGCAGAUUAGUGCACAAAUAUGAGGGUCCAGUGAAGAUCCUUUCUAAGAUGGAGAAUGCUUCAUACAAAAUUGACCCACCAAAAUGGAUGAAGGUGCACUCAGUAUUUCAUGUGAGCAACCUGAAACCUUUUCAUACAGAUCUUAUAGAUGCUAGCCGAAAGGAGCCAACCAAUGCCACCAUCACCAUGAAGCCACCCUCAGAGUGUCGAGUCGAAGAGAUCUUAAUCGACAGGGAAACCAAGGUAUCUCGAAGACUAGUUCAUGAAUACUUAAUGAAGUGAGAGAGAUUAGGACUAGAAAAAACUAGUUGGGAAAAGAAACACGACCUCUGAAGAUUCAAGAGGAAAAUUGAAGAAUUUCAAGCUAACAAGUCGACGAGGACAUCGAUUAGAAUAUGUGAGGUAGGAUGCCAUGAGCCAACUUUGUAUAGGGCCAUGAUCGGGGCUUAGGUUGUCAUGAGCCACCCAUGUAUAGGGUCAUGAUCGGGUAGAUCUCUUGUGCUAGGAAAAGUGUCCCCAUUUUAAAUAUUAUAAUGGUUAGUGGUAGCAUAACUCUAAAAUCUCUAAGGCUCUUUAGGGGAGUGAGCGGGUAACGUACUAUUGGGCUGUCUCACUUAUCGCAAUACGGGUUUAGGCCAUCCGUCAAGGGCUAUCCUCUGGCCCUGGCGAUGGUGGGAAGUCCCGAUAUACUAUCCUCGAUUAUAAUAAAAUUUACCUCCGAUUCGAAUGUUUCGAAUGUUACCUUGAUGUGUUUUUUUUUUGUCGAUAUGAAUGUGCCUUCUUGUGUGUGUUUGAGAUUGAUCUCGAUAUAAAUGUGUUAUUGCGUACGCUUGGGACUAACUGUGACUUAUGAUUAUUUAUUCAAAUAUCGAACUAUUGAGGGCUGAUUUGGGUGGGAGAGUCCAUUCAAAUGUCGCACGAUCUAUUGCUUGUUGAGAGAAAGCCUAGUCCGUGACACCUUCCCAUUUGGCUAGAGGCUUACUUAAAAUGUGAAGGUGUCGAUGCAGCAGGUUUUGACUUGGAUCUUCGAGCAAUCUAUACGCUAUGCAUGCCUUUUGCUUUUAAUGCUAAACUCUAAAUUGAGGCUAUUAAAGAUCUACUUUUCCCGGGUAAAGGAAAGAAUAUGCUUAACACAUGUACCUUGGACUUUGCUUUCUAGAUUGAUCUUUAGCUAAAACAUCCUUUCUCUUGUUCCUAAAAGCGAAUUGGUGUCUUUUGAUUAGCUGUCACAUUUGGUCAAAUGACACAUUUAGAAGGUGUGAAAUUGGCCAAUGUGAAGUAGAAUAGGUAAUUCGAAAUUCAAUAUCAUAAGAGAAGAAGUUGACAUUCGAAAGAAGUAGAAGUUUCAUAAAAUUUUCUUUCUUCAUUAUCGCUUGAUAGUUGAUCGAGAAAGCUCCGCCCAAUAGAGCCUAACCAAGAGUGGACCGAAAUGGUCCCGUGAAGUCGAUCCCCGGAGCCCUAAAAGACUUUAAAAACCUUGAAGAUAGAUAGAACAAUUAUGAACAAUUUCAACGAUUCUAUUCAAAAUUUAGUAGAUUGGUCAAUUUCCUUGAAUCAAUAAAAACUAUCAAUUCUUUCAACUAGAUUAGAAGGGAAAACACAAACUCUUUGAUCUAUAAUCGGAAAGGGGGACUUCCACCAACAAUAGUGAAGGUCGCCCCUAUUAAGUAAGUUCAAAGUUCAAAGAAUGGCUUAAGAAGUGGCACAAGACAGAUUGAAAGCAAAGAGAGUGGGAAAGCUAACCCGUUCAUUGAAUCAGACCUUCGUCUUCAGGCUUCUACGCGAGGAACAUGCUUUUUGACAUCCAGUUUAAGCUAUGCCAAGAGAUUACACUACUUUGAUAAGGUCGGUUCCCUUGGUCAUUCUUCAGGAGAAGUCCCGAAACUGUCAAUUGAUAGGAUCAUUGCUAACCCAUUGGCUUCACGAGAUCGGAUAGCGCAUAAGAGGGCAUUUUCUGAAUGAGAAGAUUCUCUUUCUACACUCUAGACAUAUCCUGCCCCUUCUUUACUUGCCCGCCUCAGAAUAUUCCUUCCGGUGGGACGAAGUCGCAUUGAUUGAAUCGGCUCUGGCCGUCGCCGAAAAAGUGAGGCUUUACUUGACGAGUAGACCUUAGUUACCCGCUUAUUGCUUAUUAAGACCUGCAAGAAGCUGAGUUUCUUUGCUUUCACAGUAGUUGGAAAAAGUCAAAGCAGCAGACCAGUAGUCCCAUUAUCCACCUUUAGAGACAUUUUUGAAGAAGGUUCCGUUUAACACAUCUUGGCCGAGCAGGAAAUAAGUGCUUUGUCGGUUGAAGGUGCUCUCUUCUCUACUCCGUCACAUAGGAUACACUCUCAUAGUAUUCUCUGCAUCUUCUGUCUCGUCUCUUGGCUUUCUGGGAGAUAGUUGAAACCAACCAAACGGGACCAAAAGUAAAGCUAUCUCCCGCUCUAAAAGUAAAAGAGAGACUCCUUUAUUUUUUUAUCGUAAGUCAACUUUUAUUCAGUUUGACUUUGUUUGCCUUUCGGGGUUAUCAGUUGUUGAAUCAAAACUUUCGUCGUCUUGGCCCACACCCCGUUCGUUGGUGAAGUAAGCUAUCUUACGAAAACUAGCUUGUUUCUGUUGGGAAACACUACAGCUUUGAUACUAUUUGUUGGAAAAAUCACAGCUCUGAUACCAUUUGUUGGGCUAAAAGCCUCCAAUCCAAUCACACUAGCGAAAGCGAAAUCAAACAAUAAAUCAAACACAUAAGAGACAACAAUUUAACGUGAUUCGGUUCAACUGACCUACAUCCACGGAUGAGAAACAAGAUCUACUAGUUGUAGAGAAUUACAAACAUACAUCAUAUCAUUAACCUCACUCAACAAUCAAUACUCAUAAGACACUCUCAAUCUCCUUUAGUCCUAUGGAGUAUUCUCAACCCAAACAAACACAAACCCAAACCCUUGUGCACCCUUUCAACAUAACCAAACACAUACCCAUAUGCUCCCAUACAUCAUACCUAUGUGGACCCUCUCAAUCUCCUCAAGUCUACUCAUAAACAAACAUACACACCCAUAAGACGUAGAGCCCCAAUACUCCUAUGGGGUGUCUAUCCCACAAAACCCUACAACUCUCUUACAUCUUUUUCUCAUACCUAACCCUGUAUAGACUUCACCUAUUUAUAACCAUACAAACUUGCCCAUUAAGAAUCUCUCUCCUCUUAGAAUUCUUCUCCUGUAAGUCAAACUUGCCUAUUAAGAAUCCCUUUACUUUUAGAAUUCUUCUCUUGCAAGUCAAACUUACCUAUUAAGAAUCCUUUUUCUCUUGGAAUUCUUUUUUUGCAAGUAUUAUUGUCCAUCAAGUAAUAUCUGACAAAUCUCAAACAAAUCUCAAAUAAAUCUCUAACAAAUCUCAAACAAAUCUCUUAUGAGAUUUGAGUCAAUAUUCCCAACAGCUUCUAGUCCCCCGCCUCACUUCUCUUUAUAAGGCCCUUUGUCCCACUUCGGUAGAUAUUAUGUCCGACCAAAACUACUUGUGAGGAGCCGCAAAGUACCACCAUGUAGCUAGGGGGUAUGGGUCUCGGUACCGGUCCUCGGUGUAUAGCUGAUGCGGUGGGGUUAAAGAGGCUACGCUAUUGAGAAAGCUUAAGAUUCAGCAGGGGGGGCUGUAUCGUGGAAGUAAUGGCCUUGAUCUUUCAACUCUUCCAGGUAUGAAACAGGUCAUAAAGCAAGGGCUGCUUCAUCCGCCUUGAAAGAAGUCUUGUCUGAAACAACGGGCCCUUGUUCUACCAACCCAGUUUUUGUUUAAAAAAGAUAUCAUGCCGUUUCUCUGGAACCAACAACGGAUCUAUUUUCUCGAGAUAGCAUUUACCGAAGAAGGUUGUCUCAAAGCCAUAAUCUACCUCCAAAAAAAUUGGCAUAGACAUCUGAAUAAACAAAAGCUUCAGGCUUGACGCAGGCCUAAGCGGACUCAGCUAAAAUGCUAAAUGAAAAGUCAUAACUAACAGAAUAGGAGCACUCAUGAAACCUUGGAUGGUCAUCAGGUAUAAAAAGAAAAAUUCAGAAUUAAUAGAAUUGGAGGGAGUAGAAUUUACUGCUAGUAGAACAAAAGCCAGGAAAGAGGGUUGGAUGGAUAUUCGGGGGACCCAUGGUUUAAGUGUUUAAACUCCGAUCGUAUGUAAGGGUCUUUGCCUAUUCUAUGAAUUCACAUAAAAGGAAGACCUGACUAAGCAAGUUUCUGGGUUAUUUCAGAAGACAAAACCAAAGUCGAGGAAGGAGAAUCAUACGAGUCCUCCUUAAUUCACAAAGCCUAAAGUUGGCGUUAUAAUAUCUAUUUUAUGAAAAAAUAAAUAUAAAGCCGAGAUUGACUCUUUCUUAUCAACGAAAUCAUUAGAACGGUAGGCCCGGUGUCAUGAGCCAACACUUUUGUAUAGGAUCAUGAUCAGGUUUAAGUAGUCAUGUGCCACCCAUAUAUAGGGCCAUGAUCGGGUAGAAGUGCCAAAGCGAAGGAUAGGAUCUUUAGGCUAGGAAAAAUAUCCCCAUUUCAAACAUUAUAACGGUUAGUGAUAGCAUAGCUAUAAAAUCUCAUUUGUUCUUUAAGGGGAGUGAGCAGUUAGCAUACUAUUAGGCUAUCUCAUUGGUUAAAGUACGAACGUAAGCCACCCGUCAAGGGUUGCCCCCUGGCCUCGACGAUGGUGUGAAGUCUCGAUGUACUAUUCUUGAUAAUAAUAAAAUACAUCUUUUAUUCGAAAGUCCCGAGUGUUACCUCGAUGUGUUUUUCUUUCUCGAUAUGAAUAUGUCUUCUUGUGUAUGCUUGAUAUUAACUAUGACUUAUGGUUGCUUGUUCAGAUAUCAAGCUAUUGUUGGUUGACUUAGGUGGAAGCGUCCAUUCAAGUGCCGCACGAUCUAUCGCUUGUUGAGAGAAAGCUUAGCCUAUGACACGUGGUAUCAAAGCACAGUGUGAAGUGCUAAAGAAUUGAGAAAAUGGCCACGAAUGAUGGAUUCAACCAUCAACAGAGAAUUGAAGAGCUUGAAGCUGCGGUGGCCACUUUGAAAGCUCAUGUGCUUACAACCGAUCGUCUGAGGGAGAUUGAGAUGACCUAGUGAGAGUUGUCCGAUACUCUACAUAGCUUGAGUGAAGAGGCUAAAGAUGCCUUGAAUGUCCUCCAAAAAAAGUUUGAGGAGCUUAGGGCCCAAGUAGGCGUCUUAUAGGUAGCGGUGGCUAGGUCGAGUUCUAGCUCGGGGGAAAAAGGAAAAAAGGCCAAAAGGCCAAAUCUCCGAUGCUAUGAGGGGAGCAAGAGAUGCCAAAGAGCUUGAAAACUUUUUGUUUGACAUAGAGCAAGACUUUCGAGCCGUGCGUACGAAAUCAGAGGAAGACAAGGUGGCAAUGGCAUCAAUGUACCUUGCGGGGGAUGCCAAGCUUUGGUGGCGUUCAAAAUUUGUAAAUAAUGAAUGCCCUAUCAAAACUUAGAUGGACCUGAAGCAGGAAUUAAAAAAUCAGUUCUUUUAUGAGAACGUAAAAUAUAUGGUCCGAAAGAAACUUUGAGAGUUGGUGCAAACGAGAACAGUGCAAGAGUUUGUAAGGAGCUUUUUUACCCUAAUGUUGGACAUUAGAUACAUGUUUGAAAAGGAUAAAAUGUUUUAUUUUCUUGAGGGCCUUAAACCUUGGGCCAAGACAGAACUUAAAAGGCAAAAGGUGCAAGAUGUAGCCACGACCAUGGCUGCAGCCGAAUGCCUUCAUGAUUACAAUGAUGGCUCCUCAAAAUGAAAAAAUUCUCCAUUAGAUGGUAGUAACUCCAUCUUUAGGAGUGGGGGAAAGAUGGCCAAAGUGGACUAAACCUUCAGUGGGGGAUAAGAUAAAAGGCCCUUUGGUCGAGACACCACCCAACCCAGAGCAAACCAUGCAACAAGUUUCAGGCCUAGGCAACCGUUAGCUUGUUUCUUAUGCAAGGGGUCGUAUCGAAUGGCUGAGUGCCCUCAUAGAGGGGCCCUUAAUGCCUUGAGAGCCUCGUCUCAAGAUUUCAUAAAAGCACCUUAGAUAGUCGAAUAGAUUGAAAAGGAACCGGCCAGGAUGGGCUCGAUGCGAUUUUUAAAUACCCUCUGUACCCAGCUUAACAUGGUAAAGAAAGAAUCGAGUAGAAGCUUGAUGUAUGAGGACCUAAUACUCAAUGAGAAAACCACAAGGGCUAUAGUUGAUAUGGGUGCAAUCCAUACCUUCAUUACACCUGAGAAAGCAAAAAGGUGUGGUCAAGGUGAAUAAGGACUACGGAUAAAUGAAAGUGGUCAACUCACCAGCCUUCGCAAUCAGUGGAAGCUCCAAGAAUGUGUGACCAAGUUGGGGCCAUGGGAAGGAAAGGUAGACUUCACUGUUUGCCCCAUGAAUGACUUUGAUAUUGUCUUCAGAUUGGACUUCAUGAUGUUGGCUCAAGCGAUACCAAUCCCCGUUGCUAGUUGUCUGUUGUUCUUAGGGGAGCAACCCUGUGUGGUGCUAACCACAAUCUUGUCAAAAAAUAGAAAGAAAAUGAUCUCAACACUAUAAUUCAAGAAAAGGAUAAAGAGAGGGGAGCUCUCUUAUGUGGUGAUGUCGAUCUACAAGGAUAGGAUAGAGUUAGAUCCAAUACUCGAUGGGGUGGAAAGGGAGUUAGAAAAGUUUAAGAAUAUGAUGCCAGAACAAUUGCCUAAGGUUUUACCUCUUCGAAGAUCGGUUAACCAUGAAAUUGAACUUCUCCUAGGGGUCAAACCCCUUGUUAAGGCCCCAUAUCGCAUGGCUCCACCAGAAUUGGCUGAACUAAGGAAACAAUUGGAUGAACUCUUACAGGCUGAGUUCAUUAGGUCAUUAAAAGCACCUUUUAGAGCACCCAUGCUAUUUCAGAAGAAGCAUGAUGGAAGCCUACGAUUAUAUGUCGACUACAAAUUCCUAAACAAGGUCACCAUGAGAAAUAAGUUCUUGAUUUCCCUUAUUGUUGAUUUGUUUGAUCAACUGAGUUGGACCAAAUACUUUUUCAAAUUAGACCUGAGGUCUGGCUAUCAUCAAGUCAGAAUUAUGAAAGGAGAUGAACCGAAAACUACUUGUGUAACCCGGUAUGGCGCAUUUGAAUUUCUUGUUAUGCCUUUUGGACUAACCAAUACUCCCAUCACAUUUUGUAUCUUGAUAAAUCAGGUGUUCCAUGAUUAUCUUGACAAAUUCAUGGUGAUUUUUUGGAUAACAUAGUGGUCUAUAGCUCCAUUUUGGAAGAACAUCAAGAACACUUACGCCUAGUGCUUCAAAGAUUACAAGACCACCAGUUAUAGGUGAAAAGAGAGAAAUGUGCCUUUGUUCAGACCUAAAUCCAUUUUCUAAGUCACAUUGUCGAACAAGGCCACAUUUGAAUGGAUAUGAAAAAGGUUAAAGCCAUCAAGAAGUGGAUAACACCCAAGAAUGUUAGUGAGCUUCGCUCGUUUUUAGGAUUGACCAACUAUUACAAAAAAUUUGUAGAAGGGUACUAUCGUAGAACUACAGCCCUCACAGAACUAUUGAAAAUAAAGCAUAAAUGGUGUUGGACGAGCGAAUGUCAAGAGGUAUUUGAAGGACUGAAGGAAGCCAUUAUGAAAGAUCCUAUCUUGGCCCUCCCUGACAUCGACAACCCUUUAAAGUCCAAAUAGAUGCUUCUGACUUCGCUAUUGGAGGAGUUCUCCUACAAGCGUGACACCCAAUAGUAUUUGAAAGUGGAAAGCUAAGUGAAGUUGAGAGAAAAUAUACGGCCCAAUAGAAAGAACUCCUAGCAGUAAUUCACUGUUUGAGAACUUGACGACAUUAUUUGUUGGGCUCACACUUUGUAGUGAAGAUAGACAAUGCGGUAGUUAGUCACUUUUUCACCCAACCAAGGCUCACAGCGAAGCAAGCUCGAUGGUAAGAAUUUUUAGUUGAGUUUGAUUUUUGCUUUGAGAACACACUGCGGGAACAACCAAUCAAGUGGUUGAUGCAUUGAGCCGACGAGUAGAAUUAGCAACCCUGAGAAAAAUUACCCCAAUGACAGCUAGCAAAGUUACAACAGACAUUCGUAAGUUAAUUGAAAAGAAUUUAAGAAAAGACCCACAGGUCGGUGCCAUUCUAAAGUUAGUUGAAGAAAGAAAGUCGAAGUACUUUUGGCAGGAGAAUAUGGCCUUAUGGACAAAGGACCUUUGAUUGUUUGUGCCAAAAGCAGGAGGUCUGAGACAAAUGCUGAUUAAAAAAGGUCACGACACACCAUGGGCAGGUCACCCAGGUUGGCAAUGUACUUUUACUCUAUUAAAACAAGGCUACUAUUGGCCUCGCAUGCGACAAGAUGUUAUGGACUACAACAAGACGUGUCUUAUUUACCAACAGGAUAAAGUUGAAAAGAAUAAACUAGCAGGCUUGCUCGAACCAUUACCGGUGCCCACCCAAUUGUGAGAAAGCAUCUCUCUUAAUUUCAUAUCGAGUCUUCCCAAAGUGGGUGAUCUUGGGUCUAUCUUGGUGGUUAUUGACCAUUUCUCGAAGUAUGUUACAUUCAUUCACGCCCUUAAGUUUUGUAUUGCGAAAGAUACAGCUCGGCUAAUGUUUAAACAUGUGAUCAACUAUUGGGGCCUUCCCUAAAACAUUGUCAGUGACACAGAUCCAAGAUUCACGGGGUCAUUUUGGAAAGAACUUUUCAAGAUUUUGGGAUCUCAACUUAACAUUUCUUCAAGCUACCACCCCUAGACAGAUGGACAAACUGAACGGUUCAAUGGACUAUUGGAAGAGUACUUAAGGCACUUUGUUCAAGCUAAUCAGAAUAACUAGCCUUCGUUACUAGACAUUACCCAACUCUGUUUCAAUUUCAAUAAGAGCUUUUCCACCAACAAAAGUCCGUUCGAAGUGGUCACGGGACAACUACCAAGACUACCCCAUAGCUCUUUUAAGCAAUAUGGAGGAAAGAAUCCUCGAGCCUUCAACCUCAGUAAAGAAUAGAAAUAGAACACAGGGAUUGUACGAGCCUACAUAGAAAAGACAUCCUAGUGCAUGAAGAAGUGGGCAGACAAAGGUCGGAGAGCACAACAAUUCCAAGUUGGUGAUCUCGUUCUAGUCAGAUUAGUGCCUGAACAAACUAGGUUCCUGAAGAAGCAAGACCGUAGAUUGGUGCGAAAGUAUGAAGGCCUAGUGAAGAUCAUUACCAAGGUGGGAAAUGCUGCCUACAAAAUAAACCCAUCGAAAUGGAUGAAAGUACACCCAGUAUUCCAUGUGAGCAACUUGAAACCUUUUCAUGCAGAUCCAAGAGAUGCAAGUCACAAAGAGUCAACCAGGGUUGCCAUCACCAUGAAGCCACCAUCAGAGCGCCACGUUGAAGAGAUCCUAGCCGACAUAGUAUCCAGAGCAUUAAAAAGAUUAGUUCACAAAUAUUAAGUGAAAUGGGAGGGCUUAGGACCAGAAGAAGCUAGCUGGGAGAUAGAGCACGACCUUCGGGUAUUCAAGAGGAAGAUUGAAGAAUUUCAAGCCAACAAAUCGAUGAAGUCAUCGAUAGAAUAGGUGGGGGAAGAUGUCAUGAGCCAACGCUUUUAUAUAGGGCCAUGACUGGGUUUAGGUAGUCAUGUGCCACCCAUGUAUAGGGCCAUGACCAGGUAGAGGUGCCAAAGGGAAGGAUAAACCCCUUAGGCUAAAAAAAGUGUCUCAAUUUCAAACAUUAUAAUGGUUAGUGGUAGCAUAGCUAUAAAAUCUCAUUUGCUCUUUAGGGGGUUGAGCAGUCAGCAUACUAUUGGGCUGUCUCAUUGGUUAAGAUACAAAAGUAGGCCACUGGUCAAGGGCUACCCCCUGGCCCCAACGAUGGUGUGAAGUCUCAAUGUAUUAUUCCCGAUAAUAAUAAAAUACAUCUUUUAUUCGAAAGUCUCGAGUGUUACCCCGAUGUAUUUUUCUUUCUCUCGAUAUGAAUAUGUCUUCUUGUGUAUGCUUGAGAUUAACUAUGGCUUAUAGUUACUUGUUCAGAUAUCGAGUUAUUGUUGGUUGACUUGGGUGGGAAUGUUCAUUCAAGUGUCGUACGAUCUAUCACUUAUUAAGAGAAAGCUUAGCCCGUGACACCCGACCUGCUGACCCUAAAGACACGAGCUCAACAAUUUAAAUGCGUAGGAGCAUCAACCAUUUGUCGAAUCGAAAGCUUCGCCUACGACGUAACUCAGCGCGGUAAGCUCUAUUUUCCUGGCGCUUGUUUAAGGCGGUACGGUAUCUCAAUACUUUUUUUUCUAACUAAUAAAAUUGAAAAUAACAUCGGCUAGUGAGCAAACGAGCUUCGGAAUUGGAUCAAAGCCAAGAACCGAGGUCUGGAGUGUCCGGAUCAGACUAAGAAAAGAAGAAAGGUAAGGUGUUCGCGAUUUCGAAGAAGUAGCAUGUGCUCCGUUCUAGGCCGGCUCGCUUAGUCUUCAAUACAUCGUCAAUGGCUGCUAACGCCGCGACGAGGGCGCGACGGGUUGCCUUCGGAGCUAAAUAGAAAAAUGAUGUGCGCUAACCUUCCAACGGUCUAUCUGACUUCUGAAAAGAUGCCAUUUCACACCUCUAUGAUUGAUUAUGAAAUCAUCAUUCGGAUUUAGUAAUGUGAUCUUCAACCGGGUCAAUUAAGGCGGCUAGAUCGACCCACUCUAACUACAGCUAAACUUAAUUACAUAAAGUAAAAUAUAGUAAAGCCCCUUGUACCCAUAUAAGUGAAAAACCAUUACAUUGGAAAAUGACAGCUUCGGGAGGAUAGCGAAGCCUGCCUUAGGCUAGCGACGUGUUUCCGGGUAAGAAAAAGCGCGGGCGGGUACCUCCCUGACCCACUGAAUACAACAAAAUAAAGGGGAAGGACGUAACAUAGAAGAAGUAGGCUGAUCCAGAUCCAGAUAAGCAUCCUUUUGCCUUUAAUGUUUGGUAGGAGCAGCUGAGCAUAUGCUAGAAUUAGAAUCACGCGUAAUGAAGCGCUUGUCUUACUUAUCUAAAACAUACAAAAACCCUGCUACAAAUGAGCGGCAUAUGAACGGAACGAGACCCUUCGAAAGACGAGACUCAGAUCGGGGAUCAAAAAGCCCUUUCUUUACGUACUAUUCAUUUUCUGAUUUUGAAGAUUAUUUUUAUUCUGCAGGUGCAGAUUCGGCGUCGGCCUAGGCUUCUUUAUACCUUGGAUUUGGUACUAUAGCCUAUGCUUUAGGAACAGGCUCAGGCCACAUAGCUUAAGGUGGAUCGGAUCCUACAUACUUUUCACCUUUUCACACAGACAGACGAAAAAUUUGAAAACAAAUCAUCAACUUCAACUGCGGAAUGCCCCGGAUCACGGGUAUUCUUAUUGUGGUUAUAGACCCCAUAUUGGCUUGGCUACUGGAAUCAUUUAUUCCCCUCUUUUCUAGCUUCAGAUUUGGCUUAAGCUUCGGAUUCUUAACUUAAGAUUAGGGGGGAACAGGAGCUUUUGGUUUUGAUGCUACAGUGGUGAGUUUACACCCACCGAAGCGAGUGUGACAAACCAAGUUUUGGCUUUAGAAAGUGCUCCAAUGUUUAAAGCGUAAGACGAAUCUGAUAAAAAUAGGUAGAGACAGAACAAGGAGCAGGGCUAGACCACUAUAGGACAAGAUAAAAAGUAGCCUUUUGUCUCCGGGUGGAACCAACGAUUCGUUCUAUUUGACGAAAGAAGGCUUGUGGCUGAAGGUUCAUGGGACCUUACAUUGCUGAAACUGGACGGACGACUGGACCUUAACCUUUGAAGACGAGAAUUCGAAUUAUUAUAGAAGUAAAUAAGGUUUUCGAUCACUUCAAAUGGCAUAUUUAUUCGUUUUUUAAAAGUUCUAAUGAGACUUCUUUGUAUUUGCUUUUUUUCUUAGUUCUGAGCCUGGCUUAUGGCUGCUUCUUUUUUCCAACAAAAGAAAUAGAAAACCCCAACGACAAAGGAACGGGCAUUUUCGGUUAUUAUGCAUCGUGGCCUGUCUUUGCCCUCACUCACCAUUAUGUGGUGUGGUGGUUGGCCAAAUAGGUGUACCCAGAUACUCUAUUAGGUAUGCAGUACUCGGUGAUGAUAUUAUUACAGCUGAUGAGUCUGUAGCUAAAGUCUAUAAGCUAAUUUUAUAAGAUUUUGGGGUCACGAUCUCGACCCAAAAAUCGUUGAUCUUCGUUCAGCCGAGUUUGCUAAGCGAUUCCGAGUGAGAGGGUUUUUUGUGGACCUCAAUUCUAUUUCAAUUGUUAAUCUUGUGAAUAACCAUCACUUCUGCCUUGUAAUCGCCUUACAUUUAAAAAUAUUCAAUCAAUCAAAAGAUAAAAAAGAAAAAAAAAGACCAAGACAAUACGUACCUGAAUCUACACAGUAGGCAAAAAAAAGGCUCGGGACGAAAUCGAAUGAUUACCGCGCUCCGUCUCCGUGGAGCUCAAGACUAGUAGUGAUACCUGAUUGAUCGAUGCGUAGGAAGAUGACCCAUGCCAUUGGUUUUAGCUUCUGAUGCGAAUAGGCAAAUGGAAUCGAUAAACAAUUGCUACAUACGUUAUGUUAUGGAGCUCUGAUACCCCCAGUGUACUUAUUAACUGGUGGGAAUUUUAGUCUAACCGACCAGUGAAGCAGGUAUGGGGUACCUGAAUUCCUUUAUAUAUGAUAUUUCUGUUUAUGUCAGAGGUGCCCAAAGCUAGAAGCAAGAUUUCGAGUCGAAUAUUCAAAGCUUUUAAGGGCUUACCUGCUUUCUGUUCGAGAGUAGGAAUCGACUCUAAGAGCAGAGUCUAAGAGCAGAGUCCAACUAGAAGAGUGAAAACAACUAUAAGAUUAAGAUGGCACUGCAACUAGCCUAGCUUUGACUUUAUUUCAAGUCAGAAUGUUCUCCCGCUCGAAGAAUGUGUUCCUACCAAAAUAGUGGUUGAAGAAAGGACUGCUUUGCCCGCUGUUCCAGUAUUUGCUUGACCCCUAUCUAUCUAGAAUAAAUAGUCAGACCAGACUGGCUAGAAGCUUCCGGAGAAGAGUCACUCUACACUCUAAGAGUAAGCGGAAAGCCGCCCAAAAAUAGAAUAGUCGGAAGAAGCCUCUCGAAUCGGAACGGAAGUAAGCGCAGAGAUGGCACCACCGGUUUAGUUGAAGACUUCGCUUCUUUUUUUUAGGCUGAUUUCAUUUGGAAGCGUUGACAUUUUACUUUCGGGGAGCCGAUUUACUGGCGUACACCCUUUUGGGGAAACUUGAACAGGGCAAGAAAUCGAGAGGAAUUUUUCUUUUUUUUGUAUUUGCCUUCUCCGGCGUUCACUUCUAAAAAGGCAUUUUCUUAUAAAAGAAAGGAGGGGCCCAAUUUAAACUAGAGAUUCUGUCGGUUGAGGCCUGUUGACCAACUUGAAACUCUAUUGACGAUGAGAUUAGGCCUUUUAAGAAGCCUAGAGUAGAAUAGUCAGUGAGAGCUGAAAUUAGUCCUUUUUUUUCUUGUUUGCCUGUGAAUUUUACCGUUCUGGGAUAGCUAUAAGACUUCUAGUAGAAUGUAGAAUGGGAGGCCUAGAGGGGAAUAUAACAUCUUACUUUUUUUGAGACUUUGAUUACGAAUGCACCCCGGGGACACUAUCCUGAAGGGGAUGAUUCGCAAGAGCUUUCUAGUCAGUAUGGAUGUUCCCUUGUCUUUCUUUAUUGUCUUUCUUUGAGGGCCUUAACUAAAACUACUGGGAGAGGAAACUGAGCUCCGAAGCUUCCCUUAAAACCCUUUCUGUUUUAGAAAAGCUUCUUCCUUUUUGUAGCUAGUAUAUUACCUCCAUAAGAGGAAAGGCGGGGGAAACUGGGUUUGAGUUCCUUUCUUUGGGGGCUUUGCCGCCCGUUCCUAGACCUGAAGGGUCAACCUAGCUGGAAGAAUAGUAAUGAAAAUAGUGAAAACCAGAAGAUUAAGGCCCUUAAGCCUAGAGAGAAGCCUAUCUUUUAACGGAAAAGAAAAGAGUUUUUCUACCCUUUCUUUCUAUCUGAAUAGCCAGCUUCGGAUGUCGCUGGUCUUUUCUUGAAAUAGUAAGAUGCCACUGAUCCUUACAUUCUGGAAGGGGUAACCUAGAGGAAGAAGCUCAACUGGAAGGUUUGACCCACGAUUAUAGGAUGAAUACUAUGGAGAAUAGUAAACAGCCUAGCGUAGCGGCCAAGGAGCCUUUACUUUACAAUAAAAGAGUAACCGUAAGCUUGGGUGUCAUUGGUCUGUCUUUAGAUAAAUAUUAAAUGAUUGAAAUAGUCAGCUUCGUAAGCUUGUGAUAUCAGAAGUCAAGCUUGUCUUUCUUUGUUUGCUUUCUUUCUGUAUAUGGCAAAACCUAUAUAGAUUUCCUAUCACUUACUGGAUCUUCUGUCUGUAAGCAUUCCUUGUGUUACUAAUAGUCUAUAAAUUAUCCCGAAGAGGGGUGUUCUAGAAUGCCUAGAGAGAGGAAUCCUAGUUCUAGGCUUAUUCUAUUUUUUCUUCCCAUUCGUAGAGUCAGCCUAGUAAGCUUUUCUUUUUUUUUUCUCCCCUUCGCUUUCAGUAGGAGAUGGGGAUGGCGCAGUUUCUUCCCUCGAGAGAAGGAAACUAGGCUUCAAACAAAACAAAACAAGUAUUCAGGAUGCGGAGAAUCUUGCUUUAUAAGCUUGCCGCUUAGCUUAGUUGGGGGUCUUCAUGUCAAUGUCGAAAAAGAAGCUUCACUUAUCUUUCUAGCAGCCACAGAGACAAAACAAAGAGAAUGAGAUUCGGACUGGACUGGGAAAACUCAUUGUCACCGAAUCCUCUGAUUAUUUGAGUGGAAAGUUGCUGGAGCUUCACGAAAGGAAUCUUAUGUUGUCAGGGCAAAGAGCUUAGCUUAGAAUACAUGGAUACACGGGUACUGGUUCUCGAACGGACUCUGCAGGAUUAGGAAUUGGCUGUGGAAGCACUAUUUAUUAUUCAUUGAACUUAAUAAAUGAUCAGAGUUGUAUAGUGUUGCACUGCUACCACCUGCCCCAUGCAUAAGGGCUUAUCCUAAUCGGGGGCCUGGAACGGCAAUGACUGAACCACGCCUUAUGACGAAAGGGGAGAGAGUCCGAAGGGGAAGGUGAAUGCAGUUAAGGACUCCUCCACUGAAUUAUGGCAUAAGCGGCUUUCCCACAUGAGCGAUAUGUAACUCUUAUGGUUGUAUUCUUUCUCUUUCUGCUACUGUUCGAACGAACCUAGCUUCUUUUUCUCCUUCUGUAGCUUCUCCGUCUUUUCUUUCCAAACUGCCCUACAACAAACCAAGCGAAAUACCUAUUCUGCACCCUGAGCCCUUUCCUACCUUCGUCUCAAGCAAAAAUUAAGACUUCUGGUCCUAGUGAUGUCCAAAACAUGUCUUAGAAAAAGCUUUGAGAAUUCUUGGUACCCAAACACAUGGGAUUGUCUGUCUCUACACCCGGGGAAUAACCAACCGAAAGGAAUUUGUGAAGCACGUCAAGUCUGACGGAAAGUCUACUGCACAUGAUUCGACUCACCAUUAUAUGUCCUUCUUUUUCGCAAUUUCUAAGUUAAGAGUUCGUGUUCAGAAGACAUGGUAAAAGCUCGGGGUUUCAUCCUGCCUAAUCGUUUAUCUGAAGGAAGGCUAACUCGUCUGAUACAAGUCACUCAAAGUCACAUGCUUCAAACAAAUAAUUCGUUCUCUAACCGAUAAGAGCUGACUUUUUUCUUUCAAAUCGCUUGUUUUUAAGACACCCGAGCCCUCUAUCGUCUCGAGUUUAUGUGGUGGCUAUUAGUAGUGAUCUGGGACUAGGCCAAGGAUGGAUGGCGGUAUGAGAUAUACUAGGAAGACAAAUGAACCAAACCGGAUAAUUGGCUGAACCCUUCAAUCCUAUGAUGACAACCUUCGGAGUAGCGCUUGCAUGAACACAAGUUAAGGUAGCAUUCUCAGCUUAUUAAUAUAGUCGCUACUUCUCGAAGAGCAUAUACGGACAGUCUCCUAACUACGUGGAUAUUAACGAUUAAUCUCGCUAUCUUAUCGGUAUAGGACAAAGCUUAAAGUCAAUAAGUCAAUAAUAAGACAUCUUCUUAGUAAGGCCUCGGCUAACUUUUUUUUCUUAACCACCUCAUUCCUCGUACCCUUAAACAAUGGGAGUUAUGCCCUAAUCCCCACGCCCGAUAGCACAUGGGGAGAAUGAUUGGACCUAAACCUUUAAUUUAAAUAGGCUUGCCUCUUUUUCGGACUAGCUCGCAAAACCUAGACUCCUAUGGCUCGCUUGGAAAACGUUCGUACAUUGCUAACCUCUUAUUCUCCUCCUAUCCCCGAGCUCUUCUUGAAUCGAGGAGUUAAAGCUCAGCUAGGACAGUUCCUCUCUCCGAUGGAUAAGCGGGGAAUAGUAUUUGAUACGAUUUCUUAUCAGCCUUUCCUAAUCGGAGAGAGAACCAAUCUGACCGGGGGGGGGGGUUAUUUCUUCGUCCCAUCACUGGCAGUUGUGGUUCAGCCACCAAUAUCGGCGCGAGAGACAGGGAAAAAGAGAAGGUCGGUCCCGUACCCGAACAAAGGCUAGACCGAAGGUCCCGUCCCAUGGGUUAGGUGCUUAGCUGAAGGUGGAAGUCCAAAGCAACAUAAGAUAGAAGGCGAAGCCGAGGCAAGAGCAAGGGUUGAAAGACAAGAGAGAAGAAUUCUAUAUCCCUUAUUUGAUUUGUAGAUUAGAGUAUAUUCUUUAUAUCAAUGGUUGGUCGGUUUAGCCAUUGCUCCACUCAUCACAUCCAUGGCUAGUAGGUGCGAUUCAACCAUCCGUCACUCGUGGCGCAUUCGAGCUAAGAAUCCUCUCCUCGAUCGCUUUCCUUUGACUUGCAAUGAGGAAUAACAUCAAAACACAUUGGCGGCUGGUGCACGAACUCGUUGGUUUGGAUGCCUUAUCGAUGACCUGAGUGAGCAGAUAGGAUAAAUAAAAAUAAAUUGAUUUUCUUUAUUUGCGUCUCUUGAUUCAGUGUCUGCAUACUACGUUUAUGCGCCUGCCUAAGCAUAUUCUUUUCUUUUUCAUGACCCCGUCACACAGCUUAGGGCCCGCUGCUCCUCCUCUAGCGAGAACAGGGAUCGAAAAGGGGGCCGCCCUAGAAAGAUAGCCUCAUGGGUGUUUGGACGUAUGGGUUAGUACAGUUUUGGAAAGCAAACAGUACUCCGAUUGCCUAGUAGAUAAUGGAAAAUAGUACUACUCUACUCUGAUUGAGCUCACUUUAUUUUAUUCUAGUAUAAUAUAGAAUAAUAAGAAUAAGAAUAGGUCUCUGUCGAGCCUUAUUUAGACGCAAGCCUCCCCUAUCUAGUCGACCUAAUUACCGCAUCGCCUUACCUUCUCGAUCGCCAUCGCAAGGUUUCAAAGCUUCUAUGCAAAAAGAGUGUCCGCCACUAUUGGGAACAUCAAUAAGGGCACCUGUCCUUUUGCAUAUAGCACUCCAUCCUCUCCCUUGGGAAAUGCCAUCGAUCAAUUGAAGAAUGAUGCGAGCAGCACAACUCUUUCUUUCCUUUUUUUCUCUGUUGGAUUGGAGAAAGUAUUGGUUUCAGUUUCUUUGGAAGAAUUGAAUUCCUGUAAUAGACAUCGUUGGCCAUCCAUUUUCUCUCAUUCAAGCCAUGCCAGCAAAGGACUGAGGUAGGAGGUAGGAGACGAUAAAGGUAAAGAUAAGGGGUUGGUGUGUAACAGAGCUUUUCUAUCGAAGACUUAGUCUCGGCCAGAGGUUAGUUUGUUUUAUGGGCAUUUUUGUUUCCAUUUUGCUUAUGCGGUUAAGAAAAAGCACUCUUUUUGCUUCUUCGUCAAGCGUUUGAGCAGCUCUUUUUUCAGAAGAAGGAAGUGAUAUAUAUAAUCCGGGCUCUUCACCGUCAUAGUAUUCUUGGUUUAUCAAACCUUCAUCUUUCGCCCCCCCGGUUCGUACUGCUUCGUUUUAGGAGCGAGGUUGAGAGGUUUUUUGCCUCCUUAAAAAGAGGAAGGGAGGAUUGUCAUCUAAUCGUUGUAAUAAAUAAAUGGAUAACUCGAAAGUAACUCGUCAUGAGUCGAUCAGUAUAAAAAAAAAUUCGCAUCCUACUAGAUUCAAGUUCUCGCCUCAGGUGCGAUAGUUCGUAAGGCGGGUCUUACUAAUUCUUACCGAAACCUUAUUUGACUUUUGGGCCAAUCAUCGCCUUAACACUUCUUGUGCAUAUGCUCCGACGGAUAUAACGGAUCUAUCACGUCCUUGCAUGAGACUUUUUGAAUAGCUCCUACCCCAUUUAUUUGUUCAGCUAGUCUGAUCUUAGUGGAUCCCACCAACGGCUUCUUGUAGCCAACACUCUACAUACAUGUCUUUUGGUCAAUUGUUGAAACGAGCUAUGCAUCUUAUUGAUACUGCAUAAACGCUUAAACAGCUUCGACAGGAGCAAUAGCAGAAAGCAGAAACCGAAUUGUGAAGGACCUGUUCAAUGGAUGUGGGCAUUGGAUGUCCUUUAAAGAGGGAAGCAGUUACCAGGCUCUGCCCCGGUUGUUUUAUUUUAACCAAUAUAAUAAUACUUGAAUUGCGUAAAACAAACAUGAUCCUACCUUAGCCAGGUAUUGGAUUUGUGCAUGAAGUCUAUUAGCUUCUUGAAGGAAGACCAGGAUAGCAGACUAUGAAUACAGAGAUAUUUGUAGCUAGAGCUAGCUCUUUCACUAAGACGACCUUUCCCUUCGUUUAAAUCCAAUGGUUCAUUAAGGAUUUAAAAAACCUAACAAUCCAAUGGAAAGAGAAAGUGAACGAAAUUAUCAAAAAAUCCCAUGAGGCUAAGCGGAACAGGGUGGUGGGGGAUCUUUCAAUCCUGCCAUAAAGGGCUUAAUCGGCAUACAAGUGAGACAAUUUACUUCGCUCAGUGGGUUGGGAUCUAUCUCUUUCCUGAAUUUGUUCUUUUUCUGAUGUAUGCCCCACAAGGGGAGAUGUCAAUCUACAGAUAGUUAAGGUGCCAAAGUCGGUAAUCAACGUUCCUUUCUUUCUGGGUCGACCAGGUGGUUGAAUCCUUGUGAUUGAACUCUUGCAUCGUAGGUCUGGGGGUACUUUAUUCUUGUAUCUCUUGUUUAAGAGAGAGCCUUUUUCAAGGAAAAGCUAGUAAAUCAGCCUUAGAUUCUUCUUUCUUCUCCCUCACUGCUGAUUCAAUAGCUGCAGUAUCAAUUAAAUGGUGGAAAUCUCACUUGGAUGCUCACUGUAGCCAAUAAUGCCCAUGCCCAUGCUUAGAUGAUAACUGUGCAAAACCUAUACGGAGGGAACUGAAUUCCUAGUUAGAGUAGUUUCAUUAGGAACGAAACUUUUAAUAUAAGAAGAAGAUUGCGUAGCCAUCAUACGGUCGGGGGAAGACUAUCACUGACUUAGCUUUUUUACACUUACCUUUCUUCUGGUCUCACGAAUUGGAUUUGAAGCUACUUCUUAUUGAAGAUUGGAUCGAGCUGGAAAGCAUUCUGGCAGCUACAAUCUACUACAUAAGGUGGCAGCAAAUAGAAUUGUGGUGGAAGAAGCUAUGCUACCCCUGACUCUCAACCUGGAACAACAACCAUGGCAUUCUCUGCAUCAACUAUGUCAAUGGCUUGACUUCCCCUUCUUGCUAACAUCGGUUAUUCCGAAACAACCUCUGCUCGUACAUUCAAAAUAGUCUUCCUCCAAGAGCGAAAAUAGUUAUUCUUGUUGCCCAUAUUCCUUCAACAACAAUAGAUGCGGAUGAAAUAGCCGCAUUCGCUUAUGCUUAUUCGAUUCGGCCUAGCCUAUAUCUAAGUGAAUUUGUGAUAAAAUCUCUUCCUACUCGGGUCAGGCUUAACCGGAUAAAGGUUGAACUAAUUGCGUAAUAAGCUAGAGGCUUACCUCCACGAUUUACUAAAAGAAAAGGCAAGUAGCAUUGAGAUUUGCUUCGACUCCAAUAUCCUAAACUAGGAAGCGAACUAGAUCCUGAUGCACUACCUUUUGAAGCUGAUCUGGUACCCAAAGGCUCUUUUUUAGAGUCUAGGUAGGUUGAUUCGUAGGACGAGCGCCAAAGACCAAAGCCAGUUCUUUAAGAACUCAACCAGCCAUUGAGAAAGGCUUACCUUCUGUUCAUCUUCUUUCCUUUGGUGAAGCCAAAGCAUCAGACCAAUGAUGAAAAGCACUUGGAACAAAAGGAGAUAGAUGCCGAGAACAUCAUCACUGAGCAUGGGACACAUGAACUCAAGUGGCUUUUUAAGAAGGAACUCAAUUGGAGAGCUACUUUGAAUGAAAGGCGAUGUCAUGAAGAAUCUUUCGGUUCAGAGCAGUGCCCAAAUCUACCAUCUUUGCGUCUUCUCUUCUUCUUCAAUUAGUCUUUCGCUCCUAGGAUGACCCAAGACGACCUAGAUUCUCAUCAAAUCAAUCAAAUUAUUCAAAUGGAUAGAAUAACUUUCCACUAUUUUUUCUUUAAUGAGGAGCACUGGAAGUCAAGCUUUGAAUAUCUAUUAGAUCAAUCCCUUAUUUUGAUGCAUUCAUUGAUCACAGAAGAAGUGGUAUCUAUAAUCUAUAUAUGAAUCUAGGAAUUGUCUUUCUUCAUUAGAGAAAAAUGACUGCAAUUCCCCCUUCAUCCCUCUCUAUCUCCGGCCCUUGCCAUUAGUUAGCUUGCACUUACCUUGCCUUUCCCGCCUUCCUUGCCUUAGGGAAAGCAGUAAGUAGAGCGUGAAGCUGUGGUAAGAAUAUCUAUCUUGGUAACUCUAGAUUCUCUCUUGCAAUUCGCGAUGAGGUGAGAAGGAGGAGUGAGUCCUAAGCCGGGGCAGAAAGCCUUUGAAACUAGUUAAAAUUGAACUAACAAUCAACUAGGCAAUCCAGCUGACAUUGAAAGCAGAUGCCAUAAGGAAAGCGAUUCGGCUUAAGCGAGUGAAGUCACCCGAGAGGAGGAAUGCUGUGAUGACCCUGGCUUCUUAAAUAGCCUUUGGUUCGGCUGUCUCGUAUAGUUUAGAAAGGCUGCUUUUAGCUUGGAAGCCAAGUCUGUAGCAUAUGUAGGAAUGGGUGAAGCUCUUGUUCGAAGAGGAAUGCCUAUAGUUGAAUAAAAGGCAUAGUCUAAGCUUGAAGUAAAGUAGAGAAUCCGCUCUUCUAUUUGAACGAAUCCCUGAUCUACGACCAGCCUGCUGUCUUUGAAAGAUCAGAUUUGAACUCUUCUCGACUCUGAACAAAUGGUUAGCUUAGUCAAUUCACGAAUGCUUUCAGUUGCAGCUCUUGGGCCGCGCAUACAAGCCACUGCUGUUAGCUCGAGUCGUGGUGAAGCUGGUAUUGAAUUCGCCGUUGAAGGAAUAACCGAUGGGACGGUUCUUAUUUUUCUUGUUUCAUCCAAAAGUACCGAUGGUGGUGCUUUA
rnacentral:lncRNA from 1 species